CCACAUUUAACAGAGUGAUUCUGCAAAGAGACACCACUGCUAGAUGUGCCUCUUUGAAACAGGACAAGCUCAAGCAAAGAUCGUUAACUUUAUCUUUGAAAACAAUGGUAAAAGUUUCCAACUGAUNNNNNNNNNNNNNNNNNNNNNNNNNNNNNNNNNNNNNNNNNNNNNNNNNNNNNNNNNNNNNNNNNNNNNNNNNNNNNNNNNNNNNNNNNNNNNNNNNNNNNNNNNNNNNNNNNNNNNNNNNNNNNNNNNNNNNNNNNNNNNNNNNNNNNNNNNNNNNNNNNNNNNNNNNNNNNNNNNNNNNNNNNNNNNNNNNNNNNNNNNNNNNNNNNNNNNNNNNNNNNNNNNNNNNNNNNNNNNNNNNNNNNNNNNNNNNNNNNNNNNNNNNNNNNNNNNNNNNNNNNNNNNNNNNNNNNNNNNNNNNNNNNNNNNNNNNNNNNNNNNNNNNNNNNNNNNNNNNNNNNNNNNNNNNNNNNNNNNNNNNNNNNNNNNNNNNNNNNNNNNNNNNNNNNNNNNNNNNNNNNNNNNNNNNNNNNNNNNNNNNNNNNNNNNNNNNNNNNNNNNNNNNNNNNNNNNNNNNNNNNNNNNNNNNNNNNNNNNNNNNNNNNNNNNNNNNNNNNNNNACCAAAAGUAUUGUUUCGACCAAAGAUUUUAUGGUAAAUGUCGAUUCCACUUGUUAAUCCGAUUUUAUUUAAAUAAAUUAUUAAAAUUUUAUAAUAAAAAAUUAUUAAAAUAUUAUAAAAUCAUGUUCCACCGAUGGUUCAAUCUGUUUUUUCUAUCUUGGUUCAACUAGUUUAAAUCAAUUCGCGGGUUAAUCAAUUUUUUUGUUUUACUUUGAACUAAAUUAUCGAUUGAUUCUUGAUCCAACUUUACUUUUGAGCUUUAGACUAUAUUUUAAAGUUCAGUUAUUUCAAGUUUAUAAAUUAUUAAAAUUAAGUGUUGGCCGUUAGGUGUAAUGGUAAGAUAUAUUUCACUUCUAAGAGGAGGACUUAAGUUCAAACUUAAUGCGUGCUUUUAUGAAUUUUGAUCGGAUUUAAAUAUUAUUGCUUUGUUUUUUAUCAAUUCAAUUUUAUUUAGGAUUAACUCUUUGUUAAGUUUGUUUUUCUUGUAGGUUUAGGAUUAAAAUCACAAUAGUGGAUACCAGCUUUAUAUCGAUCGUAUUGGUUGGCACAUAUCAUUCUGAACUUAAAGUGGUAUCAAAUAAUUUAAAUUUUAUUCUGGUCAAAUUUUUUAUGUGUUUUGAUUUUUUUUCAACCAAUUUCAAAUUUUGUACUAAUACAUAUUGAUUCAAUGAGCUUUACCAAUUAAUACAUAAUUUUAAUAUUUUUUAAUUAAUUUUUAAUAUUUUUAUCUUAAUUAUUUUUUUAUAAUUACAUUUUAAAAAUUUUAAAAAAUCAGUUAACUAAAUUAUUCAACUUAAUUAAUUGAAAAUUUAUAUGUAUAUAAUUGAGCUAUAUUUAAAUAUAUAUAUAUAUAUAAUAUAAAAAUAUUUAAAAGUUACUGAUAACUCAAUUUAUUUAAAAUUUUAUUUUGUUUUAUUUUUAUCUUUUAACUAUCUUGAUUUUUUUGUAAUUGAUUUUCUAUAUGAAUUUUUUAUUUAUUUGUAAGACUUUUUACAAUUUUUUACACUUUUUAAGAAAAUUUUAAAAAUAUGAGAUUAAUUUUUUAAUUAUAGCUUAGGGACUAAAUUAGUUAUUAAACCUUAAAAAUUAAGGUGCAAUGUUAUUUUUUAACUGAAGAUAUCAGCUAAGUGAUAAAAAUGUAAAUUUGUUAAUGUUAGUGAUUAUUAUGUAAGUUUUGAAAGUUGAGUGAUGGAAAUAUAAUUUUAAAUAAAGUUUAGGGACGGUGUAGUUUACCCAUUCCAAAAUCAAACCCUCGAACGUUCUUCGACUUUAAACACCCGAUUUUCACAACCUAUUUAUUACAAAUUUCUCAAAUUUUGAUUAAUCUAUUCGUUUAUUUCUUUGAAAGAUCAAAUCUCCAUUCCAAUCUUGAAAUGGUGAGGAAGCGAGUACCUGAUUGGCUCAACAGUUCUCUCUGGUCUACAACUCCGGCGGACGAUGGUCUCCACCGCUAUUCCCCUUCUCCCACCACCACAACCACCACCUCUUCCGCCACCGUUUCCGAGCCAACUCUUCAGCCUCCGGCUACAGUGCCUCCUCCCGCUGCAGCCUCGAAACCUCAGUCCACUCCUACUUCUCCGAAACUCGAAAUCAGAGAUCCAGUUAAUAAAAAUAGUAACAACAAUAGCGGUGGUAAUGAUCAAAACGGCGACUCUUCUGGCGUUUCUCCCGAUGAUAUCUCUCGCCAGGCUCAGCUCUUGGCCGAGGUUUUUCACUUAUUCUCCUUUGCUUACUGAUUUUCUCCUUGUCCUUCUUUUUGGUUCUAAUUUCUAUUUUUUUCAGUUAUCUAAGAAGGUGAUAAAUAUGUGGGAAUUACGGAGGAUUGCGUCGCAGGGGAUUCCUGAUGGUGCAGGAAUCAGAUCUACUGUCUGGAAGGUAUUCUUUCCCUUUCCCUUUUUGCUGUUUGUUUGCUGAUAAAUUUGAAAAUUGCGGAAAUUCCUAGGAAAAUAUGGUUAUUUUUUGGAUUAAUAGUUCAAUGGGAGUUGUUUGGUUGUUGUGGCAGUUGUUGUUAGGGUAUUUACCACCUGAUCGUUCGCAGUGGUCUUCUGAAUUAGCUAAGAAAAGGUCUCAGUACAGGCAUUUUAAAGAAGAGCUCUUGAUGAAUCCUGUAAGUCAUUUUCUUUACCUUUUUAAUGAUAAAAUCGUGUAUAUAACUGUGUAUGCUACUAUGACCUUCAUUAUGUGGCUGUGCUAGUAAGUAUGAUAUAGUUAGUUGCUUUGAUUAAUUCUAAUGUAAAAUUCCAAUUUCCAACAGCAUUUAUAUUGCAUUAAGUGGAUAAGGAAUGAAAGAAAACUGAUAUUAGCAGAAAACUAAUUUGGCUGUAUUUUUUUUUCUCCUAAUAAUAGAAUGAUUUCACUUGAGUAUUUUUUAUUUCUUUAAGUUCUCUAGUUUCUUGCAUUAUCAUCCUGAAAAGUACUGUUAUCUUGUGUGGUUGUUGCUUUUCUCUUCCUUUUUUCUGUAAGAGUUUUGGGUUUCUGAAUGUUUCUGUGGCUAGUCAGUCAGAAAUCACAAGGAGGUUGGAGAAGUCUGUGGGUUGUGACAAUGAUGAAUCAAAACCUGAAGGCAGGGGUCUGCUAUCAAGAUCACAAAUAACUCAUGGAGAGCAUCCUUUGAGCCUUGGGAAAAGCAGUGUCUGGAAUCAAUUCUUCCAGGUACCUUCUUAGGCUUGAUUGAAAACAAGUUUUUUUAAGCCAUACUUCAUCUCAUGUGUUUUUAAACUUUUAAUGUUGAAUGCAUGAAAUAUGACAUUGUAAACACUUGGUUCACAACUUCCCAUCAAAUUAGUUCAUUUCUUUACAUCAGGGCCUGACUUCUAGGGCUUGCUUGACAUUGGGGAAAGAAUAAUUUGACUGAUAGAUAGCAAUUACACAUUCAGAAGCUGAAAAACAAUUAAGGGGUAUUACAGUUAAUUAAAAUGCUACUGUUAUGAAAAUGAUUCAGUAAUAUCUUGCAAAGUGGGACUCUGAAUUCUCUGCAAAUAAAAAUAAUUCUCACUCUGUCGUGUUGCAUUUGAGAAUCUAUCAUUCUAGUUUGCAUUAAUUAAGUUUUAACACAUGAGCCAGUCCAGGAGUCUUUAUGCUAGCUAUUCUGAGUCAGUUUCCGCAACAUGCGACCUUUAGGAUAUUGGCUUUACAGCUUCUGUCGGGUACCUUUAGCUUUAAUUUACCAAGAAUAUUGGUCUCUUUGUUAUUGGCUCUCUGUAUUAUUAUUAGAGGUAGGGGUUUGGUAUUUUUAUUGUUAUUGUUGUUUACCAAUAUAGUAGGAAUGACAACAGCAUCUAACUUGCAGCUCAAGCAAAUUGUUUUCUAUCAAUGCUUGGUUGAGCAUAUAUGAACUGCAUAUUAUUUCCAUGUUCUUAUACUAGUUUAUACAUGACCACAAUGUAAUGGAGUUCUCAUUUUCAGUUAAUAGAAUCUGUGAAUGUAAUUUUUAUUGAUCUCAUGCUUUUUCCCGGUUUUUUUUUUUUUUUUUGGUUCUGGGGGUGGUGUUAUUUGUAGGACUCGGAAAUCAUAGAACAGAUUGACCGAGAUGUGAUGCGCACUCAUCCAGACAUGCACUUCUUCUCUGGGGAUUCGCAGCUUGCAAAAUUUAAUCAGGUAAGCAUCUUCCUUCUUUUUUUUCUCUUUAAUGUGAUUGUUCCACUGUUUUUUUACUUUAGCACGGAUGUGAAUCGAAACCAUUUCCGACUUAUAUGUCUCUUGCUUAUUCAGGAUGCAAUGAGAAACAUAUUAAUCGUAUUUGCCAAGUUAAAUCCGGGUAUAAGAUAUGUUCAAGGGAUGAAUGAAAUCUUGGCACCUCUAUUUUAUGUAUUCAAAAAUGACCCUGAUGUGGAAAUGGCGGUAAGGUCUCGUUAUAUUCCCUGUGCAAUUCUUUUACAUCAAAUCUCUAACAUGCUUGUGUUUUUCUUUAACAAUAUUUCCUGUUUUAGUAAACAUUAUUUAAAUAGACUAAUCUAUUAAAUUAUAAAGAAUAUAAUUCAGUGUCUCUAUGGUAUCAUUGCCAUUUCUCCCUUUCUUUGUCUGCAUUAUUAUGGGUGCCAAUCCAUUUUUGAAAAAAAAAGGACAUACAUGCAAAAGAACAGUCAUAGUUUUGAGAUAUUCAUGUAUUGCAUAUGGAAGUUUCAGAAAUGGAUAUAAACAAGGAAAUAUUUUGAUGAAUAAAAGACUGAAAGAAAAUGAACCUUUCAUUGUGCAAUGAGUAAUCCUCACAUCUCAGCAUUUACUAAGCCUCCUUGUUUUGUGUCCUUAAUGUAAAAGGUUAAAUUCUGCUAUUAGUCUCUGUACUUUGUGAAAGGGGUCGAUUUAGUCCCUAUAAUUUUAUUUGAUCAUUUUCAAUCUCUGUACUUUUUGGAGGGUCAAAUUUAGUCCCUGUACUUUUCAAAUUUUGAAAUUUUAGUCUUGACCCAAACAGUAGCAGUUAAAUCCAUUUGGUUAAAGUCAAUUACUAGUACUAUUCAUACAGUUGUAGAUUUAGUCUAUUUUCUCCGACUGGAUCAUUCUAAGUCCCUAUACUUUUUAAAAUUUGAAAUUUCAGUCGUAACAUAAAAUGACUGUUGUUAAUCUAUUAACUGGAUUUUUAGUGAGUAAUAUGUGGAAAUAAUAAGCUGACAUGACAUUACACAUGAUAAUAUGUGUGGUGCAUCAGAUUUUGGAAAUAGCAGAACUUUACUUAAUGAAUUUAACGAUUAUUGUUUGGUGAGGAUUGAAAUUUUAAAAUUUAGAAAGUACAGGUACUAAAAAUGACCAUAUAGAAGUAUAGGGAUUAAAUUCUAGCUUUUGCCAAGUACAGGGACAAAUAACAGAAUUUAACCAAUGUAAAAUGAAUCUUCCUCUUUUUUUCAGUUUUAACACCUACAUUUCCUUGAUCCACCAAGGCUCUUACAAACAUAGCUUGGUAAUUUCUUUCUUGUUUCUGUUUGCAACUCCAUUGCAUCAACUGUCUCUUUUCUUGCCCCAAGUAACCCAAAAAGUUGUAACGAACAAAACUUCCAAAUAGAUUUCAGGUUUUGGAAAACGAAAUAUGGUGAAGCUCUUCUAUCAUUAUUGUUAUCAACUUACCUGUGUCUGAAUUUUUUAUUUGCACCAUAACUUAUGGAGUAUAUACACCAACAGAUAGCCGUAGACCAAUUACAAAGUACCUUUGUGAAAAUAACAUGGAUUAUUUUCUUUGUUAUUAUGAUUUAUGAUCAGAGUUUUGGUGUAUUUUCUUCUUCAUUUUCCAUAUUUGAGUUGCAGGCUAAUGCUGAAGCCGACACAUUCUUUUGUUUUGUUGAGUUAUUGAGUGGAUUCCGAGAUCAUUUCUGCCAGCAACUUGACAACAGCAAUGUGGGAAUUCGCUCCACAAUUACUAGGUUGUCACAACUUUUGAAGGAACAUGAUGAAGAGCUUUGGCGUCAUCUAGAGGUCACAACUAAAGUAAGAUAUCAUUGCAAAUUUUAAACAUCUUUAGCGGAUGGUAAUUUUUUCGGCUUAAAUGCUAACCGUUGUGUAAAAAUAUCACAGGUCAACCCCCAGUUCUACGCAUUUAGGUGGAUCACUCUGCUCUUGACACAGGAGUUCAAUUUUGCAGAUAGUCUUCACAUAUGGGACACGCUUCUUAGUGACCCUGAAGGUCCUCUGGUAUGAUUGAAAAUUUUACCUCCCUCUUUAUCUCUAGAACAUUGCUCGAAGCUUGUUAUCUUGCUGGAUUAAAUGUUCCAAAUUUUACCAUUAUUUAAUUUUUUUUGGGAAAUCAAGGGAGGAGAUUUGUGAUUAGGGGGUGGUGCCACUCCCCCAAAAAUGGUGAAAUUAUAGUUUGGUCCCUUUAGAAGCUAUAAAGUUAUAAGUUAAAUACAAAUGAUAAAAUUGCAUUGACCAAAAAAAAUUCUGGCAUCGAGAAAAACUUUUUGGCUUCACCCCAGAUUUAUUUAGGUGUAAAAAAAAGUAUAGGAGUGAUAAAAUUUAGGUGCUUUUUUUUAAUAUUUUUUCAAUAACACUUGAUUUUUGCUGUUUUUAGAUUGUAUUUGAAUUUAUUCAAACACCAAACUGAACCAAACAUGGAUGUAUUUGCAGGAGACAUUGCUUCGGGUAUGCUGUGCGAUGUUGAUUCUCAUCCGUAGGCGGCUGUUAGCCGGGGAUUUUACUUCAAACCUUAAGCUACUCCAACACUAUCCGUCAGCAAAUAUCAGCCAUUUGCUGUACGUUGCGAACAAGUUGCGCACACAAGCCAUAGGGUAAAAAAGCUUUUAGUAACCACGUAUUUGUGUCGUGUUUUCGUCAUUAGUCCGUCCCCCUCCCCUCAAACCCCAUUUGUUCUUUUAUUUGAGAGAGAGAGAGAAAAAAAAAAGCAUUCAGUGCUUGUAAUGUAAAUUGGUGGGUGUAAAUUGGUUGGGAGUAACAGCUAACAUGCAGGCAGGGAGAACAUUCUCUUUCUGUUUGUGUUUCAUUAGAAUUGUUGUGUUGAAGUUAUGUAGUAUUUUGUUUUUAUGGUGGAUUGAUUCAUUUUUGCAGUGUAAGAUUUUUUUUUUUAAACAUUGCUUUUAUCAUUGGUAAACAAAGCACUUUGUGCUUGCAAAAUUUUCAGAUUUGGCAUUAAAUUUUUCGAUGUUGAUUGGAAAAUUUCUAUUUCGAUUGUGCACAGGGAAUUAUAUUUUCGUACUUAUUUCCAUGUAGCAUUAAAUAAAUAAAGACAUGUAUCUAGUUCGUGCAGUUCUCAAAUGUCAAAAUUUCAAUCAAAAAACAAUUAAUGAAUAAUUAAAUUCACUAAAUCAAAAUUCAGCACGUCUCUAACCAAUCCAUAAGUCAUGUAAUUUUAAUCCUUAAUUUGAUUUUUUCUGUGAAUAUUAUAAGAAACAAAUUAAUAUGAUAUUAUAUAUUACAUUAAGAUUUUUAAAACAAUAAAUUUUAAUAAUAAUCGGGAUAAUUUAAAAAAAAUACAAAAAUUAAAAAUAUCAAAUUAAAAUAUAAAGCCAAUAUCUAAUAGAUUUAACUCAAGUACCUCAAUAGUACUGAAGUCAAUUCCUUUUGUUUAUUUGUUCUUUUUCAUUUGCAAUAGAAUAGACCAUCUAUUAAAAAUUUAAGAUAGCAUAUAUGUGGGUGAUAUACAAACUCAAUACAUAUUUAAGAAGCACAAUCGUAAUUCUGAAGAUAUUUUAGGUCAAUCAGAUAUCACACAACACAAUAACUCUUCUUUUUGGUGGAAAACUACGGUGGUAAAGUUCAGUCGUAAAACAGUAACUCGAAUAUAGUAAUUACCUCCUCAAUUACAUACGCCAACCAAUUUGCACCCACGACCUGUCAGUGUUGUCCACAUUGCGAGUAAAAUAGCCUGCAGAGCCCAAUGAUCUCUCAGCAUCUCCAACCAAAUAUUCGGAAAAUAAUUAUUAGCUAUUCUAUCAAUUUUUAGCAUUCUCUUCUCACCAUAUAAUGUGCUAAAACCAAUCCUUUUAGGUAGAAUCAGUCCAAUCAUUGGUCUGAGUGAUUCAAAUUAAAAAAAAAUUAUUACAAGAUUAAAAGAUCAUUAGAACCGAUUCUAUCAAUCAAUACCGAGUUCUCAAGCCAAUCAAUUGUAUACCUUUCACCAGAUCGAUAUUCAUUUGAUCCCAUACUGCUAAUGACCAUGAAAAAAAAAUAGAAUAAUAUAACUUUUGACCCUUGAACUUGGUAAAUAAAUUCACAUUGACCCUUGAACUUGAUAACUAGAUCCAUUUUGAUCCUUGAACUUGAAAAUUCUAUAUGUUCGAUGAUGUGGUACUCUCGAGUUUGGAAAAUAAAAUUUUUUUAGAUAAUGAUGUAGUACAAUUUCAGAGUGUCAUAUUCAAUACUAUAAUAACUAAACCGAUGAUUGAAUAAGUUAGACCACCAGUUCUCGAUUCAAUCAGUUCGGUUGUUCAACCGUCGAACCAACAAUAAUUAAAUAAUUAAUUAUAAUUUCAUAAAACUCUAAAAAGAAUAAAAUCGAUUUUACUUCGCUUUUUAGAUUUUUAUGAAUUUUUAAUUAUUUAUUUAAUUAUUGUUAGUCCGACGGUUGAACUGGUUGAAUCAAGAACUGGUGAUCUUACCUGUUCAACCGUUGAUUAAAUUAUUAAAACAUUGAAUAUUCUGAGAUUGUAUGACAUCAUUAUCUUCUUUUCUUUUCAAGUGAUGAUAUGGCACAAUCUCAGAGUGUCAUAUCUUCAAACUUUCAAAAUUUUCAAGUUUAAGGAUCAAAAUGGACUUAGUUGUCAAGUUUAAGUACCAAGGUGAAUAAAAAAAAAUACAGGUACUAAAGUGAACUAGUUCUCAAGUUCAGAGGCCAAUGUGGACCUACUUGCCUAGUUUAGGGGGCAAAAGUUACAUUAUCCCCAUUUCUUUUCACAAUCAUUAACAAAAUAGGCUUAAAUGAAUAACAAUUUUCAAGUUUAGGGGUUAAAGUGAAUCAAAAAAAGUUAAGGGGUCAAUGAGGACCUACUCGCCAAGUUCAAGAGCCAAAAAUUACAUUCUCCCUAAAAAAAAAUCCAGAAUCUGAAUUCAUAUUUGAAUUGACACUAACCAAAUGACCCAAACAAUUAACUUGAACUUAAAGCGAAAACAACACAAAAUAAUCCGAAUCCAAAUAACCCAAAGUUAAAAAUACUUGACUCAAAAUAACUAAAAAUUUUAAAAUCCUAAUUGAUGAGAUCCAAAUUGACCUCAAUCAAAACUAACCCAACCAUCUAUAUUGACAGAUUAACUUGCAAACUGAAAAAUACUACAAUGGUGCAUUAAGGAGAUAUCAGUCAUGAAGCUUACCUCAAAAAUUCAACAUGGCCAGAUAAAUCACUUCCUUUCUCUAGUUUCUAAGAUGUAUGUCACAGAAUAAUUCAACGCAAAAUUUUCAUAUUUCCGUUCUACGUGUUGAAUUUGUUUCCAUCAAGGCUUCUAGGUCUCUAUUCACUUCAUUCUCCAACUGGCUUUCUAAAAUUUCCAAAACAUUAUCCGGAGGGCAUUUGUCUGCAGGAUUGCUAGGUGACAUUUGACAGAAGCAUUCCGGCCAAGAAUUCGUAUAAAAUGAUUCCGGUGGCACCCGCUUGUGAGGCCCACCGAAAUUCGUUUUGAGCAUGACACGCCUAACUGCUUGUUCAAAACCAGCAGUUUGUCCAUUCUCUCGAUCAAUGAAUAUUGGAGCAAGACCUUUUCUGUCCGGCCUUAUUGUAGUUCGAAAGCCAUAAUAGAGACGGUGACCAAGUAGGUUGUUGGCAAAGUUGCUCGGUCCAUCAUACGUUGGCAUAAAAAUGUCUGAAAGAAGACAGACCAUGUAAUCAACAGCCGAGCCUAACAAACCCCGUGUGUUUGCAACUAGUUCCUCUGAAGAGUCCACAGAACUGUGAUUCUCAAGGCGAGGGAAAAGAUCCCGAAAUGGUUUCAUAAAACGUUCUCCACCAAAUAAUUCACCAGCGGCUAAGUAUAUCCGUGUAGAGUUGUCAAAUCCCACAGCACGCAAGACAAGACCAACCUGCAGUUCAAACAUUCAUUUAUGUAUAAGCAUCAUCUCUCUAUUGCCACUCUGUGUAUAAUAAGUCAAGAGAGGGAAAUCAUUGAAGGAAUGAUUAACAAGAUAGAUUACCUCCUCUGGAGUUAGAGGGCAUUUGCCAAUGGCCCUUCUUUCAUUAUAAACAAGUCUUUUAUCUGCAAAAUUGUCCUUUCUAUACUUCUUCAAUACACUUUGCUCUUCUGGGCUAAAUAUAUCAAAGCACCUAUAAAACAUUCAACCCCAUCAGCCAAUCAAGUUCAUUAUGUAUCAAGAGAUUUGUUAUGUCAACCUAUGCGUUUUUGCCAAUAAUCAUUUGCAUGUAUGACUUUCACAAUUAAUUUGGGGUUUAUACAUGUAAAUGGUAAAGAUGGCUGUAUUGGAAAAUAAUUCACAGAAAAAAUUAACAGAUUGGAUUCUAAUCCAAGUCAUUGAGGAUAAAAAAAAAAUGAAAAAUAACUCUAGCAAAGCGCAUGUUUAUGUUGUUAUUUCGACCAGACAGUGUGCGGGAAUAAUAAUCAUUUUAUAUGUUUGAACAACAGGUGCAUGCAUGCCUGUAGUACCCUUUCCGCCUCAUGUCAAAAGACCUCUUACAUUAUAUUUUAUCUAAUGUGUAAAGAUAAGCACAAAUCCCGAGAAAAAAAAUUAUGAUCAUUGCCCUCAAUCUAUGGCAACUAUAAUGAAGUAAUAAAAAAAAUACACUACGAUAAGGGAAAUAACAUACCCGGCAAAUGCAAGCAUAUCCAUCUCAAAACGAAGAUGUAUCGACAUGAAAUGACCUCGUGCACGGAGUUUAUCAACUAUUGACUCACUUAACCUCAUAAUAUUUGGCUUGAACCUUAAAGCAUGAUAAUUAACUCUACACCUCAAACGUUGAUACUCAGCAUUGUCGAUUUCUUCGGCAAGGCGAUGUGAAAAGGGAGUUAGAUAAAUAGCACCGUGUUCCUUCAUUUUCUUGAGAGCAACUGUUGUAUACCAACUUAUAGGAGCAUCCCUGGGGGGGCGAAUCUAAACAAAGUGAGAAAGAAGGAAGAUCAGAAAAAGCAAAAAAAUUCAACAACUUUGAAGAUAAAAUUAUCUGCAUGAUUAAUACCAUUAAAGCUAUCAAUAUUUCACCUGAUGCGCUUUUAUCUUCUUGGUUUUGCCAUUCUUGUGAAUUUCAGGUAUGCUUUCCACAAUUCGUACAUCAUACUUCAAUGUCUGGAUAAAAUGCUCAACAUCGUAGAUACCUUGGAAGCCACUGGAGAAAUAAAGAUUGUAUCAGUACAUUAAAUUUGCAGAAGAUCCACAAGGAACAAAGACAAGUGGCCAUCUAAUUUCAAAUAAAUUGAAAGAUUGACAAGAUUACCUGUCGUCAUGCCAAAAAGAGUUUGCAUCCAGCUCAGGCAGUACAAGUGUGGCAUUCAUGAUUCGUGCAGCAAGAACCGCAUUACAGAUCUAAAACAUCAAAAGUGAUAAACUUACUAUUUUAUUGAGGUACACCGUUGAAGCAGUAUCACCAAAAUCUAAUUAUAGUUUAAACUUGGAAAAAUUUAACAUAACAAUUCAUUAGAUUAGAGUUUUUGGACAAAUUUAAGACGAACCGCACUGCGUUGUUGAUUCAGACCGCCAUUGCAACGAACUCGAAGAUAACCAUUAGUUUCCUUUGGAGGAGCUGCCAGAAUAUAACAAUUAGAAUUCUAAGAAACUUGCGUCUUUAGCAAAAACCAAUUCAAAUAGAUUUGUUUUUCUUCCGAGAAUGUUUUGAGCAGUUACGGGGCCAAUCAGAUCGUGGAGCAGAUGAUGGCCUCCAGCCACCAGACUUGGCACUUUCCCAAAGCUCUUCGACAUUAAUCUGAAUAAAUAUAUCAGAUGAAAUAAGGAUCAAAGGGUCAACUGAUCAAUACUGCUGCUGAACCAGUAAAAGUUAGAAAGGAUGAGAAUAUAUCCUAAUCACUGGCUUAGCCUACACAUGCAGAGAGUUCAAAUUAAUACAACAACCAGUCUCAUGCACCAUUAUCUGAGUACAGAGCACCCUAAAAUAGUAACAAAAGCCUAUCAAUAAAUCUGGUUAGAGUAACCAUGCAUAAAAACAACUUAAGUUUCAGAAAACUGACAAAUGAUACUCUCAUCCUUGCAAUUAGCAUAACACCAGACUAAAGCAAUAGAUAAAGCAUUUUUACUUUGACAAAUUUCAUGUAAUAAAUAGGUCAAUGCAAGAAUUAUAUGCAGAAUACAAAAGCCUAUAAGAGAUUAUCCACUACCAGCCAAAUGAAGGUUUUCACAGGCACCAUCCAAGAGAAUCUCCUAUAGCAUCUAUUCAAUGCAUUACACAAUAGAAAACCCUCUCUUUUUAUUUAGGUCCCAGCACUCUAAUAAAUUUUUGUUCUUGACUGGGACCGUAAAUAAUUAAAUAGAAGGGGUGGGUUUCAAAAGAAAAAACUGAGACAUUAUCUAAAAAUUAAAACCGCCGGUCAAACUGUCAAACAUCAUAAGUACCAGGCUUUCUACCAUCUUUUUAGCAUUGAAUAUGACAUUAGCAUUACUUAAUACUCAUUCGUCCGGUAAACCUAGCUGCCAAUUACAACAAACAAUUCAUUUUAAUAGCAUUUCUAUCUUUAAGUUUUAACAAUCCAAAAACAAACUCAAUACACUUUCUAAUCAAACAGAGGAAUUAAAGCAACAAACAAUCACUAAGCAACAUAUCAAAAUCAAAUAAACAAGAACAAGAAGCUUAAAUUUACUCCAUUUUAACUCAUUAAAUUUCCAAACUGAACCACAGACAUCAUUGCAAGUUCAAACUCUCUGAUAUGCCUAGCAUUUUUCUCAAAAAAAAAAAAACAAACAUCAAAAUCCACAAUCCACAAUCCACAAUCCAAAAAUCAAAACAGAUCACACUCUAAACACUACUACUAACCUCAGAAGGCUCGAGAGAUCCGCGAUUUCCACUAAUCGUGGCCGAAAAGAAAACCGAGAACGUGCAGAUCAAAAGCACCACAACAACAACCGUUAGCUUAGCGUAAAUUCCCUUCGAUCCUCCUCCUUGCUUCCCAUGCUGCCUAUGCAGCCCCGGCCUACAAAAGAAAUAAAAAAAAAAAGGAAUGUUCAACAAUAUGCCUGCUUGGCUCAAUGGAAAACGAAAGAAAUAGUUAAAUUUACCUCCGCAUAACUAGGAAUGGAAAAAAGAGAACAGUGUUACCUCCAGAUCUGAAGGUUUUAGAUAUUAUGUUGAAUGUUAUUUUGGAUGGGAUUUUAGUAGUCGCAGUGCAUUUUGAGUGUAGUUUUGGAGAAGGUAAGGAUGGUAAUUUGGCGGUUGUUGGGUAAAUCCGACAGUUUGUUUAAUAGGCCUUCGUUUAAUGGGCCGGGUCGGAUUUUUACCCAUAACCUUCAAAUUCAAUACGGGCACUUUAUAUAUAACACCUGUCACUAGAUAAGUGGUGCUGAGGAUUAGAUAUAGGGGUGAAGCCAGAAAAUUUGUUUAGGGUGCUGAAAUUAAAUUGUAAUUUUUACGAUAGUAAAAAUAUAAUUUUAUCAUUUUAAUAGCCUCUAUUUUUAUAAUUUUUUAAGUAUUAAAUCAAAUUUUUAUUAUUUUUAGGGGGUUAAAGUAUAAUUUUAUCUUUAUUAAUUUAAAAUUUUAAAAAGUUUAAAAGGCCUAAAUAGAAAUUUUUUUUAUUUUAGGGGAGCUGAGGCUCAGCCCCCGUUUCGCCCCUAUUGGCUAAUUUAUUAAAAAAAAUUUUAUUCUUCCUUGAAAUGAAUUUCAAUUUAACUAUAAAAAUGUAUAAAUAUCAAUGUAAAACGAAUUAAUAUCUUAUUAUUUUUUAAAAAUUAUUUAAAUUAGUCGAUUAAGUUUUAGUUUGAUUGGUAUAGAUAUUGUUACCAAUACAAGAAAACGUGGGUUCGAGGUAGUGUAUUAUCUUCCUAUUUAUGCGAUAAUAAGGGGCUAUAGAAAAUUCUAGGCAUGUGUUUAAAAGAGUAGAUACGAUCAAAACCUAUGAUAAAAUUGUUAAAAAAAUUAUUUGAAUUAUAAAUACAAAUCAAAUUAGGUUUUUGUUAAAAUUUUAUAAUAUUUAAAAAUAAAAAGUAAUAAAUACAUUAAAAAUCUGAUAAAUCGGUUGGUUACCUUUACUAGCGACAUUUACUUGUUAUUUUUGUUUAAUAUAUAUUUUAUUAUCUAAAGUAGGCAAGUGUCACAAGUGAACAUGCAGUCAUGCAACCACUAUGCCAUACAUAUAUGGUAGAUAAGGCCAUCUUGACUUGUGUCAUGAGUUGUGAAGGCUCCAUUUUUUAUUUAGAGCACGUUUGGUUCGCUGUAUUGGAUUAGAGGUGUAUUGGAUUGGAUUAGAGGUGUAAUGGAAUAGAGGUGUAAUAGCAAAUCAACUGUUUGGUUGAAUGUAAUGGAAUAGAGGCGUAAUAGUAAAACUGUGUUUGGUUGAAUGUAAUAGAGGUGUAAUAGCAUAAUGGAGAAAACUAAAAUGACCAGAAUACCCUUAGCAUAAAUUUGUUUUGGUAAAUGAUUAUUGUUAUUGUUAUUUAAAUUUUAAUAAGAUUAUUUAUUAUCAAAAAUAAAUAAUUUAAUCAUAUUUAAACAUAAUUAUUAUUUAAUAUAUUUUAAUUAAAAUAUAUAAUUUAAUAAAAUGGUUAAUAAUUAGCAGAAAUUUGUUUUGGUAAAUUAUUUUAUUUAAAUUUUAAUAAGAUUAAUAUCAAUAAUAAAUAAUUUAAUCAUAUUUAAACAUAAUAAUUAUUAAAUAUAUUUUAAUUAAAAUAUAUAAUUUAAUAAAAUUCUUAAUAAUUAAUAUUCUUAUAUGAAUUUACUCAAACCAUAAUAUAUGAUACUGUAAAAUAUAAAUUAACAUAAUUAUUAUUAAAUAUAUUAUAACUAUAUUUGCUGCAACAUCAUAGAAAUUCAAUACCGUAAAUCACUCCAAUUUUCCUAUUUAAACUCUAUAACUAUAUUUGCUGCAACAUCAUAGAAAUUCAAUGGAAGCAAACUAGACUAAAAGCAGAUAAUAGCCAAAUGUUUCCAUUUUUUCUUUUUCAUGUUUUUAAGAUGCAGGCAUACAUUGAAAGCAGAUAUGCACACUUCAGGCACAGUAUUCAUCAUACAAUUUGAAGAAAAACACUGCUACAAACAACGGCUUUUAGAUAAACUUUACAAAGGUAAACACAUCAUUAGCACAAAUUCAUAGCGGCCACCUGUUGGAGAGAUCUUGGCUGAUGAUCCGAUGACCCAGAACCAAGCUAUGACUGAUCCUGAUGCCAGACCAACUACUAGAAAUAACACCAUAACGAUGCCAGAAGUCUCUGCGUGUUGUAUCUGGACAGAUUUGGGAGCCAUGAUCAUUAACACACUUGUCAAGUAGCCAUUAGUUAGACCUAGAUUUGCCAUUUCAAACUAAAACAAAAUCCCAUGAUUUGCCACAAGUUAAAGACCAAGUCUCUCAAUAAGUGCCACUUCAAGAUCUCAUUUUCUUUUGACAUAACUCUUAAAAUUCAUUUUUACUAUGCUUUUCCCUUCAAAACAAACUUUAACAUGUUUCUGCAUUCCUAUUUGUUUAAAAGAAAGAUCCAUGCAAUUUCCUUAUUAAAAAUAAUUCAGCUUCGCAAAACACUGGUUCUCAUGCAAUUGAUCAAAAACAUGAUUUACAGUGACCUGCAAUAGGUCAAUCCAAAAUGCAUUUAAGGUUAGCAACCUGCCUGCAGCAGCAAAUGACCAUUUACAUGCAAAACUAUGGCAUAUCAGAGUAGAUAUUCAAUGGCAAGAAAAUGAAAAGUUUCUAACAAUAACCAGUACGAGAACACACCCUAAAACCAUCGGUGUGAGUAUAUAUAAAUAACAUUAGAAAGCAGCAAAUACAGGAACCAUCACAAGUGGAUGUGCAUUGUGCAUAGUGCAGAGACUGGAAACAAUGACUAACAGUCUAAAACAAUCAACUACAAUGUUGUCUGUUGUAUUGAGACAGUAUUGGAGUUAUCCAACAUAAGACUCGAUUAUUGCGAAGUAAAAUCUUACAAACUGCUUAAAGAACCAAUUUUAUGAAGAAAUACGGGAUUAUGAACCCAAAGUACAUCAAAGAUUUGAUAUGUGCCCUCAACUAUACAAAAUUUAACAAUUAAGUGCCCACAAUAGACAUGGAUACUUCCUCGAGCUCUUUUAAGUAAGGAACAACGUAUUUCUCUCUGAACUUCUUGUCAGGCAUCUUAUAAAUUGUAGUCAUGCUAACUUUCCUUCUUAGCGAAUUCUUACUUUCCAGAGUCUUAAUAACCAGUAACCGAGGCUUCAACCUACACUCAAGGCUGCAAAUAAGCACCAUUGGGUGGCUUAUUAUAAAUGAAAUACCUACAUUCGUUCUAUUAAGCAAAAAGUCAGUGACUUGCUUAAUCUUCCUUUCAGAUACAGCAAACACCUGUGGUGUCCUCCUAAAAGUAGACAUGAUAUCAUCUUCAGAGAAACCCAAUUUCCUAAAAAGCUUCAAUUUGAAUUCCCAAUUCUCUUCACUCAUUGAACUCAACAUCCUAAUAGCAGCAAGAAACAUAUUUGACUUCCUAUCGAACCCCAAGGCAUCCGCCCUUUCAACAAACUGCUUAAUGCUCUCAGGUUUAAGCAAGAAAAAUCUAGGAAAGCUGAACACAUAUGAAACAAUUUGCGAUGAACAAAUCCCGCAAUUUCUCAAGAACUCUAUAUUAGGCAUCAUAGUCUUUUGCAAAUCAGAUUUGAGAAACCAAGCAGAAGUUUUCAAUAACUUAACAACAUCAUCAUUCGAUCCUAAAACAGUCUUUAAAUCGGAAAUAGAAGGUGCAAUCCUAUCAUCCACGCUUCUAGUCAAAAUCCAGGGAUCACUAGCUACAAUAUCAGCAACAUCAUGUGUUGAAAAUCCUAAAUCCUGGAAAAUCUUGAACUUGGGUUUAAUGGUUUUCUCAAGACUAGAAUAUAGAAGGUUAGGCUUUCUUUUGACCACUGCUUCAAUAUGGGAUUUAGAGAAACCGCUUUCUUUCAAGAAGGAAAUUAUAGUAUCACACUUACGAGGAUCCUUCACAUAGGUUAGGGAAGAUGCAGUCUUGACGGCAAGUUCAGGGGAAAAGCUGUGUUUCUCAACCAAAAAUGGAGUUAGACCUGGGUCAACUCUGGAGUUAGCCGAGGCCCUUGUUGGUACCGGAAACCGGAGGUCACAGACCAGAACAAUACUAAACAGCUAAAUUUCUGAGCCUUCAAAUAAUGAAGAACAAGUUCCUUAGAAAUAGACCAAUGACUCCUUUAAGUACCAAUCUAAUAAACUUCACCAACUUUCAAGAAUUCAUGGAUCAACAAAAUUAAAUUAACAUCCAUAUCUACAGUUAGUCAAAAAGUUGGUCGUUAAAUUACCAGAACCGCCGGAUCCCGCAACGAUAGCCUGCAUGUAGCGUUCAGGCAAUUCCCCAGCCACUCCAAUGAGCCCACCUUGAACAAGCGCAUCGCCUAUACCCGCCAGAGCGAGAAGACCGACCGUGACGUAGAAUUUGUCAUACAAUCCGACCUGACCCUUAAUAUAAACCGCAUCCAUAACAGGCACGACGAGCAGGGAAACCACGAAAAUGCCCAAACCAACAUUGAUUCGCAUGUAAGCUUUACUCUUGUGAGCAUAAAAUACAAUGACCAAGAGGCAAGCGAGGCCGACGACCAUGUAAACGACGGCGAAAACACGGUGGACGGAAGCUUCCGGGUAGAGGUAGGAAAAGUAAUCGACGGCAGUGAUGAAGCUAUUCCAUGGGAGGAGAAAGCCAACGCCCAAAGUGAAGUAGAUGAUGUAGCCCAAAUUGAAUUUAUCUUCUGGUUAUAGGAAUGUGCGGAGGAGGAGGGCAGAUUCAGAGUCGGGUUUCGGGCCUCCGCCGAUUGCGGAUGCAUCGGGGAAACCCAUUUCUGUUUUUGUUUGGUUUUGUUUUGUUUUUUUCCACCAAAAUGCAACUGGGAGGAGAAAUUAUGAGGAUAGAGGAGGAGAGGGUCGGGUAGGGAGGGAGGGUAAAACAGAGAGUUGGGGAGGGAAGCCAGACGUAAUACCUAUUACUCGAUUUGGGAAGGGAUUAGAAAAGCAGGGAAUUUGGGGAUUAGGUCGGGAUUGUAUUACGCCCGUAAUACCUAUUACAGCGAACCAAACGCCGGAUUAGGGGCGUAAUGUAAUAGGCGCGUAAUCGGUCAGUAAUGGAUUACCUAAUACAUUGAACCAAACACAGCGUUAAUGAAUUACCUACUAUUCCUUACUCUCUAUACAACAUAAAUGAAAACAUUCUCAAGCCACCUCCUAAAAUGAUGAUUAUCAAAGUAAUAUAUUAAAAAACAGGGAAUAAUUUGCUAGAAAGUAUAGUAGAGAACCUUAUAUUAGGGUAAAUUGCAUUUUGUUAAUUUACUUAGAAAAAGUGUAAAUUAGUAUUUUCGUUAAAAAUUCUAUUUAUAUAUGCAGUUAAAUGAUGAUUUGGAUUUUUUUUAAAUUUUUUUUUUAUGUAAGUGAUGUGGGAUUAAAAGAUGAGUAGAUGAGUAGGUUGAGUAAAAGGACGAUGGAGACAUUUGUAUUAGAAGUCGGAUUGAAUUUUGCUCCUACUUAAAAAUAGGUAAAUUAAUCAUUGUGCUUUAUACAAAGAGUAAAUAUAUCCUUUUGUUAGAAAAAUUAUCUAUUUCUACUUUUAAGUGAUGACGUGAUUGAUGGAGCAACCAAAUACUUAUGUGUGGUUUGCCACAUGUGUCUUAUGCUGAUGUGGCAGAUUUUGUCACAAUGCCACGUCAGCAAAUAUUUAAAAUUGAUUAUAACCAUUUGUUCAAUAUCAUUUUGGACUUUCUUUAUAAUUUUAUUAAUUCUAAAAAGAUUCUUAAUAAAUUUUAAAUAAUUCUUUAUGUUUCUAUAAUUUUUUUUUUUGAUAAAAUUCUAUAAUUUAAUUGAAAGACCAUAUACAGGAUGAAAUGAAUUAGGACAACCAUUUAUCUCGAUUCAUCAUGGAGGUGAUUUUUUAAAUAAUUAUAAACAAUAUUUAUUUUAAGGAUUUAUUAAACUUUUAAAAAUAUUAUCACGUUAGCAUGAGGUAUACAUGCCAUGUCAUGUGUUAGUACUUGGUUCUUUCGUUAACCACAUCAACAUUUAACAGUAUAAAUGAAUAGAAUUUUUAAUAGAAGAAUACAAAUGUCUUCAUGGUACUUUUAUCUUAUGGUGCUCAUCAUUUAAUUCCAAGGCACUUAUGUUAAAAAAAAAAUGAAAAAGCCAAAUCAUUACUUAACAACAUGGAAGGGUCAAUUUGCACUUUUUAUAUGGAUUAAUUUGCUCAUUUUUAGUAAAGGGGGCAAAAUGAAAUCCGCCUCUUACUAUAGGGCUUUCCAUGAUACUUUUAUCGAAAUAAUUUACAUUAUGAUGAUUCUAAAAUUCAAGAUUCUUAGGCUGUAAACAUCAUCAAAAUUUAAAUAUAUGAAAUUAUUAUACAUCCAUCCGUAUUCAACAUAUUCUCUAAUUCUAGUUAAAUUAUUUAAAAUAUAAACAAUUAAAAUAAAUAUAUAUUAAAUAACACUGAAACAUUAAAAAUUAAACAGUUCUUAUUAUUGAAUAUUUAAUGCAAUAAAAUUGUUAUACUUUUCAAAAAAUAUACUUAAUCCUUUCACUUUUGCAUACAAAAUUAACAAAGAAAUAAGAUUCAUUAAAAUAGAUGAAAGUUCCUUAAGAUAAUAAACAGUUUUAUUGCAUUGAAUCUGAACUGUCUAACUUCUAGAGUACGUUCGGUUCGCUGUUAUGGAAUAGAGGUGUAAUGGAAUAGAUGCGUAAUGGAAUAGAGGCGUAAUAGGUAAUUCUUUUGUUUGGUUGAAUGGAAUGGAAUAGAGGCGUAAUGAUAUUUCUGUGUUUGGUUGAAUGGAAUAGAUGUGUAAUAGCAUAAAGAAAAAAACUAAAAUAACUAGAAUACCCUUAGCAGAAUUUUUUUUAGGUAGAUGAUUAUUGUUAUUAUUAUUAAAUUUUAAUAAGAUUAUUAAUAUAAAUAAUAAAUAAUUUAAUCAUAUUUUAACAUAAUUAUUAUUAAAUAUAAUUUAAUAAAAAUAUAAUUUAAUAAAAUUCUUAAUAUUAAAUAUUCUUAUAUGAAUUUAAUAAAAUCAUAAUAUAUAAUACUAUAAAAUAUAAUUUUAAAAAAUAAAAAAAUCAUUUUAUGUAAAAACUCAAUUUUUUAUAUGAAAAUAAAAUUUAUAAAAAAUUAUAUUUUGUGAGAAAAUUAUUUAUAUUUAUAAAAAACAACAUAUUAUCUAAAAAUUUAGAGUCUAUUUUAUUUGCAGAUUUUAAAAUUGAUGAAAAAUAGAUUUCAUUCAAAAAAGAAAUAUUUUUAAAAAUUAAUUUACGCUUUUAGAAUGUAUACGACAUUUCUUAAAAAGAUAAAAGCCCGAUUUCAUGUUUCAUAAAAAAUAUAUUUUGGCAAUUAAUUUGUCAAAUAAAUGUAUAUUAAAAAAGUUUAUAAUGUUGGUGUAAGAACAUUUUCGAUUUAAAUAUUGAGUCAAAAACAAAUACAUUAUUUGAGUAGAAACUUUUUUUUUAAUUUGUUUGAACUAUUUAAUCGGAGGUAAAUAUAUAAUUUUAAACAAAAAUAAAAACCUUUUAAAUUUAAUAAUUUAUACUCAAACCAAUUGCCGAUCCUCCUUGAAUGGUUGAAAUGAUGAAACCAAAAUGAAACAAAAUACGACCAUUAAAAGCAUAAGUACCAAAAUGAACAUUAAAACCAAAAAUAGGGACUAAAAAAUAUAUUUACCCAUCGAUAUAGUACCAAAAUGAGAUGAACCACCAGUUCACGACCGAUGGUUAAAUCCUGUCUUUUCUUUUUAAACUCUGCUCACAGAUACAGAUUCACGGGAUGAGAAAAUGCAUCAGAUUGUCUCAGCAAGUUUCAAGACAUUAUCCCACACUUAUCCAACUAUAUUCCUUUUUCCUCAUUUUGGGUUAAAUGUUCCAAGGUAUUUUCUACAAUGAAUCCUGUGGAAUAUGUAACUAACUAUCCAGUCUUUCCAAAUGCAAAGCUGGAAUGAGAUGUUAAUAUAUACAGCAUACAUUAAAUAAAAAUAAAACAACAAUGGCAAAAAUCUUGUUUGUCCACAAACCUCAACAUGCUGCAUUCCAAAAUAAGUUGCAUGAGGCAAAAUCUCUUAUAUCAAUGCACAUUGAGCAAUGGCCAAAGCAGCAGUAGACACACUACAUGGUGGUUUGCCUCUUUCAUGAAAAUUUUGAUUCCAUCAAGAAAACCAAAUGAUCUGAGUUUUGAAGCCAGUGUCAUUCUACAACUCGACUCCUACUCCUUCCAGUGCGGCUGCCAUUGAAGUAGAUGCCUCUUCAAGUGUUCGCUUCUUUUGAACAGUGUUGAAGGCCUCAAGAAUAUCUCCUUCCUGCCAUUGAUCAUAAUCUUCCACUUCCAUACCACACUCCAAACCAGCAUUUACCUGUCCACAAAAUUAUCAACUAAAUAUGAAACCAAGGAGAAUUCCCGCAUCCCCUAAAUUAUCAACCAUACAAUUUUAGUAAGAAAGCUGAAGAUAUUGAUGCUGAUAUAGCCAUUUUGCAUGAUGAUUGACCUAGUCUCUCUUGAAAAAGCAUCUUCAAACAUGAUCUAGAAGUACAAGACCACAAUCCAACUUUACCAAACAUUAAACUUCCUGUAACAGAAGUAACUUCCAUAAACAUUUCUCAACAUAAUGAAAAGGAUUAACAAAACCAAUGCAAAAGCAUUAAAAGCAAUGCCACUGGAUCUUACAUUACAAAAAUCAGGACAAAGAUCGGCUCACUGACAAGUAAAAUACUAAGAUCAAAAGAUGUUCCAAGGCAUUGAAUUAGAACCAUUUCAUCAGACAAAUGAACAGGAGAAGCCCACUACAAUUAGAUGCAUCUACUGUUGAUACAAUAUAUAUACUAUAAUCAAAAUCUAUCCUUGGCAUCCCGUGAAACUGAAAAUUCCUAAUUAUUAUAGAAAGCAUAGUAAAGAAAAUAGAUUUAAAAAACACUUUUUAAAUUUAAGAAAAUUCCUAAUUGUCAAUCAUACCAUUCAUACUAAAAUAAAUUAAAAAAAAAACACUUUUUUGGGUUGGGGAAAGGAUCCAAAAAUACACUCAAAGGCAAAACACUUCCAACCACAAAGGCAAUCAAAGAUGAACAUGAGUUCAGUCUAUCAUUCAAAAUUUCAGUUGAGGAUCACCCAGCUUCUAAGAAAAUCGUCAAUGCAGGUUGCUAUCUUUACAAAACAAACCUUACCACACUUCAUAUAGUCCAAGUUGGAAACAAGUACAAAGAAUUCAAUAUUUUGUUCAUCCCACUGCUUAGCUAAACUCGACUUAUUAUUAAUCAAAUAUAUAAUGAUCUCCCAUCUAAAUAUUCAACAUAGAAACUUCUGGUUGCGGAUCUUUUUAUAUGCAAUUUUAUCCAUUGUUUUGAUUUUUUUUCUGUCAUCUUUAUGUCAAAUUACUAGGCAGCAUAUCAAACCCAUCAAAUCCUCCCAAGCACAAUUAUUAGAUAAUAUUUACAUACUUAUCUGUAGUAGCCAAUAUGCCAGCAGAUACAUAUGAGAAAGACAUGAAAAAGUUUACUGGAAGAGUCAGCAUGCAUUAAAAUUUCAUAUUAAAGAGAGCUGUUGAUAGAAACGUGAACAAAGAAAAAAAAAGGGUACUAUCAAUCAGCAGUAUACCUCUUUAACAAUUUCCUUAACCCUUUGCAAUGAAUCAAGAACACUGACAUGGACUGUGCGACCAUUUCGAAUGACACAGAUGCCACAACCAUCCACUAUCUUUCCCUCUGUUACCAUACAUCCAGCAACACGACCACUACCACUGCUGAAAACAGCCCGAACCUCUGCAGAGCCAAUUGGUACUUGUUCCUAUCAAAAGAAGAGCAGUAUACUGAAAGCCAGCAAGAUUUUAAACAAUCAGAGUAUUUCACCAAAAUCCGAGUAUUUCACCACAUGGAUAUAUCAAUAAUCACACAAAACUUUCCAUUCAGCUGAUAUACAGAGAUACCAUGGGUUUACCUAAAACUUCCAAUCAAAAUCCAUUUGCAAAUCAUACCCAACAGAACACGAACAAUCCCAACUAUUUUAAAGAAAAUAUACCUGAAUGCAAGCACCUAGCAGUAUGAAAAAGAAAACAUAUAUGCAUACACAAAUCUUGACAAUGUCCACCGUAUAUGAUCAUGAAACCCAAAUCGAAAAAAACCUUAGCAAUUAGCAAAUCGGUUGAAAUUCUCCAAUUCUUCAAUUACUAUCAAUAUUAACGAGCAUCCUAAUUCUUCAUUGGAAAUGAUGCUUGAGGCAUAAAGAUUUAUGCCCAAAUCAAAACCUAAAACUAAUAAACUAAGUACUGAUCAUAAUUUCUAGCUACUCCCAAUAUUUUUAUUCAAGGUAAAUAAACACUUAAUUAGUUUCAGAGUUUGUACGAAUUUAAGGUAACAUUAAAUCACCCGUAUUCCAAUACAUCAACAUCAAUUCUGGAAGCACAUAAAGAAAGAAACCCCACUAGUCAAUCCGAGAAAUCUAGUUGCAAUUUAGACUUAGGAACAAAGUUAACAACAAAAACGAAAAACACAAUAAACGAUCUUGAUAACAAAGAAAAAGCGGACGAGGCACUUACAUGUCCUCUUACGAGCAGCAGGGAAAGCACAGGCAGAGCAACGGCUCUUCUGGAGAUGGAAGCUACGGCGGCCACACCUAACGCAGAGAGUGUGGGUCUUGUUCCUUCUUUUACCAAAACUCCCUGUUCCCUUUCCCUGCACAUUACCACUUUUUUUAAUUUCAUUUUCAAAUAUACAAGUAGAUCAAGGGGUGGAAAAAGAGAAAUAAAAGAGAAAUAAACAGAGAUAAUCCAUGAAGAAAUAAAAUGAAGAAAGUAAAAGAAAUGAACGAUUAGAACCGAUGGCAGAACCGAUGGAAGGGAAAUGAAAUUACCUGGAAGGGAAAGUGGGAGACUCGGAAGCUUGAUGAGGGCAAAAAAUGGAAAAGAAAAGAUGAAAAGCAAGCGGAAUCCCUAAUCCGCGCUGAGGGGCCGUAAUAGCUAUUACGCGCAAUGGAGGUAAUCGGCCAGUAACCGAUUCGGGCUGUAAUGUGAUUACAGCGAACUAAACACCCGUUUGGUUGUGGGCCCACUGCAUAGUGGGGAAAUGCAUGCUUAUUCCUCAAGUACCCAAAUAUAUAAAUUUUUGUAAAUAUAUGUACUAAAUUGAAUUAAUAAAUAAUACUGAUAUCACAUUAAAAAUAAGUCAAAGUCAAGUACCAAAUGAUUUAUUAAGCUUGUAAUAUUUAAUUUAUCAAAUUGAAAAUAAUUUUACUUUUUGACAUAGAAACUAAACCUAGAUCCCAAAGUGAAAAUAUGAUACAUGCAUAAAAAAAAGUAAUAAAAAAAACCCAAUAAUUUCCAUCAAAUUUUAAAAAUUUGAAUUCACGUCCUUACAACUUUGAGUUCCUAAACAAUGCAUCAAUCUUUGUUUAUUUUUUUUUAUGUAUUCUUCCACGGUAUAUAUCAACAAAGAUGCGACGACAGAAAUGAACCAUGUCUUCUUGUUUAAAAGGAAAACAAUCACCAUGUGUAAGACAAUCACCAUAUUUCAUCACGAACACCGCACAAUCAACCAAGCUUUACGUUGUAGUACAAAAGAAAAGAAAAAUAAGAUAACGAGUAAAUAAAAGAUAAAAAAGCUACAGAUUUUUUUAGAGAUGAAUGCUUACUUUUUUUGCUCUGGAAUAUCAUUACGCACUAAAAAUGGCCAUUCCUUUGCAUCAACAUAACCCAACUUUGGCAGUAGAAGAGUUGUAAACCAUUGUAAUAUUAUGUCUUUUUCGACAUUAUAAGACCUUAUUCGAGAAGAUGCUAUUGGAUCCAACCAUGAAAUCUUCUUCUCUUUGGUAUCCACAUAGAAAAGAACCCAAUGUUUUGAUAAACUCAUUGGUAGAAACAUCUACAAUCACAUAUCCAAAAAAGAAAAAGGAAAAACAAUUAUUGUUAGUAACAAUCGACGAUUUAAAUUACGAUUGAUUUUUCUUACUGUAAUGUAAACAAUUACAUCCCAAGUAUAAACUAAAAAGAAAAAAAAAAUCAAGAGCUUACUUUAUGUACACCCCUUAGCUCAUCAACUUUAACCCAAGCUAAUACUUCUUGUUCUGUUCUUGGUCCUUCUAUCAAUUGAGUCUGAUGAUUGCAAAAAUAUGAUAGUUUAUAUAUAUAUAUAUCGAAAUAUUGAUAGAUUUUGACAAGAUAAAAAUUCUUACAGCUAUUUGUGAGCCAAAUGAAUAGUGAUUGAUGUAUAUAUUUGGAAAUUUGUCAGAUCUCUUCUUAAGCAAUUCAAAAAACGUAUUAACAACCUGCAUCGUAACAUAAAAGAUCAAUACCAUCGAUUUAUUUACAAUCAGAUUCAUACUAGAUUGUAGACAUGAUAGCACUGAACACAACAUGAGAAAAAUAUAUAUAAUGCAUAACACAAAUAUAUGAUUAUGAAAAUGAUAUAAAUAUACAAAUUAUUGAAUUAAUUUAUCCUUGAUCAUUAUACAUUCGAUAGUUACUUACCAAAUCCUCAAUAUAGUACUCUUCUCGAGUUUCAUCACCUUGGGGCACCAUGAGUAGAGGUGCUAAUUUCUCACCCUGGAUUUUAAAAUAUUUAUCUCGUCCAAUCAUUUUUCUGUGAGAUAUAAACGUCGUUAUAUAGCUAGCUUAUGAUCAUCACUUCAUAUUCUAAUAUUAACUUAUCAAAACUAGCAACAUACCCCUUCAACUCAUUCUUUUGCCAUUUAUCUAUCAGUUCAUUCUCCUUUUCUGUAAACUCCGAGAGUAAAUAUGCCUUAAUAUCCUAUAACAACAAUAACCAAAUAAAAUCUUGAUGUAUGAAUAAAACUAGAAGAAUGUAUGUAUAUUUAUAUCAGACCAUGAUCCUUGCUCUUUUAAUGUUAUUUCAACAUCAGACUCGGAAGAUGAACUCUGAAGUUGAUCUGAUUGAUCAUUGUCGGAUGAUGAAUCACCACUCGAAACGUCCUCAACGUUUCUUCCAUGAUUAAGUUCUGUAACAAAAAGCUUUGCUUAAUAAUUAAGCCAUUCCAAUGUUGAAGAAAAUCAUUAUUCAAGUAGUUGAUUUAGUUGAAAAUACCUGAUGAUGACUUUUCUUGGUGAAUGGCCCGUAAAGAAAUAGUUCCCAUCUUUUCAUUUCAAGUAAAAUAAUAACAUUUAUUCUUUAAAUAAAGAGAAAAAAAAAAAGAGUAAAAAUCAACAUUCAACCUCCUACCAUUUUGUUGGAAGCUUUGGAUUUGUUUCCACUACUAGUUUCUCCAUAACACCCAUUUCUACUACUGUUCUCUGUUUGCAGCUCUUUCAGAUUCAGUCCAAGAUGAGAAAUAAAGAAAAAAAAAACCUUGUCAAGAAAUUCAACUACAAUUUAAUAGCAAAUUAAAUAAACAAAUUAAUUAAUGUACUUACUUCCUAUUGAAAUUUCUCCAGCAGGUUCAUCUGAAAACAUUGCGACACCAUUGAAUUAAAAUAAAAUGUAUUACCAUAUGAUAUUUCAACAGAUUAAUUAAUUUUAAGUUAAAUACUCAUAUUAAGAUUGACAUUCGAGUUUGAGUAGCAUAGUAGUUAAUAAUAAGUAUAGAUUAAUUACCAUUGUUGUUGGAAUCUUUGUCAAUAUCUUCAGUACUAAUAUCUUUCUCACAAUUCGAAGGUUUGGAUUUUUUUCUGACACAAGUGUCUUCAUCCAGCUUCCUUUUUCCUUUAUCCUAUGAAAUGAAAAUGCAUUAAGGUAAUUCAGUUUUCAAGGCAUACGAAAAAAAAUUCAAUGGAGACAGCUUCUAAUCAUAUUUUAUGUACAAUGCCUACCAUAGUUUGUGUGGGUUCAUGAUUUUCUCCAUCAUCUGUGAUAGCAAAUCAACACUGUUAAGUGAUAAGAUAAUGUAAUACUAAAGAACAGAGUAGACCCUAAAUAAAGUGUAGGAAAAUAUAAUUGAAGGAUCUAAACAAAUUAAGAGUAAAGACUUACUUCCUUUUGGAGUUUCCAACCAGUUUUCACUGCAUACCAAAGCUUCCAUGCUCUCAGGAUUCAAGAUAUUGUAGGCUGGAUUAUUGAUCGUGGCCUUAAUAUUUGAACAUGGUAUGAAAAUUGAUACUGGAAUCGCGAGGAAAUCUCGAGCCAUCUUUGCAAGUAUUGGAAACAUUUGAGAUUUAUCAGACCACCAACCAAGUAUGUCAAAGAUUGCUCCAUCCAUGGGAAUUAAAUGUUCAUCUAAGUAAAGCUCAAGCUCUGACUUCGAUGAGGCCUCGCUUGCAGUUACAAAUUUACUGAAGGAGUCCCAAAUAGAAUUAUUUCCAAGCCAAUUGAUAUCAUCCAAGACUGAAGCGGAUGUAGUUUGAUUUUUGGUUUCAUUGGCAUACUCAUUGUAGACAUUCGUAAGAACUUCACGAAACGUGUUCAAUUGCAACUUACUAUCAUGGCCAUAAAUCACUUUAUAUGAGAACUCCACAACUUUAAAUUUUAACCUUGGAUCAAGAACAGAUGCAACAGCUAAUGCCGAAUUGCAUAAUCUCCAAUAGUGGUCGAAUCUCCUCUUCAUCAAUGUAACAAAUGAAGGAUUGCUUUUUUCCAACUGAAGAAAUUUCAUGUAUAUGUCACAAAGCUUUAGAAGGUACAAGCUUACAGUAAGGGAUUGAGUUCCUUUGAUAUCAUCAAAGCAUCUCAAACAACUCUGUAGAGCUGCUGCAUUCUCCCAUUCCUCCAUUGAUGGGUUUAGUUUAAAAUUGCCAUCAAUUUGCUCCAGUUUACAAAAGAUUUCUCUUGAUCUCAAAGCACUAUCAAGUAUGCCAAAGUCUGAUGCCAGCUUGAGAGAAAGAUCAUCCCAUGAUUUCCCAUCUUGUAGCUUCACUUGAUCUACAGCUUCUUGGAAUUUCAAUCUUCCAUGUUUUGUUUCAGUGACAUAUUCAAUGGACUUCUUUAACUUAAAAAGUAGGUCAUCCAUCUCACGAAACCCAUCCUCAAGAAGAGUGCAAUUGAUGAACCAAUGAGUUGAAGAAAGGGAGACUAGAUUACUGAGACAAUUUUCUUUUAUCUGUUGAACCAUACUGUCAUCCAAAAAAGAGUUAUCCACAGUUAUGGAACAUACUUUAUUGCCUAUAUUCCACUCCGAAACUAAGCUCUGAAUAAUCCCACCAACAGCUUUUGUGUCAUUGAUAUGCUCCAAAGUUCUCAAACCAAGAGUCUUCAUCUUUAGUUCCCAACUAUCAUCAAUAAAAUGUGCUAUCAAACAACAAUAUGCAGUCUUUCCAUGAUUGUUCUUCGACAAACUUACUGUCAAAUUUAAUUUGCAAGCAAGCUGAUCAAAAUACAACUGAAGUUUCUCUCUCUCUUCAUUAUAGAUGCGAUGUAUGUCAGAUAACAAUUUAUCUCUUGAUUGAAACUCAUACAUUGGCUGCAAACCUUUCACAAAAUUCUUGAAGGCUUCUUGACCAGCCAGAUCUAAUGGAUACUGCUGCCUAAUAACCAUUUUCACAAGAGCCAAGUGACUCCUUUCUUGAUCAAAUGUUGAGCUUCUUUCAUUGGUAUCAACUGGAAGUAUCAACUGGCUUUCUUGAUUUUGUUUUUUCUUUCCAGGACAUACUUUCGAGUGGUUAUUCAAGUGUGUGGUUCCACUCUUACUUGACCCAGUAAGCACCUUGGGGCAGUGUUUACAUUUGGCUACUUGUUUUCCUUCUUCUUCAGACUUAUGAAAGUCCACCCAAACCUUUGACCUCAACUUUCUCUGUUUGUUUCGUUUUGUUUCCACAAUCUGAGAGUCAUCAUUGAAAAUAAUCUAUGAAAAAUGAGAAUAAUAAAUCAUGUAUAUUACUUUAUAUGAUUUCAAUAUUUUAUCCAAAGGGAAAAUAAUAUAAGAAUAUAUAAGGUAAUGUAAUUACCUGCUCAAUAUGCGCAUUUAUUUCUUUUGCACGAAUGCCCCUUGCUUCUUCAGCUAUUUUCAAAGGCAUUGCUGUGUUUGAAGAUGUAGGAAUGCUUGAAAUGGCUUCUUCUUGGAACUUAAUUUCGGGGCCUUGAACUUUUACUGUUACAAACGUUGUCUUCAUAUGUUUCAAGUCAUCGAAGAUACGAAGAGCUAAGGAUUUUGAUAUUUCACUCUCAGUUGGAGGCCAAUAAAAUUCUACGACAUAAACUUCAUCACUUGUGUGACGAUUUUGUAGACAGAUGGCAAGAGCAACAUCUAUGUUACAAUCCUUUAACAUGAAAUAUUUGAAGUCUUCUACCUCAGUAAGAGAUGGUUCAAAAUGAUAGCCAUCCCUUGAUUCAAAUGCUUUCUCAAAAAUGGGGACACUGAUCAUGCGUUCAAAACCAAACAUAAAAUCAUAAGAUUUCCGAUCUUUCACAUAACAAUAAUUACUUUGGAUAAAAAAAGUGUGUUUCUUAUUUGGAUCCGAGAUAGUUCCAUUCAUAUUGUUAACCUUAGAAGCCCAUGUUAAAGCCAAUGAAAGUUUGUAUUUACAACAUAAAUCUUUUGAUAUAUUAUGUAUCUCGGCAAGUGCAGCUAAUCGAUUCAAUAUCAAACCCUGUAAAAUUAUUAAAUAAAAAACAAUUACCACAAAUAAAAUUUGAAAAAUUGAAAUAACACUCUAAAUGAAAAGAAUUUUGACAUUGUACUUUUAAUUUGAUAAAGAUAAUUAAAAUUGAAAGGUGACUUUUUUCAGUUAGUUAUUCAUAAAUUUAAACAAAUUAAAAACAUAAUGUCAUAAUUAUACUUAUUCAAAUAAUUUGAUUUUCUCUUACAUAGAUAGGUAUUCAUAAGUUAAAGUUGGAUUGAACCAAAAAAAAAUUAAAAGCUCAUCUGAGUCAAGUCUAGACUUCCUAAAAUAGUUAAUUUUAUUAUUUUAAAAAUUAAAAUAUUUCAAAUAUGAGUAUAUGAGUAUUUUUAUUUUUAUAAUUAAAUUUAAAUAAAAAUUAUACUUUUUAUUGUAAAAGAAUAAUUCAAGCCGACAGGCCUAAAUGCAUUUAAACAUGUACAAAGAUAGACUAUAUUUGCUUAGUCUUGGAUAACGUGAAUCUUAAUAAGGAUUAAAUAAAUUGAAUUAAAACUUUUAAUAAAAAAGCUAAUAUUUUUUUUAUUAAAAUUUAAAUAUUUUUGGUAUACUAAAAUAUAGUAGUUGAGAGUUGGCUCAAACUUGACUAUUAAUAUGAUCAAUAAUUUAUUUACAAAAUUUAUCAAUAAUGAACAAUAAAUAUUUUGUAUGAAAAAAAAAGAAAGAAAGAAGAGGUAAAUGUAAAAGUAAUACCUCUAGAAAAGGUUGAAGAGGUUGAAGAGGCAGAGGAUUUGGAUUGAAACCUACAAAGAUAUUACAUUCGAUGAAAAUGCUAUAAUUAGUCAAAUAAAGAAAGGACAAAUGAAUCAACUUUUAUUAAUUUGGUCACUUUCUGUUUAAUUCAACUGAUAACUAAUAAUGUCCUAAAUUAUAAAUUAAUUUAUAUUUUAUAUAUCAUUAUAUUUAUAUUUUUCAGAAUAUUUAAGCUAUAAUCAGUAAAUUAGGCUGGAAAGCUUCUUUUUUCUUUAGAUGUAAAUCCGGCUAAGUUGUGAAGAUAUUUUUGCAAAAAAAAAAUAAUAAUAAAUUAUAAAAAUAGCCACUUUUAUUUGCUUUAGAUUACAUCUUAAUAUCUUAUGUUUGAAAUGUUAUGUUUUAAUCACCUACGUUUUGUUACAAAUUAGUCACUCUACCGUUAAGUUGGCAUUUAAAAUUCAUUUGGACUAUCAGGUACGACUACGUUAGAGAAACUACUAAAACAUAACAUUUCAAAUAUAAAUAACAAAAAUAUAAUUUAAGACAAAUAAAAAUAAUUAUUUUUAUAAUUUGGUUGUUGAACCAUCAAUUCAAUUGUAAAAUUAUUAUAUAAUUUUAAAAAAAAAUACCUUGAUCAAACUUAUAGUUGGUGGAAUUGGAAUUGAAGUGUCCAUCUUCAACUUUGGGUUUCCAUGCCGAUAAGAAAAACAUUGGACAUCCUUGUAACCUAAAAUCAAACACUCUUCUUCCUCCCUCAUUAUUUUUAAGAAACUAUUAUCCUCAACGCUAAGAUUAUCUUUCCUGUGGUUUAAUGGAAUUCGACUAAAGCCAGCAGUUGAAAAGAGAUGUUGCCAUUCUGUCAACGUUGGGUGCCGCCUAAUUAUAUUAUUACCUUCCCCUGCCUCUAUGUUGAACUCCCACUCCUUUUUCCCAUCAAGAUAACGGUCCAACUCCUGCCAGUAAUCAAGAGUCUUCAACGAAUACUGAAAUGAAUCCUUGAAACACGUCAAGAAAUCGGAGUCGCUAUGAUUAGAAUAAAAGUCUAGAAUGAUUACAAUCGUCGGAUUUAUCUCCUUCAAUCUUACUAACUCUCUCUUCAUUGCUUUUGCAUCUCUUACCAACUUCUCAAGUUUAAAUUUAUAGUAAACCACCACCAUUUCAUCAUCUCUUCUUCUUUUGAAAUCUAUUUCACAUUCAUCCACUUCUGCCAAACUAUUGCCAUAAACCACUUUCAACUCAUCCUCCAACUCUACAUUAACUUCCUUGGCAUCCUCAGUCAAAAACUCCAUUUGGCGUGAGAACUCGACGUAUUCUUUCAUAAAUGGUGGAAGUAUGUAACUUACACGGACGGGUAGACGAUAGCAGAAGAAGUUCGGUAGUGUACUAAGAACUGAACCCUCAAAACCGUAAUACGGGAUGUUGAAAUCAAUGAGGUGCAAUCGCCUGUUUCCCAUCAAAGCAUCAUCGAUAACUUUUUUUAUGACGCCAUUAAUAUGGUAGCUGUUAUAUUGAUAAUAUGGUGCAGGAUCCACCGGGAAAGUGAAGUAGGAAGAAGCGGGAUGCAGUCCGUAGGCUCGGCGAACCAGAGCGUACGCAAAGUAUUUCACCACUAUGCUGUCAUCUCGAAACCAGUGGGGUCUCUUAUCGGCAAGAAUCAAGAUAACGUGAAGGAACGCAUCGGCGCUUUUCAGAUCCCGAUUUUCAAUAGCUUCAGCGCAGAAUAGUAACAAUCUCAAGGCGGUGUCGGAAAAAGAAGAAGCCAUGAAAGAAGUUGAGAUUCAACAGAGUUUGAGUAAAGCAGAAGAGAAAUAUGGUAGAAAGGUAAGUGAAAGCAGCAAGAUGAUCACUCAGGUUUCCGCAUAACCGAGCGGCUAAGGGUUUUGUUGGCCUGUUUUAGCAGCUAAUGGCGUGUUUAGGGUUUAUUUUUUUAGUUUAAAACAAAUUCUUAAAACGGUGCCGCAUUGGAACUGACCCGCUCGGUGACCCGACCAGGGGAAGGAUCGGCGCGUCUAGCCUUGAUGGUCUAUUUCGUUCCAAGUCCUCCUUUUCUGUGUUUGAUUUCAAUCUAGUUUAUGUUGCUUCUUUAAAUUGGGUUGUAUAAUUUCCUGCGAAUUUCAUUUCGGUCCUCAUGUAACGCUGCGUUUUAGGAGGAUUGGAAAUAUUCCCGUUUUGUUCCCUCAUGUUAUUCGCGCUCUGCACUUUAGUCCUUUUUAUUUAUUUAUUUCAAGUCUGUUUGUUGCUCUUUAAUUUUAUUUUAAUCCCAUUUUGACCCAUCAUUUUAUUUUUUUUUAUUUUUUAUUUUUUCCUUCUACUUCUGUUUUAAUUCAAAUUCAGUUCUUAUUAGUGUAUUUUUUUAAUUUAAUUGGUUCUUGUUUUUAAUAUAUUUGUUUUUAAAUCUAGCAUUACUUAAUAUUUAAAGUUAACAUCGUUUUAAAAUUUAUCAUUAGUAUUAUUUUAAGAUAUAACAUGUUAUUAUUUUAAAUUAUUAUUAAAAUUAUUUAAAUUAAUCAUACAUUAACAUUUCAAAUUCAUUAUGUAUUAUGAUUUUAAACUUAACAUAUUAUUAUUAUUUAAUUCAUCCUUAAUUAUUUUAUAUUUUUUUAUGAAAAUUUGAUAUAUUUUGUAUACGGUUCUGAUAUCUUAUAAUAUGUAUUAUUACUAUUAUGUUUUACUUUAUAUGUAUUACCUAUAUAAAAUUAAUAUAUGUAUGUUAUUUGCUUCAAACUUAUUUCAAAUACUAUUAUUCAAACGUUUUUUUAUUCAAUUUCGAAUCUAUUUUAUACUCACGUAUAUAAUUUAUUUUAAAGCUUUGGUACAUAGAAUCUAUAAAUUAAAAUUUCUCCUUUGUUAUUUUUAGUGUAUCUUUAAAAAAAAAUUAUUAAUAAUUCAUUUAAUGUUUGACCGUUGAUAUAGAUAUUUAUAUGAUAUAUGAUUGAAAUUAUUGUUGUUAUGCUUGUUUGUAUUUGUUUAUUAAUUGUUUGUUAUUCAUUGGUGUACAUUUUGUUUUCGAAUAGUCCUUUUUGCGUUACACGUAAACAUUCAAUCACAUUACAUUGUUUAAAAGAUUAUAUUUUAUUAAAAUAUCGAAAUUGUUUUAUUUAUAAGUUUUCAAAAUACCCGAUGUCUAAAGAUUCUCGAGAAAAUUGUGCCCUAACUUACUGGGCUUCAAUUUUUUUUUGUUGGAUUUAGAUGGCCGAGUAUCUCUUUUCCAAUUACAAAAUUAUACACAUUUCAAAAUUAAAGCUUAUUCUCGGGAAUUCAAAGUAUUAUUUAAUCUUUUUUUAAUCACUUAGGUUUUAAAUAAUUUAACUAGAGUGGGAGGAUUGGUUAAACAUGGAUGAGUGUGUAAUAAUAAUUUCAGUUUAAAGUCCUUAAAAAUUAAUGAAUGAUGUGACCAAAUUUUAUUAGUACCUAAAAAUCUUGAUUUUUAGUAUCAUCAUAAGAUAAAAACCAAAAUGCGUGAGAAGAAUAAUUUUAAUCAUAAAGUAAACUUUUAUAUCAACUGGUAAGAUAUAUUGCACUCUUAAGAGAACGCAAAUUAGAACUUUGAAAGUUUUAACUUUAAAGACAGCAUUAUUAAAAAUGGCAACAUCAAACCCCGAACAUAAACCGUAAAACGAAUAUUAACAGUAAAAAAAUAGAUUAAACUUUUAUAUAAAAGUUCCUUCUUCCCUUGCUUCCCUCCUCCAUCCCAGCCAAACAUAGCAUGAUAUGCUUACAGCUGAAGAUGUAUAACUAAUAAGUUGUCUUCUUUUUUAUGAAUAUUUAUUUUUGGGUUCCCCAUUUCUCUCUGCUCCAAUCACAUUUUUACUUUUUCCAUUUUUGGGUUUACAUUUAUCUAAUUUGAAAAAUUACCAUCAAAGAUACAAACCAAAACCUUCUUUCUAAUUUUCAUUUUUAGAUUCAAAGUUGCCCCAUUAUGUGUUCUUGUUUCGUUGGUACAGAAACUGGGGUGGGGGGAGGGGCUGGGGGGUUUCAUGCAGCACCCUAUAGGAAAGCUUAUUUUCAUGUUUUUAAUCUUAUUUUCUUUUAAUUUCGUGCACAACGGGAAUCAAGAGGAAAGCUUCAUGAUAUAUCAAUUGUAUAAUUGAUGUUGAAUUUAAAUGGAAAAUCUAUAUAUCUGCAGCUACCAUAAAAUAUUGGUGGAUUUUCAUUUCUCACCAAUAUUAUGUUUAUUUUAAUGUCUUUGAAGCAUUAAUUUUUUUUCUUUAUUUUUCCAUAAUGAUUUUAAUGAUUUUGUUUUAUUUGAGUUGCAAUAAUUUUGAGUAUCAAUGACCCACCCAUCAUAAAAUAAAAAUAAAAAUGUGAAGCAUCAUUUUCUUUUCCAGCCAUGAAAGAGGUUGUUCUCGGUCAUGGGUAGGUCAAAUUACGCCUAUAAUCCCUAGAGGUAUUGAUUUUUUUUAAAUAAUUUAAGGAAAAAAAAAAGAUUUGGCCAUAUUGCAGAGAUUGAAUCCAGCCUGAGUUGAGCAGAAUUAGGUAUAUAUAUUUUAUUUUCAAAAUUAUUAUUUUAGAUGAAGUGUAUUUAUAUAUUUGUCUGGACUUCAUAUUAGAUAUUUAUUUUUUUAAUAAUUAAUUUAUUGCUUUUUAAAGGUUUUUAAAUAAAAUAAAAAGAACUAUGAUACCACAUGUGAAAAAGAAAAUUUUUAAUAUGCCUUGAUUGAAUUUUAAAAUUUUUAAUAUCGUAUCAAUUACUUUAUUUUAUCAAUUUAAUCAUUAAUUUAGAUUUGACAUAUUAAAAAAUAAAUAAACGGUGUUUUUAAAUUUGAUUGAUACUGUCUUUUAUGUGAAUUCAAAUUAUACAUAUAUAUUUAUAAUUUGAUCCAUAUGUUUUAAAUAUGCUCCACAUAAUAUUUAAAUUGCAUUUAGCGCUUAAAUUGAGGACUAAACUGGUAAAAUGAUUUGUUGAUACAAUACUUUAAGUACCCAAUUAGAACAUUUUAAAAUUCAUGGGCCAAUUUAGAAUAUGAGUUGUCUGUUUUUUUUUAUCAAUUUCUUUUAUUUUCCAAUUUUUUAUAAUAUAUUUUCUUUGUUGUAAAUUUCAAACAGAUAUGAUGGGUUGAAAAUUGACUAUUAUUUGAGGUAAUUUACCUUAUUCAUUAUAUUUAUUUUACAUUUUAUAAUAAACUAAAAUACCAAUAUUUUACAUCUAAGUUUCAUUUUAUAUAGUUGGAUUGGCAUAAGCAUUAUUGUUAAUGCAGGAAGAUACAUGAAGAUAUUAUGAGUAGUUCUAAGUAGUAUAUUUAAAAAGAUCAUUAAAACGAAAUUAUUCAUAAAAAAAUAUAUUAAAUAUAUAUUUAUUAAAAAAGGAUUUACUUAUCUUAAUAUUAAAUUAUUUUACAUAUUUUUAUAAUUUUUAAAUAUGAUAUAUUUGUUAUAUUGAUAUAUUAAUCUUUUAAAUUUGAAUAACAUAUUAUGUGGUUGUAUCAUAUUUUUGUUGCUAGGAUCAAAGCAAGGAGCCCAUUGAAUUUUAUAGCUUAUUGGGUAAAAUAGAGCAAAGCUUAACCAAAUAAUAUGCAACUUCUGCAAUAAAAUAGCAGGUGAGGAUCACAUUUUUAGAUUUGAAAUUCAACUUUAUUUUAUAAUAAUUCUCCAAAUUUCCCAAUCUUUUUUAGAAAAAAAAAAAAAAACACUUGGGUUCCUUCCUUUUGAUUGAUUUUUCUUUGUUAAAGUUGAACACAGAGCAAAAGCCAUUUUUGCUUUCUAUUUGAGGCGUCAUCAUCCUAGUUGCCUUCAAACGGGUCAGCUAUGGCACCUAAAAGGAGCAUUGGAGUGCCGCCACCACCGCCACCAUCCGUCCCUGCCGGAAGAUUGUUAAGUCGACAACAAUCCGUGGGUAAAUUGAAGAAAUCAAGCAUAAUGAGUAGUCUGUUUAGAGAAUUGAAAACAAAGUUGGAAGGGUCAAGAUUGCAAAUUAAGUUGUCUAGUAGGACCAAGAAGCAAUUUGGGGGUUCUGCUGGUGGAAAAGAAGGAUUGGCUGCUUUUUUACGAGAGCUAACAAAAAGGUAACAUCUCUUACUUUCUUAGUACAUAAUCCAUACAAAAGCACGAGUUAAAAAACACAUAGAAAAAUCUAUUAAUUUUAUAAUUUAAUUUAUUUAAGUGAUUUCAUCUCCAAGAAUCAAUGGUAUGAAGGGCAAAGCUAAGAAACUGCUUUAGGGACAAAGAUGAAUCAAAAAUAUUUUGAGAGUUAAAAAGUACAAUUUUAUCAUUAUAUUAAUUUAUAAUUUCAUAAACUUUAAAGGGACUAAAAAGCAUAAUUACCAUUUUUUGAGUCCAAGGCUACUGCCUAUCCCUACCUACUCCCAUAAAUAACAUCAAAGCUUGUCAUUAUCACUCAUUAUCACUAAGCUUUACCAUGUCUUAAAAGCUCGAUUAUGUUAGGAUUUUUGAUUCACUAGUAAGAUUGUAUCAUUGAUUGUGAGAUCAUAUUACUAAGUUAUUUAUUACGAUCUAAUUAUGCACCAAUCCCUAAUACCCUUAGACUUUUAAACUUUAGUCCUUCUGCUUUUAAGUCUAAUAAUUUUGAAUCCUUAUACUCGUCUCUUUUAAAAUUUAAAGUUUAAUUGAUAACACUGGUUAGACUUUAAUUUUUAAAUCAAACCUUUGAAUAUCAAAAUAUACUAUAUUCAAAUUUAAUGAAACUAUAUUAAUAAUAUUAUAAAGUAACUAAAUUAUCCCGAAGUAAAAACAAAAAGAUUGAAUUUCAAAUGCUUGAAAAGCACAGGGAUUAAAUGAAGAAUUAAACCUUUAUCUGUUUGUUUAUUUGGUUAUGGUCUUAGAUCACCAUUCUUCCAACAAAUUGAAGAAGAUGCUCAAAACCAUGCCAAGACGAUAUUGGAAUUAAAAGCAGCCAUCAAUUCUUUUCAAACAAAGGACAUGAGUGAACUCAUCAAGUUCCAACAACAUAUGGAAGCCAUUCUUGAAGUUCUAACCGAUGAAAAUCAGGUCAGUAUAUAUAUAUAUAUAUAUAAACAUACAUGUAUGUGUGUAUAUAUACAUAUCAAAAUUUUAACAAAUAAUUCAUUAUUCAUUCCAUAUAUGCAUGGAUCAUUUUGAUGUUAUAAUGAAUAUCCUCUAUAGCUGAACUUGUUUAAUCAAUCAUGAUUCUUAAUGCAUUAAGGUGUAGGUGCUUGCAAAGUUUGAAGAUUUCCCUAUCAAGAAAUUGGAAACAAUAAGGGCAGCUGCAGCAUUGUACUCUAAAUCAAACUUGGUUGUUUCCAACUUAAAGAAUUGGGAAGUGAAAUCACCUGCUACGCAACUGUUGAACAAAUUUGAUUGCUAUUUCACCAAGGUCGAUUUUGCUCCCAUUUUUCAUUAUUCUCUUGUAUUAUAUGAUUUUCCAAUUAAAUGGAUUUUUUAAAAAAAAUAAAGGUUAAAACAAUAUCAACAUUUUUUUCCAAUUUAGUCCCUGAUUUUUUUUUGUUCCCAUUAGUCCUAAAAUUAUCACUUAAAAAAUUAUAAAAAGAAUUAGGUGAUUACGAGACACAAUCUUUAAGUACCACGCCAUUACAAGGGAUAAAAUUGUAAAAAGUUGUCAAUUUCAAGAACUAAUAUGGAUAAAAAAAAGUUGAGGAUCAAAUUAAGAGAAAUUAUCAAAUUUAAGGACUAAAUAUACAUCAUCCCAAAAUUAAAUAUGUUCAUUCAUUUUUUGUGAUAAUUUUAUUCCAUUUCCAUAUAUAUAUGGAUGAUAAAGGUUAAAGAAGAAUUGGAUGCAUUUGAAAGGACAAAGGAUGAGGAAUCAAGGAACUUCAAGAGCCAUGGGAUUGAUUUUGACUUCAAUAUCUUUGUUACUAUCAAAGAGUUGAUGGUGGAUGUUUCUUCCAACUGCAUGGAGCUUGUCCUUAAGGUAGCCAUUUCUUUGGUAUUUUAUCCAAACUUUUUAAUGUAUUCGUAUACUAUACAUACGAUAUUAGUAUAGGUUUCAAUUCUAUAAAGAUAUAAACAAAUUUGAUAAAAAUAGAGUAUAUUCAUACAUCACACGUACAAACUUUACUUAAUCUAAAUAAUAUAUAUCAAAUACCGAUAAAAGUAUUAUGAAGACCUCUGUAUUAAGAGUUAAAUUACAGUAUUUUCUGCUCAAAAAAUAGACAAAUUAGUCUCUAGACGUUUGAUCAAAAAGCAAAAUGGUCCUUAUUAAAAAAAACCAUACAUUUGUACUGUUAAAAACUGAUUUAGCUAAUGGAAUAACAAGACAAUAACACGUGAUGUGCUACGUUUAUCUUGUGUUGACGUACAAUGAUUAGUUUUUAACAGUGGAAACUGAUCAAAAUUUUAACAAAAUGAUCAAUUUGUUCUUUGAUCAAACAUAUAGGGAUUAAUUUAUCUAUUUUUUGAGUAAAAGAGACAAAAUAUAAUUCAACUUCUAGUACAAAGACCUCUAUAAUAUUUUUAUCACCGCUCCACUUGAGAUGAAUAAUAUCCUUGAACAGGUCUAUUUGUCCUAAAUAUGUUUGAUUAUCUUUUCCUUCUAGGAAUGGGGAGAAACAAAAGGUGCAAAUGAUGCAGAAAAGAAAGCAAAUAAAAACUUGCUGUGGAGAGCUUUUAAAUUAGCAUUUAGGGUUUACUCAUUUGCUGGUGGGAACGAUGAACGUGCCGACAAGUUGGCUAAAGAAUUGGCUAAUGAAGUUUUGUGUGGUUCUUCUUCACCUCCCAAGCCCUAAACAAAUACCCCAAUAUUCCAUCUUUAAUUUAUCUUUUUUUACAAAUUAUUGGUUAGUUAACUAGCUGAAAACAAUUUCUACAGUUGUUUUCAUUUACCUAUCGAUAUGUAAAUAUUAUUUUCUAAAAUAAAUUUCAUGCAAUAUAUAAAAUUUGAUUUAAUAUAUAACACGUUUUGAUGUAAAUUUCAAAUGAUAAACUCCAACGGGAGGAGGUAUUGUGGUGUAAAUUUCAAUUUUUAUAAGCAUUGCAUUGGGACUAAUCAUUAUUGAAGCUUGUAACUUAUUGAAAUUGUUGGUAUUUUUUUUUUUAAGUUUUGCCUUCAAAUGUUUAGAAUAAUUGUUUGAAAAAAGUGAUGAGUUCAAUAAGGUAGGAAUACUUGAAGAAGUAGACUCUAAAUGUGUGCACGAUUAUCUAUCAAGAGAGUUUCAAGCUUAACGCACUUUAAUAUUGAAUAACACAACACAAAUGAUGAGUUUUGUCAACUAAAUCCUAUUUUUCAAUUGGAUAUUGACAAUACUAACCUUGUGAGAGAGAUUGCUAUAGUUGGAUUUGAACCGAAAUACAUAUUCCACAAUUGAUUUUAAUCUCGUUUGUACAAAUACUCAAUCAAGUUAUUGUAAUAACUAAUUUCAUUAUCACCAAUAUUUUUUUAUCUCAUUAGAGCUAAUCUCACCACCAAUCUAAGCGAAAUCUAAUAAAUAUUUGGUACAAUGGGAUCCAAUAAAUGAUUUGCUUUGAAUUCAUUUAAAUUUGUUUAAUAUAUUCUCAAUGAGUUCAACUUGCUUCAUUAUUUUAUGUUUUUUCAAGUGUAGUUGAAGGAUCUUAUACUCACUAAACUUCCAAUAAAAAUAAUUUUCAUUUUUUGCCCCAUUGAAAUUAUUAUUAUUCAAAAUUCUAUACAUUGAAAUAUUAGAUUUAAUAAAACAUUUUUCUUUAUGUCAAUGUAGAAACUAAAAUGAAUGAAAAAGAGUUUACUCUGACAGAACUUAAACUAUUAAAAAUACACGUUAAAAGUCUUAAUCAAAUCCGACCUUAGCUCAGUUGGUAGAGCGGAGGACUGUAGUUGGCUUAAGCCUUCAGCUAGAUCCUUAGGUCACUGGUUCGAAUCCGGUAGGUCGGAAUAUUUUUCAAAACAAGAGUGGAAAGACUUCAUUAGGCAAAAAUUUUGUUUAUUGGUUAAGAAUAGAUUCGAAGAGUUUAAAGUUUAAUAGUAUUACCAUUUGCUCCUUAUUUUUAAGGUCAAGUUACGCCAAAUCCAAUUGCUAAUAGCUAGUCUAAAAAAAUAAACUUACUUGUAAGUAGCACAAGUAUCAGUCAAGAAUAUAUUUGAAGAAUCGCGAAAGGACUGACCCAACUUAUCUGCUUGAUAAUCUGCCCCCUCACUCGUUUAGUGCGACUAAGUUGGAUCGGUGGGGGAUGGACCAGCCUGAUUGAUUAUCUUUUUAGAAUGUUCUUUUCGUCUCUUCAAAAGCCGAGUUCUAUUUGUUUUUAAGGUAGGAAUGUUUGAAGAAGUAAACUUUGAAUGCGUAUAUGAUCAUCUAUUAAGAGAGUUUCAAGCUCAACACACUUUAAUGUUGAAUAACACAGUACAAUGGUGAAUUUUUUCAACUAAACCCUAUUUUUCAUUUGGAUAUUGACAAUAUUAACCUUAUGCGUAAAAGAUUGUCAUAGUUGAGCUUGAAUCAAAUUACAUAUUCCACCAUUGAUUUUAAUCUAAUCCAUAUAAUAAUCAAUCUCGUUAUUAUAAUAACUAAUUUCACUAUCAUCGAUAUUUUUUUAUCUCAUUAAAAUUAAUCUCACGAUUCAUCUAAACGAAAUCUAAUAGAUAACUCAGUAGAAUAGGAUCCAAUAAAUAAAUUGCUUUGAAUUCAUUUAAAUUUGUUUGGUAUAUUCUUAAUGAGAUCAACUUGUUUCAUUGUUUAAGUUUUUUUUCAAGUGAAGCUGAAGGAUUUAAUGUAUUCACGAGACUACAAGCGAAGAUAAUUUUCAUUUUUUCUCCUUUGAAAUUAUUAUUAUUCAAAAUGCAGAUAUGAGAUUUAAUUAGAAACUAAAAUGUGAUGUAAAAGAGUUUGACAGAACAUAUCUAUUUAAAAGUUAUGUUAAUUCCUUCAGUCAAUUCCGACCUUAGCUCAGUUGGCAGAGCGGAGGACUGUAGUCGGGCAAAGCCUUCAGCUAAAUCCUUAGGUCACUGGUUCGAAUCCGGUAGGUCGGAUUUCUUUUCCUUUCUGCUCAUUCAACAUUUUCGCAUUUGCUUUUUUCUCUAAUAAAAAACAAAUGUGGAAAGAAGAUUUCAUUGGGCAAAGACUUUUUGUUUUAGAUUUUCUGGGUUUUUUUUUUCAUUAACAAAACAAAAAAAUAGCAGAGUUCAACCUCAAAUCCAAUUGUUAAUACCAAGUUCAAAAGUAUAAAUAUCAUAAUUAUCGGUUAAUAAUAUAUUUAAAGAAUUGUGAAUUUCAUAUUGUUAAUGAUUAAAAUUUUUACUUUUAAGGUGAAAUUGUUCAUCACUACAAUUGCCUCUUGAGAUUUCAAAAAACCCAAACUCAAAUAAUUACAUGCCUUUUGACAGGUCUAUAAACUUAUAAAAUUUAAUUUAACGUUAUCAAAGUUUUGAACUAAAUAAUUAUAUAAUUAAAAAAACAUAAAAUAAAUUAAAUAAUAUAUUAGCAUUUAUUAAACAUAAGUUAAUAAACGUUAAAACUUUAAUAUUUUGUUUAUUAAACAUAACUUAUAUAAUUUAAGCAAUUAAUAAUUGUAAGUGUAUUAAUCUUAUAAUAAAUAAACUUCAACGUUUUAUUUUUUUUUUCUCAAAAACUAAAUGUAAGUUAGAGAAACUUAUAUCAAUAAGGAAUGAAAUAUAAAAUUCUCAUUCGCAUUUAAUUUUUGGAUUUUAUAAAAUAAAAUAAAAAUUCCAUUAAACAUCAUUUUGUAAAACCAAAUUUCAACAGUGUUUACAUUAGUUUCUUUUUUCUUUUUUUAUUCUCACUCUAUUGUUAUAGUUGGGUUUCAAUCAAUAUAUAUUUUACUGUAUCUCACUAUUUAUUUUAAUUUCAGUUGAUAAUUUUACGGUUCAUAUUGGAGGUUUGUGGUUAUUCCUCUAAUAAUGUCGUCUCCUUUCUUUUGGGAAUGUAAUGUUCCCUACCAUUACACCCAAUCACUUAUUUUUUUAAUUUUUAAUAAUUUUCUUAUAUUAUUUUCUAAUAUGAUUUAUUAUAUAAAAUAUUUAUUUUAAUCUAAUAUCAUUAAUAUUUAUUUUCUAUUCUCAAUUUAACUUAUUAGUCCAUCCCUUAAUCAUGCAAUGAAAAUGGCAAACGAUGCAUUAACUGAGUAAUGCCCAAGGAUUAUCAGGAUUAAUUAUGCUUAAUAAAAUGUAAACUAUUAAAAUUAAACUUUAAAGCAUUUUAAACAAACCGACCUUAGCUCAGUUGGUAGAGCGGAGGACUGUAGUAGGUUGCAACCUUCCGCUAAUCCUCAGUUCGCUGGUUCAAAUCUGGUAGGGCUGAGGGCUGUAGUCGGUUGUAGGCUUUAGCUAAUCCUUAGGUCACUGGUUCGAAUCCGGUAGGUCGGAUAAUUUUUCCAUUUUUUAUUCAACUUUUUUUGUAUUUGCUUUUUCAAUUUUUCUCUUUUUGAUAUAUUGUUUUCUCUAAUCAAAACAAAAGUGGAAGAAGAUUUCAUUAGCAAAAGAUUUUUAUUUUCUUCAUUAACAAAACAGAAAAUUAGCAUAGCGCUAACGCCAAAUCCAAUUGCUAACAGCCAGUUCAAGAAAUCGUUUCCUUUUAUCAAUCAGUUGCUUAAAUCCAGGAAAAAGAAAUGGUAAGAGCACCUAAUCUUUCCUUUUCUCUACUUCAAUCUGUUUGGUUCCUAGAAAGUAAUUAGGAAGUAAAUAAAAAUUGAUUUUUACGUCACGGACCAGUAGUAGAUCAAUUGGUUUACGUUUUUCUUUUCUUAUUGAAGGCAAAAUUUGUCAGUUUUAUCUUUCUUUUUCCCUUCUGUUUUCCUUUCAACUUUUUUACUGUAUUAUUUUUGGAUCCAAUUGCUUCUUCUAGCUUAAUUUUUUUGAAGAUAUAAUUAAUUGAUUAUAUUGAAUGGAUUCUUUAUGUCAUCGCAAAAGCUUAAUGCAUUCUUUAGUAAUUCUUCUUAUUGAUUUAAACUAAAAAAAAAUUUAGGCAAGCACAUUGAGGCUGUAUUUGACUUGCAUAAGGAACACGCUUGAGGCUGCUAUGUGUCUCCAGGUAUGCAAAUCAACUUUAUCUUGUGAAUUUUUAUGAAUAGAUUUUGUGACUGUUACCUGAUCGAACUUAGUUUUUAUAUUUUACUAUAGAAUGGCUUGGAAAAGGAUGUUUAGCCAUCAGCUUUUUGCUUGAUAUAAUGCUCAUAGAUUAAGAGCAGAGGAUUCAACGUAGUCAGAUUGGAAUGGUUAGAGAUGUACUGUGUUUGUUAUCUUUCCUAGUGUUGGUUUAUAAAAUGUUGUAUAAAUCUGCUCACUACCAAUGACUAAUGUGGUUUAUUGGGAGCUCUUUUGAUUCACAAUCUUUGGGUCCUGAAGUCCUUCUGGGUGUGGGUUUUGAAUAGAGGAGGCUUCGUCCAAUUUUCAGUGCAUGUAUUCAAUUUCCACAUCUUCACAAAAUUUAAAGCAAUUCCAACCUAUAUUUUUCGUUCUAGAUUACUUUUGGUUUAAAAUUUGAAGGAUCUUUUUGUUGUUAUGGAGCUUUUGGAUAAUCUUUUGUGUCUACUAAGAUAAUUUAUUUUUACUUUAGUUACAUGGUGUAUUUAAUCUUUACGGACUGUUGUUUCCUUUGAACAACCAUAUGCGUAAUGAAAGACAUUCGAAUUAUAUGUGUUGGCUUGGCAAAGACCUUCAUUUGUCAAAUUUUAUUUUCUAUGUGGUAUUGUGCUCAUUAAUCUUGCUCUGUUAUUUACAUGUUGGUUGCAGAAUUUUCCUUGUCAAGAAGUUGAGAGGCACAAUAAGCCAGAAGUUGAACUAAAGUAUGUCUAUUGAUUUCUCUUUCAUCUUUAAUUUCAUAUUUUAGAAUUCGACAUUUUAUGACUGGAUAAAGCUAUGUAAAGCGAAAGUGCUCAAAGUACUAAAAAGGUGUGAAAAAUGAAAAAGAAAUGCUGAUAAACAAUGCUUUGUUGUGUGGAAUUAUAUUAUCAUUCUAUAAUGAACUUGCCACUUAUCAUAUGCUGAUCAUAGACUAGUCUUAACUGAUUUAGUUAUGCUCUUACAUUUAAUUGGCAAGUUCUUCCUCAAUUGACAAGGUCUUGUUCAUAUUUGGUAUUCAUAGAUUUUAUUCUUCCUUUUUUUUCUAAAUGGUACUAAUGUCAAGGUGUAGGAGCUCCAGUUAAUUUUGAUUCAUUCAAGCUAAAUAAGCCCUUUGGUCUUUUCAGAAUGAUUUUUUAUUCUUAGAUGCAGGCUCUGUUUCAAGUCUUUGAUGCCAUUCAUGUAUGUAAGCCUUUUAUCAUGUUGUUUUACUCUUGCAACUCUCUUAUCCUGUCUUUUUCUUUAGAUUGCUUUGCUCCCAUCCCUCCCAAGACAUUAGUCUAUUCUGAAAACUCUAGUUUCUUCUUUUCAGAAACAAGACUUUCAGCAAGGGGCUACAUGGACCUUGCUAGCAUGUCAAUAGUUUCCACUCAUCUUUGUUUCUAUAUUUUACCUGAUAUUUCAAGCGUUUAAAGCUUCUGAUCUGCAUGUUUAUUCAUGUCAGUAGGAAUUCAUAUGAUACUAUCUCCAUUUUGAUGGUUAAUUGACAAGUGUAAUGAAUGAUGCCUCAAAAGAAAUUCACUGAAAAACUUAAUAAUUUGAUUGAAAUAUUUGUUGUUGACUAACAAGCAAAGUGGAGAAUUUACCUCUCUAAUCUAAUUAUGAAAGCUUUCAUGUUCUGCACCCUUGUAUUCUGCACUUCUGGACAUACUAAUAUUUUUUCUUUCAUAUUUUGCAGGACAAGCCCAGAACUUCUGCUAAAUCCUGUAAGAACCACCUUCCUGAGUUAAGAGACAUAGGCAUAGUUUUCCAUGUUCCUUUUUUAUCGUUAAUAUGUUAUGUCCUUUAUAUAUCCUAUUGGUAUUUUAUUUUAAUUCCUUUGCUCAUCUUUUUAGUCCAAGAUGAUUGUCUCUUAUUACCAUAUACUUUUGCUUUAUACCAAAUGAACAAAACAGAAAGAAACAAUAUAAAUCAAGAAGCAAAUGCAAACAUUAUAAAGCAAGUAGCCAAAGCAACAAUGAAAUGGAGCUAUGUUGUGUGUUCUUCAUUAUUUACUGUUACUUUUGUAGGUUACUUUGGGCUCUCCAUGGUACAUGAAUCCACCUAGUAUGAAUUUUUGUUUUUAUAGUAAUCACUUAAUUUCUUUAAGUACAUUUAACUUGUUUUUGAGCUUGGAGGAUUCAAGAUUUUAAUUUGGACAAAUUAAGCCUGAAUAUUACCUUUUCUAAAAUUAUGAGCCCAUAGGAGUUUGACAUCACCGAACAUGCAAUUUUAUGGUUUCUGGUAGAAAUGAUUUUUUGUGGUUUAUUGGUAGAAUGAGAAAAUGGCUUGUUAGUUGUUUUUUAUGUUGCUGGUUAUGGAUCUUUUUAAUAUGCUCGCUUGCAAUGCAGGUUUUGAUAUGCCGAAAUGAGGCUGAGAAAUGCUUAAUAGAAACAUCUAUCAACUCACUACGGAUAAGCCUCAAGGUAAAAUAUUAAUAAUCUUUCCCUGGAUGUUUCUUGGUAGAGUUAAUUGCUGCAAAGAGGUCCGAGUAUUUAUCCUGCUUUUAGAUUAAAUAAGCACAUUGCAUGCAUGAUGGUGAUGACUAUUUUAGUUUUAGUAUGAUCAUAUAGAAAUUUUCAGUACAAACCAUUGGGUACCUUUUUCUUUUACCCUUCAAAUUAGUUAAACUCAUUAUUAACUUUUUUUCUCUCUCUCUUCUAAUGCAAGUUCUGGACUAACUCAUAUGGAUGCAAAUUAGCUUUGUUUGAGACAUCAAGCAACAACCUGUGACCAAUGGUUCAACUGGAAUACAGAAAAUGGCUUUGAUUUGGCUUAAACAAUUCUUUUUGCUUCUUAACUUUGAGAGGACCUUAGAGCACAAUCUAUCAUCUUUUGAUGGAUGCUUGCCUGAAGUUAAUGGAAAAUGUUUGUUUUGCAAUUUGCAUGGUACCAAAUUUGGUUAGAAUGUUUCAUUAUUGAUACUCAGCUUACAUGCAGAGGCAUUAACUGGUCUGGAAUAACAUAGCAUUUUAUAUCCUUUUCAUUUGAAUUUAUUUCUUUGAAAGCUUAGAAUUGACCUAUCAUUCUCACAGAAGUUUGAUCUUAACUAAGAUCAGGGUAAAUUUGCAAUCUUUCUUCCAUUUCAUCCUUAUGUAUGGAUUAUCUUCGUCUUAUAUAGGUAAAACAAGCAGAUGAACUGGAAAACAUACUAGCUAAAAAGUUCCUUAGAUUUUUGUCUAUGAGGGCAGAAGCAUUUCAAGUUUUGAGAAGAAAACCAGUACAGGUACUUGCAUUUGAUCUCAUAGUUGACACCUGAUAAAUUUAUGUUGCUUGAAAAAUUCAUGUGAUUAACGACCAAUUUACCUUGAAGAAUAUGAUUAUUUUUACAACAUUUUGUAAAAGCGAUCAUGAAAAUCAUUAUAUUUUGCCAACUAUAGGUAAAGACUUUUAACUGUUUCCUUUUUAUACACACUAUAACCUCUUAAACUGGGCUAAUAUACGUGCCUUAUAUCUCAAUAACACAGCUCUUAAAUUUUUAUUUCAUUCAUGAAUUGACGCUGCCUUAUGUAUAAAUUUGAUUUCCUUUUUCAUUACCAUUUUGAUACUUAUUCUGGAAACACUUUAUGUUUGAUUAUAAUUAACAUAUACUAAUUGGAUGAAACAGUGAGCAGAGAAAACAUUAUCAUGAUGAAACUGGUUUGUCUGUCAUUAUCUAAUUCAUUCUUUUACCUUUGUUCAAGUUAAUAAAUGUUUAGCUGGUAAUAGGUUUUUGUAAAUGUAACCCCGAAAUAGCUCUUAUUUCUUCCUUAUGCUAGUAAAAUUUCUAGUUUAUUUCCUAGAGUGUGUGUGUUUUUAAUUUUAGUAGUUGCUUCAUUAACAGGGUUAUGAUAUCAGUUUCCUUAUCACAAACUACCACUGUGAAGAGCUGCAGAAACAGAAGCUCAUUGAUUUUAUUGUGCAAUUCAUGGAGGUAAGAACAUUCUUAACCGUAUCUGUUUAUCUUUGUCUUCCAAUUAUAGAUAGUGGAUCCCUAUUUAAUCUUACGUAAUCAACUAUAAAAAAUAUUGAUAAACCCAUGACUUCUUUUCCUCUUUAAGACUUCCAAAUGGUCUAAAGUUUCUACUUCAGAGUGUGCAACCUCAUUAUCUUUUCACACUUUUAUAGAUGCAUUCCCUGAAAAAGUUUAGAAGGAUUUAAGGAAAAUUGCUUCGAGUGACAUGUGAAAUUAUUCUGUUGCCUGAUAUUUAUGUUCGCUACUGCUUGCCACUCUGCAUUCUACUUCCUCUAUCAAUUUGAUUAUGGAACUUAUGUAUUUAGUGUUUUGUGGAAUUCUAGCUAAAUAUUUCUUUCAAUCUUUCUUAUAUAUUCUAAAAUUUUUCUUCCUUCCUCUGUCUUGUAUAUGAUAAUUGGAUCUGAUUCCUCGUUGCAAAAUCAUAUUCAUGCUAAACCCUCUAUAACCCCCUAAAUAUUUCAUAGCUACCAUUGAACUCAUUUUCUUUUCUUUUCUUUUUUCUUUUUUGAAUAUUCUACCAUUGAACUCUGGUAUUUUGAUUUAAGGGCACCAUUUUGCUAUCCAAAAUUUAACUACAAUUUCCAGCUUUCCUCUUGUUAGAACUGAGCUUAAGAACAGAAAUGCUUGUUUGUGGUUAUGUCAUUCUUUUACCAUUUCUAUGUUACUCGGACUGGAAGAAAGUGUCUGAUAGCAGUAUGUGUCAGAUAUGGUCGACCUUUUACAAGUUUCCUUUGUAUUUCGAGAGUCUCUCAAGGGUCAUAUCUCUGAACCUGUAACCAAAUAUGCAUUUGAUACAAGUACUUCGAGAACAAUAAAGAACUUGACCAACAUAGAUUUCAGCUCCAUGCCUGGUUUUGCUAAGAUAGGUUUAAACUAAAUAAACUCUUGGCCUAUCACUAUCGGAGUUCUAUAUUUUGUCUGUUCGAAGCAUGCUUAUGUCGAUAAUCUUUGAAUGCUGUUCUUUUUAAAUCUCAGGAUAUCGAUAAAGAGAUAAGCGAAUUGAAAAUGUCGGUGAGUACGCGAGGGAGGUUGGUGGCUACGGAGUUUUUAAAGCAAUUCUAACAUCUUAAAUAUUACCAGUAGCAUUAUAUCUGAAUGAAUUCUGGGUUUCAUUGCCCACAAUUGUGAUCUUUCAUAGAUCAGUAGCCAUUGUUAGGUAUACUUUUGAUAAAACAAAAAGAAUUCUCUUCCUCUUUUAUGUACUCAUGUUCAUAUGUUUUAUGUUGAUAGACUUUGGGGGAUAGCAUCUGCCUAAAUAUAAAAUUGAACUCGAUAACAUUAUUAAAUGAUAUAAAAAAGUUUUUUUAAAAAAGGGAAACAUAUAUAAAUUGUUAAUUCCGAGUUUUCUUAUUUCCAGGAAAAUUAAGCAGAAUAUAUGUUACAACGAGUUUGGGAAUUGGGAUUUAAGUAGCGGUGAGCAAAAUUCGAUUCGACUCGAAAAAAUCGAAAAAAAAAUUAAAUUUCGAGUUAAACGAAUCGAGUUAUUCGAAUCAACUCGAUUUUUUUUUUCGAAUUUCGAGUUUGAAUCGAGUUGAGUUUUCGAAUUUGAAUAAUUUGAAUAAUUCGAAUAUCAAACUAUAAUAUUUUACAUUUUUAUUUCAAACUCUCAAACCUUUUUACUUUUCCCUCAAAACUUUUACUCAUUCCCACUUUCCCCCAAAACUUUUAUUCCCCUCCCCUUCCAACCCCCCAAUCUACUCAAAAUCCAUUUCCCACUAAAAUUUUACUCCCAAAAACCCUCAAAACCUUUUAUUUUCUCCCAAAUUUUUACUUCCUCCCGCUUUUCCCCUAAAACUUUUAUUCCCUUCCCAUCCCACCUCCCAUCUAUCCCAAACCCUUCCCCCUCCAAAUUUUUUUUUAAUAUUUUCCCUCCAUCUAUUUACUUUCCCUCAAACUAUUAUUCUCCAAAACUUUUUAUUUUUCCCCUUAACUUUUACUUCUCACUCUUUACUCUCAAAUAAAAAAUCAAAAUUAUCCAAAAAACAAUUACUAAACAUAAAUAGUAAUAAUUUUAUUUAUAUUUAUUAUUUAUAUUAUUAAAUUAAAUUAAAUUUCACAUUUUAUAUUAUUUAUAUUAUUAAAUUGUUUAGUCAUAUUGAAUAUUUAUAUUAAAAUUGAAUUAUUAAUUAUGCCAUAAAAUAUUCGUGUUAAAAUUUUAUAUUGGUAUCAAUUUCACAUUUUAUUUUUAAAAUAACUUUUUAUUAAAAAUCAUAUUUUUACAUUUAAUAUAUUUUUUAAUUCUAAAAUACAUAGUGACAAGAAUCUGAAGAUAAUUGAAACAACUAAGCAAGCAAAGAAGCUAAUCAAUAUAUAAAAAAUUAAUAAAUAAAUUAUGAAGUGAUGAAAGUUAAUAAAAAUUUUGAUUAAGGUGGACAAAUUUUAUUACGAUGGGUGUGACAAUGGUUACAAGGACCCAAAAUUAUUUUUUAAAAUUUAACUCGAACAAAUAUAUUCGAUUUGAUUCGAUUCGAAUUCCAUCUCACUCGACUCGAUUCGAGAAAACUUCAAAUAAAGUUAGGAUGAUAAAAUGAGAUUCGAAAACUCGAUUAACUCGAAAAUUUUUGAUUCGAUUCGAUCGAAUGCUCACCCCUAGAUUUAAGUGAUUAAUCACUGAAAUAAAAUUCUUGUUCUUACUAUAUAUUUCAACAAUUAUGAUUUAUGAUUUUAUUUUGCUGGUUUUAGGCUCAAAUAUUGGGAAAAAAAAACAUAAAUUUAUUGAAUACAAUAGUAGAAUUAGCAAUUUGUAUAUUUAUAUUGUAUUUGCGUCGCCUAUUAUAUAACAUAUAUUAUUAAUAAACAUAAUAUAUCAUACUCAUAAUACCUUAUUUUUUUAUAAUUGAAUCAUCUAAAAUUAUUGAUUUAAAAGACAAAUUACUUGAUAAACAAUACUAUCCACGAGGUAUGUCGAGUUAUUUGUUUAAGUUGAAAGUUUGCAUUUGAACUAUUAAAUUUGAAAAAAUAGGCUUAAAAAAUGCAAAGAUAUAAACAUUUAAUCCAAAUUAUAUGGAGUCAAUAGAAAAUUAUGACACGUUAGUAACUAGUUUUGUCAUAAUUCAAGUAUGAUAUAUCUGGAGUGAUUGCAACCACUUAGAUAAAGAAAUCAACUUCGAAUGAUCCAAAGCGACAAGCAAAAAUUACUGGUGAGCAAAAAUUGAUCAAAAGAAUUGAGCAUUCACCAAACUAUAAAGAACAACAACAAAACCAUCACUAAAAUCACUUGUAAAAUUAAGAUUACAUGCAUAAUCAAGACUAAAAACUCAAUUAACAAAUUAUGAAAUAAUUUUUCUUAUAUAAUAUAUUUAUAAUCUAUUACAUUAUAUUUAUACAAAUAUAUAUAUGGAUCUUGAAGUCUUACCAUGUAUAGUUGUCAUGUGUGAAUUUAUUUCAAUUUGCUGAUUUUAGUUUGAACUGUAUUAAUUCUUAGUAUGAUCAUGUUGUAAUAAUUUUAUUUUACUUUAUGAUUCUCCAAACAAUAUGUGUCUGUAAUAGUUUAAUAGUUACGAUUUUUCAUACAUAUAUUUAUAUUUAUACUUAAAUACAAUUUAUAACGCUUUUAGAAAAAACAUUACUAAAUUGCUGAACAUUAAAAUUAAAUGGAUUUGAACCAUCCAUCCAGAAAAAUAAACCAGCCCAAACCCAAUAUGGAUUACAAACACCUAGUAUAGGGUUUUGAAGGGGUUUCCUUCUCCUUUAACCUUUUUUCCCUUUAUCAUUUUUUUUUAUUUUCUGGUUUUGCAAUCGAUUUUCCGGUAGGUAAUUCUGAUUUCAAGCUCCGCUCCUCCUGUAAUUAUUAUCGGUGAACUCGCAAAUCAAUGUAAAGUACCAAGUACUAAUUUUUUUGCUUUAUUGAAUCUCUGGGUGCAGCUAAUUUUUGUUCAAAAACUGGUGCAAAAAUGCAUAACCUUCGCCACCUGAUAUCCCGUCUUUCAUCCACAAAGAAACCUAUAUCCCUUCAAUUCGAGCCAUUUCAAGCUUUGGGUUCACGCGCUUUUUCCUCAACAUCAGAUGGUUCCGAUAAUCUAGGUUGGGGCACUGCUUCCUCGUGGUCCAGUCGCUUGACCAAGGACCAUUUCGACGGAACCAUAACUCCCCAAGCUGGUACUGGAGAUGCCGAUCAAUCCAUACAGCUUAUGGAUAUUGAAAAUGUGUCUGAUGCGGUGAAAAAAUGGAAUGCCGACGACAAGAAGUUCAAGGAGUUCACUGAUGGAUGGGAAGAUCGACUGCUUGAAACGAGUGUUUUGUUGAAACAAGUGCUUGAACCUGGUGCUAGAGGGUCUUAUCUUAAAGACUCUGAAAAGGCUGAAAUGUAUCGUUUGCAUAAAGAGAACCCUGAGGUUUAUACUGUUGAGAAAUUGGCCAAGGAUUAUAGGAUUAUGAGACAGAGAGUGGAAGCUAUUCUUUGGCUUAAGAAAGAUGAAGAAGAAUUGGAGAAAAAAAAUGCUCUUCCUCUUGAUGACUCUGUUGAGAUGCUUCUUGACAAUUGCCCUGAGUAAUUUCCUCACUUCUUUUCCUUUUAUUUUUUUGCUAGUGUUUGGAAUUUCUAUCCUUUUUUCGUGAUUUCAAUGGCUCUUUGAUGCAUUAAAUUGGAAAAAAUUUUACUGCUAAAGUUAUUGUCUGUUCAGUGAUGAUGAUGGUAUUGAAAAUGAUAGAAACACAACAUUAGUGCAUCUUUUCUUUUUCAUCUGUUCUUUUAGGUUGUUAAGCUAAUCUUGAUAGGGUAUUAAGUGUGAUCGUGUCUGCUAUAGCUUGCUGUUUUUCUCUAAUCUAAGUUAGAUUUGGGUGUUAGUGUCGGAGAUGGAUAUAUGUCUCGUACGGGUAUGUUCAACUUUUUUUGUCUAGUUUCUGGUAAAUUUGGAGGAACAUAUCUGGAUGGCUUAAAGAAAAAUGAUAAGUCGGAACAAGAUAUGCUCUGGGUUCAUUGUUGUUUGGUCUCAAAGUCGUGAUUGUUUUUGAUUGUUGAAAUUACUCUCCUUCAUAGAGUUGUGCUUUAUAAUUUAGAUUGGGCUGAGAAAUAGUAGAACCUUUAAAAUGAUUAGGGACCCAUUUGCCUAAUACGAGUGUAGUUGAAAUUACUCGGUCAUACAUUCGUGCUAGCUAAUUCUUGAAAAUUUACGAAGUCCUCAUUUUAGGUGCCUUUGUCCUACAAGUGGCACAUACACGGUUCUGCUCUCCUCUCUUUUUUUUCUUUUUGGUAAAUUUCCUCAUUUUUCUGCUAGGGACCUUUCUUUCAUGCUUUUAAUGUACUUGGGUAGCUCCUGAUUUCGCUUUCUGUGAUAAUUUCUAUCAUAUGAUGUAUUUAUAGAUGUUGCAUUUUUGCACUUAAAAAUAGUUUUUGAAGGUAUAAAGACUGUAUAAAUAACUACAAAUUGUUAAUAGCGUAGUUGUGAAUGCAAUCCUAUUUCCUGCUGCAGAUUUUUAAAUGCCCACGAUCGGGAAUUUCAUGUAGCAUCCCUUCCUUACAAACCUGAGUUCAAAGUUAUGCCUGAAGGUUGGGAUGGCACCACCAAGGAUCUGGAUGAAUAUCAUUAUGAGAUCUCCAAAAAAGAGGAUGACAUGCUGUAUGAAGAAUUUGUUCAGAGGUUUAACUUUAAUAAAAUGAAGGUAUACUGCUGCUUUACUCCAUCCGCCUGCCUUCAAAGAAAGAAACAUAUUAGAAUUGCAAUAUAAAAUUUCAUUUUUCAUUUUGCAUGUUGGAACUUUUUAUUCUGCGGCUUUGGUCACAUUCACAUUCUUGUUUCUCUCUCAUACGCUAAGUGAUGAGAUAUUGACAAACUAAUAGAAUAGUGGUUAACUAUGUUACCCAGACUCAUGCAUGAACGUCGGGCAUGAGUAUGUUCAACCUUUUCAAGUUUUCCAAAUCUCUUAACAAAACUAAUCAAUGGAAUUUUCACUAGGGAUUCUCUCCUGUCCACAAAGUUAUCUCAACUACCAAUGAAAUGAAUCUUUACCACCCUCCCUACUUUCAUUCUAUGCCAUCUUGUUUCAACUGUUUUGGCUUUCGGAUUAAGCCCCUUCAUCUUCGUUGAGAGGUUGCCUUCCUUCCUAGGAUAUUCCCAAGACCAGGAGCUGUUUUCUCAACGGCUAGGUUAAACUUUUUACAUUGGGGCCAAAGGGUAGUAUAAGGAACUGGCCGGACACGAUAACACAGUGCUGGUAGGGCAAAGGGUGGUGUCCUCAUUUCUCCUUCAUUUAUGCGUGCUUGACAUACAGCAAUUUAACUGUCUAGCUUACUGUUAAUUCUGUUUACAUUUUUCGAUAAUCCCUAUCUGAUCUUUGUAUAUAUAGAUGGCCGGCGAAGUGAAGCGACACAAGUAUAGUAGGAGGCGCCCCACUGAAGGUUGGAACUUCACAGUGGAGAAAAUGGGAACAAAAGGGAAGCGCGGAGGUGGUGGCGGGUGGAAGUUUGUAAGUUUACCAGAUGGAUCAAGUCGACCACUCAACGAAAUGGAGAAAAUGUACGUAAGACGAGAGACACCACGCCGAAGACGUAGAAUUCUCCCAUGAUGAUUUAGCCUCUGUUGUGCCACCAUCUGCAGAUUAUAGUCGUUCCUGACGUAUUCUGUAUGUAUGAUUUAGAGUCCAAGCUGGUGUCAUUUUUAUAUCCCAAAAGGUAAGCAUCUUUUAGGAACAAACAUAUACAGGCCAUAAGCACUUUAUGCUAAUUUUGAAGUUCAAUUUGAGGUUAACAUUUGAUCCUUUACAUCGUUUCCUAUAAUUAUUUGUUAAAAUGCAGCUGUGGACUAAAUUUGAUUAUUUUGGAAUCUGAAUGUUGAUUAGACCUUAUGAAACUCAUGCAUCAAGGCAUAUGCUUUAUUUGUUCAUUCUCCAUUCAUAUUCUGUGCCUUAGCCAAUCUCCCACGCAUGGAAGGAAAAACGGAACCGGCCCAUCAGGCCAGUCGAAUCAGAACCGGUAGAUUGUUCAGUCCUAGGUAGACCUGUCCAUGGGCCGGGCGGCCCGGCCCGGCCCGAUGGCUCGCCCGAAAUAUGGGAGGGUUUGGGUAAAAAUAUAGACCCGAAAUAUGGGAUUGGGCAAAAUUUUAGGCCCGUUUAAAAAAUGGACCGGGCCUCAGGCAAGAUUUUUUGGCCCGGGCCCGGCCCGGCCCGAAAUAUAUCAAAUAUAUAUAUUUUUUAUUUUUAAAAUAUAAUAGUUUUUUAUUUUAAGUUUAUUUACUUUCAUUUCCUUGACUAGUGUUACAAAAUAAUAAUAAUAAAACAUCAAGUUUGUUUUACUAAUCAAAUGCUAGAUUUUGUUACAACAAUUAAUACAAUUAAUAAUUUGAUAAGUUUACUAAUCAAAUGUUAGAAUUUAUUACAACAAUUAAUACAAUUAAUAAUUUGAUAAAUUUACUAAUCAAAUGUUAGAUUUUAUUACAACAAUUAAUACAAUUAACAAUUAAUAAUUUGAUAAUUUUACUAACAAUUAAUUUUAAUAAUAAUUAGUUUUAAUUUUAUUAAAAAAAUAAUUUUAAUUUUAAUUUUAAUUAAAAACGGGCCGGGCUGGGUCGGGUUUGGGCCCCAUAUUUUUAUUCGGGUCAGGCCUGGGCAAAAUCUCAGGCCCAUAUUUCGGGCUGGGCCCGGGCCUAAUAAAUGGGUUGAAAAUUUUUGUGGGCCUGGCCCGGCCCAUGGACAGGUCUAGUCCUAGGUCAUAUUUGAAUCCAUCAAAAACUGGAUUCACUGAAUCCUCAAGGAAGGAAAAAAAAUGCGGGGAUAAUCACAAAUUUUGAAUAUGAAUCCGAAUAAAUAUGAACAUGAAAUAAAUAUGAUAAUUUGGAGUUAAGAAUUCCAUUAGAAAUUAAGUGGUUAAUAAUAUUGAACAUGAUAUGAUUACAUGAAAUAAGUGUGAUGUGAUUUUUUUUAAAUAUAUAUUAAAAAUAGUAAUUGCAUGAAAAAAAAAUAUGAACAUGUUAAAAUCUUUUAAGUAAUAAAUUAUUAAAUUGUCAAAAAUUAUGUAAAUAUAAAAUAAUUUAAACACCAUUGAAAUAAGAUAAAAGUGCAUGUAUAUGAUACAUGCUAAAAAAUGAAUAUGAAGUAUGAAAUAUAAUAUUUCAAAUAUAUGAUUUUUUUUUUUAAAAUUGAAUAUAUUAUGGGAUAUGUUCGUAUUUAAUGCUUAUCUGAGUUUGUAUAAUAUAGGUUAAUUCAUAGUACUACUAACCAUGCUCAUUGCAGCCCAAAUUUUUGGUUCUCCUCCCGUCAAACUUUGAUAACACAUCUUUUUAUUAGUACGACUUAUCGAAAACAAAGCAAAAUAAAAAAGAUAAUUUAAAAGUGUUAAGUAUUUGUUUUACUUAGUCUUCCUAAUGGUUCAUUUAUAUUUUUAUAUAACGCACAGUUUGUUAAUGUAAUGUACUAGAAGUAACUAGACGUUAUGCAUGGUGACACGUUACCUCCUUAAGGAAUGCACGUGUCUUAGAUACUCCUUAAAAGAUUAUGGGCAAGUAAAGUGAUAUCAUGCAAGUGGUGGACAUUCAUAACAAAUAAACUCUUGGGGAACUCGCCAGAUUGAUUGACAGCCUACGUGUCAAACGUGCAGCCACAUUUUAUAAAAUUUUAUAUUAUUUAUAUAAUAAGAUGCUAAAAGUUCUAUACAACUUUAUAUACAUAUAGACAUUAAUCAUAAAAGUUUACAAAGAUUAUUGUUAUCUUAUCCUUGGUUGCUUUUAUUUAUUUAUUUUUGAACUUGUGAUCGUUAAAUUGGGUGAAUUACAAUGGCAUCACCCCACUUUCUUUGAUUUAUAAUUUGGAUUAAAAAAUGAUACCCAUUACCAUGUUAUUGGGCUUAAAUGGCAUUGGUACUUUGACCUUCUUUUAACAAUCUCUUUUUAUCAAAUUUCAAUGCACAAGAGAUGGGCAAUGGAAAUGAAGCAAUAGUAGCUAUGAUUCCUCUCAAUAAUUUAAUUUAAAUUUUUUUGAAAGUAAAAUAUUUUAUUUUAAUUUACUAAAAUCAAAUAAUUCUAUAUGAAUAAAGCUAAUAAAUUUAUUCAUUCAAAAUUUUUAGAUAUUCAGUAGUCACAUUGAGUCUCAAUUAAAUUUAAAAUCGAGCUAAUUUUGACAUUUAAACAAUAGAUAAAACUCUCUCAACAUUAUUCUUUUUCUCUAUUCACGUAACUCCAACUCGAGACAUUACUUAAAACAAUCAAAUUCCUUCCUAUACACCCUUUAUUGAAACUUAAACUAUAGGGUUUAGCUUAGAUUCAUGCAAUUUAAAAACAACAUGCCACAUACUUGAGCUUUUUUUUUUCCUAUUUUAAAGCCACAAUACCCAUGAAAUUUGUUCACAAUGAAAAGUAUUUUUAAUUAUUAAACACUAAAAUUCCUACAUUAGUUUAUAGUCAUGGUAUUUCCUACACAAAUCCCAAAGCAAAGAAUUGCUUCUUAAAGAGGCCAUGCAUCGCCAAUCCUGUAAACAAUAAACAAGAAAAAGAAAUACUAAAUCCCCAAAAGGCUAUCUUGCAGCUAAUUACAACCUCAUCAAAAGCAACGUAUAUACAUACAUACAUAUAUAUUUACACACAUAUAUACAUAAUCAUGAUUUGAAGAUCCAAAAACACCUUAAUUUCCCUUCAACGCCCAAACCCAAAGCCUUAAAUUGUUUAAUAUGUCAACUCAUUGUCCCAUUUUGCCUAGUUUCUUCCUCAUUUUCCUCGCAUUCUUUGGUUACACCUCAUAUGCUUACACUUUCACUGUAACAAACAACUGCCCUUACACGAUAUGGCCUGGAACGCUGUCUGGUGCAGGGACACCACAGCUUUCAACGACAGGGUUCCAAUUAGAUUCAGGCCAAAGUGUGAGGAUCCCAUCGGUUCCUGCAGGUUGGUCUGGUCGGAUAUGGGGUCGGACAGGGUGCUCGUUCGAUGCCACCGGUGUCGGGCUUUGUCAAACCGGGGAUUGCGGGGGGAAACUUGCAUGUAAUGGAAAUGGUGCAACUCCACCGGCAUCGUUGUUUGAAAUAACAUUUGGUGUUGGGAAUCUACAAGAUUUUUACGAUGUUAGCUUUGUUGAUGGUUAUAAUUUGCCGCUUGUUGCUGCUCCUCGUGGUGUUUAUGGUGCAUGUAAUGCUACUGGAUGUGCUUAUGAUCUUAAUAUGGGUAAGAAACUAAAUUUUUAGCAUUGUUAAGUGGAGAGACAUAAACUAAAUUCAGGAUUAUAAUAAUAUUUUAAACUAAAAAAGUGUGAAAUGAGCUUCAAUGCCUUGGAAUUCUAGACAAAGAUAAGUUAAGGGCACUUGUGCCCCAAAUCCUAUACUUAAGUUAAUCAUAAAGGAAAAAAAAGGAUCGUAGAAGAAUAUGAUAGGAAAGAGAGAAACCUAUCGCGAGAUAAUACUUGUUAUUUUAUCAAGGAUGAAGUCGGAAAAUCUUUUUGGAGGAGUCAAAUUUAAAUUAUAAAUAUUUUAGAGUUAAAAAUUUAAUAUUGUAAAAUUUUAUAAUUUCUCAAAGGGAUUAAACUAUGAACUUUUCAUUUUUGGAGAGGACAUAAUUGAAAUUUAAAUUUUAAGAGAGAUCGAAACACAAUUUUAUCGUUAAAUUAACUAAAAAAUUUACAAUUUUUAAAUGGACUAAAAAUAAAAAAAAUUCAUCUUGAGAGGCAAAAGCACUUGCCUACCCCUCUAGCUUCGCACUUGGAUUUUAUUCUUCCUACUUUUUAUUUAUUUUUGAUAUUUAAGUAUCUUGACAUAAUGGGUUGACUUUAUACUAUCUUGAUAGGUUUCAUUAAUGCUUGACAGCUAGCAUGGUUAAUAAUGAGAUAUAAUAAAUUUAAAGAAAUAAAAUAUCUUUAUAUGAACAAUAUGUUUGGAAUUUGAACCCUAAUAUGUAUAUGUAUAUAUGUAUAUGUGUGUGUGUAAGGCAGGUUGCCCUAAAGAGCUACAAGUAGUGGGAGGUGAUGGGGAAGGGUCAGGGAGAGUAGUGGGAUGCAAAAGUGCAUGUGAGGCAUUUAGACAAGAUCAAUAUUGUUGCAGUGGGGAAUUUGCAAACCCAACAACAUGCAGGCCUUCCUUUUAUUCUUCAGUUUUCAAGAAAGCUUGCCCCAAGGCCUAUAGCUAUGCUUAUGAUGAUGCUAGCAGCACUUUCACUUGCAAGGCCCUUGAUUAUGUCAUCAUUUUCUGCCCUAAUUCUCAAUCUCAAAGGUACCUAUUUGUAUACAUUUAUAUAUGUAUGUAUGUUCAUCUCAAAUCAUUUAUAAAUCUCUAGCUAAGACUUAAUGGAAAUGCAGGGCAAAUAGAACAAAUGGUGGGUUUACACCACCAUCCAACGAUGAUGGUACCGAAGGCAAAGUGCAGAUAGUUUCCAACUCAUCAAAUCUACCAUUUCCCUUUCCAAUCCUCAUCCUUCUUCUACUUGUCAAUUUGUUCUUUUAAGAACGCCUGCGCUUAGCCUUUGAGGUUAUGUUACUUGAACUCGAAUUUGAGUGUUAGGGAUGACGUAUAUCCUUGAAAAGUCAUAUCUGUACAUGCAUAUUUCAAUACGAUGGAAUAACGCUGAACAUGAUGAAAAAUUUGGAGGAAUAUAGCACAUAUCCCCCACUUGUUUAUUUGAUGGGCAAUUUGUUCAACCACUCAUUUGUAAUGCCUACAAUUCCCAUUGAGAAAAUGUGUCCUCAAUAUAAUUUUACCUUUUAGUAGAGUUGCUCAAGAGCUGGGUUACCCGUUAAGGCCCGUCCGAAAUUUGAAAGGGUUUGAGCAAAAAUAUUAUAAUCUAAAAAUGAGGGGCAAAAAAAUUAAGCCCGUUUAAAAUAUGGAUCCGGCUCGAGCUUGAACAUUCAAGGCACAAGCUCAGUCUGGCCCAUUUUUAAGUUUAUAAUACUUUAUAUUAUGUUAUUUUUAUAUGUUAUGUAAUUUAGAACACAUUAAAAAAAUAAAAUUAUACUAAAUAUAUAAUACUACUCUAAUGUAAACAUUAAAAUAAUGUUAAGAUAACUAUAUAGAAAAUAUCAAUAAAUAAAAAUUGUAUAAAUUUAUUUAAUAUUAAAAUAAAAUAAUAUAUAUAUUUAAAAAAUAAUAUAGACGAGCUUAAAAUGGGCUUGGGUUAGCCUUUUGCAGAUAUGGGUGUGUUUGGGCAAAAUUUUAAGCCCAUGUUUUGGGCCGGACUGAGCUUGUGCAAACAUAAAGUAUGUUAAUAUUAUGCUUAAACUCGACCCGAUCCGGUCCAUAAACACCUCGACCUUUGAAUUGGUUUUAUGGAAUAUUUAAUAUUACAACAGAUUUAUUCCGGGAAAUAAUUAUGGGAUAAUUAAAAGAAAGCUCACAAAAGAUCUUUGAAUGGCCGAAUUAGGGUCCAAUUUUUUUUUUAUUUCCUUAUCCAGUCAUAGGCUAUAAAGCCCAUAUUUAUUAUUGAAAAGUUUUUAGAGGAUUUUUUAUACAAUGAAAAAAUUCAACUCUUUAAUCUUUUAUGGUUUUUGUCAAUUUAAUUUAAUUUUUUAGUUAAAAUUAUUCAUUAAAUUUUUGGAAAGAAUUAAAUUAUUUUUCUAAAAAAUAUUGAUAAAAAUAUUAAUUUUUUUAAUGUCGUUGACAUAACAAUUCACGUCUAUUUCAUGAUGACAUUACAUGAUGCUAUUUAUCUUAUAUGUCAUGUCAACAAAUGAUUUAAAAUUUAUAAAAAUAUUCAGAAUUCCAAAUUCCAAAUUCCAAAUAUAUAUAUAAAAGAAGUUCAUCGAGUUUUUAAACAAUCAAUAUGUAGUAAACCUAAAUUGAAAUGUUUAAAAUAUUAACAUUUUAUUCUGUAUUUUAAUUAAUAAUAAUAAUUUGACAAAGCUUGUGAUCAAAUUCAAUUUUUUUUAAAAGGUUGAGAGUCAAAUUUAACUAAAAUAUAAUAGUUAAAUUGAAAAAAUAUGUAAACAUUAAGAGCUAAAUUUUACAUUAUUCUCAUUUUAAAAAAAAACUUAAAGUAUAUUAUUUAUAUUUAUAAUUAUUUUUUAAAAAGAUAUAUUUUUGAUACUCUUGUUUUACCUAUAUCCGAGGUUGAAAAAAGCACACCAAAAGUCAAAAGUGAACACAUUUUUUUUCUGGAACGUGGUAAAAUGCUUUUUAUUCUUGAUAAAAUUAGCUGAUCAAUUAAGACUAUAAAUAAAUAAUUUUGACAUUACAGGAGUAACUAUAUUGUAAAUAAUCAAUUUUCAGUUCAAUUAAAAUAUUAAAAUUUUAUAUAAAAUACGAAAAAUUAUUUACUGGAUUCGUUACGACGGAUAAUUGAGAAAUAAAAAAAGUUAAAGAAUUUUCUUUUAAAUCAAUUUAAAAUUGACUUUUACCAACAAAAAUAUAUUUGGGUUUAAUUGAUUUCUGUAUUUUUAUAUUAUUUUUAGUAAAUUUAUAAUUAUUUAUUUUAUACAUACAAACUUCAAUCUUCAAGUACUGAUUGGGGCACUGUUUUUGUUUUUAGAGUAGGUUUAAAGAAGUUCUGAUUUUUUUGACUAAUCUUGGACCCCCACUUGCUGUUUAACCAUUGAUUUAUCUUAAAAGCAUCGUUGUUAUCUUUGAAACAAUAAUUAGAAAAUAAAUUAAUAAAAAAAUUGGGUACUGAAUGAAGCAACAAACGUCAAAUCUGGAUCAUAUUUUUUUAAAUAAUAAAAGCAUUGAUCUGAUAUUUUGAAAGGGGCUGCUUUGUUUUGUUUUGAGUGGUUAAUUAAUUUUGAUUAGACAGUGAAGAAUUUUAAUUAAUAAUUUUAUAUUUAUUCUUCUAACAAUGAUUAGAUUAGAGGAAAAUUAGAACUAUUUUGCUUACUAAUCCUAUAAUGUUGAUUAGUCCACAAAUAUAUAUAUAUAUAAAGAAAGAUUCUCUAACAUAAUUGUAAAAUUAUUAAAAAAUAAAAUAUUAAAUAUUUUAAAAAGCAAUUUUUUAUCAAUAUAAUAGAAAUAUUAAAUUGUUUUUGAAGCUUUACAUUAUUUAAGAGUAACAAAUCAACAAUCAUAUUGCUGAAACAAAUGAUGGAUUUGUAAUAAUAUUAUAGAAAAUUUAAGUAAAAAUAAAAUAUAACAAAUUAAUUUUUUUUAGAAAUUUGACUGUUAUAACGAAAUAUUGUUAUAACGAAUGGUUGUUAUAGAGUGGGUAAACCUUAUAUUUAUAACUUUUAAAAGAGUAAAAACUUUAAACAUGUGCUAUAGAAAAAAAUUUAAACAUUUUUGUUGAAGUUAUUUGACUUUAAAAAAAAUUGAAAGCAUUAGAAAUAAUUAAUAAAAAAUUAAAUUGAAGCAGGGUGGUGCAGAGCGGAGAUGAAUGUAUUUAAUAUUCAUAAAAAUGUUAAUGGCUUUUAAAAUUGUAUAUCUAUAGUGAGUGGCGUAGCAAAACAUACCAAUUGUGAAGUGGUAAUGAAUUUGACAACAUCUGUCCCGUCUCACUCCAUUGUGGAGUCGAUUUAGCAUAGAUGCAUUGUACCUCCUUAAUAGUUUAUAUCUAACUCACUUUUUUAUAAUUUUAAGGAGACGAAAUAUAAUUUUAUUUUUACUAAUUUUAAAUUCUUUUUAAAAAAUUUAAAAAAUAAUUUUUCAUUUUGUGGGAACUAAAUUCGCCUCUGUAUAAUAUCCAACCAAUCCACUAAUUUCAAGAAGUUCAAAAACUUUUUUUAUUGAAAAUAUUUAAUUUAUAAAUUAAAUAAUUAAAAAUGAUAAGUGUCGCAUCAUGUUACAAUCAUAAUUUUCAUUAAACCUUGGUGACGAUGGAACAACAAAGUUAGCUUUUAUGCAGGGGUAGCCACCAACCGAAGCCCCCACCACCACACUCAACUUCUACAUGAUUUUACGUUCAUUAUGUGAUAUGUUGAAAGCAAAAUAUGAAAUCAUAAAACAUUAUAUUUCCAAAAAUAAACAAGUUUUUAGGGUUUUUAAAUGUGGUCCGUUGUUGGUCGACAUAUAUUAUAUGAUAUAAGCUUAAGGAAAACCCACUUAUAUGCCCAUCAAAUUAUUAAUUUCAAUGACUCAUACUUCCACUUUGGUUUUUCCCUUUCCUAUAUUAGACAACUCAUUAUAAUCCAUGCAUAAUAAAGUUCAAUGGAAUUUUGUUCCAUUUUCGAAAGUUUUGGUUGAAAUUAUAUUAAGUUUAAAUAGAAUUUUAUAACGUGGUUAAAUUUUGGGUUUCCAUUCUUCUAUUAGUAUUAAUGGUAUGCUUUAAUCAAAAUCACUACCAUCACUAAAAAUUUCUAAUUACUUAAUUGAUGUUUCAUUUUGGGAUUUGUAAUUGUCCCUCUCAAUAAUGUUUUUUUAAGGUUCGAUUCGUGUUCUCCCUUUAAAAAUGUAAUGUGUUUUACAAUUGCACCAAACACUUGUUAGUUGAGUUGAUUUUUUUUUAACUAAAAUUCCAUCUUUUAGAUGGCGUAAGCAAGCCCUGCCCUGAGAUUAUUUGAGAGCGCAACUGCCUAAAACCCAACAGGAAGGACCUCGAAUUUUUUUUUUAAUUUUUUGAAUGUGGAAAAAAAACUAAAAUAAAUUAAUUAAAUGCCUAAGAUUUUAAAUUUUCACCAUAAAUGUUUCAUCUCCUAGGGUCCUAAAAAUUUUCCAACUUUUAUUGUAUUACAUCCAGUAAAAUUUUUUAAAAGUGGCUCAAUUUAUUGUUUCGCCUAAAGUCUCAAAAAUAUCAAGAACGAGUUUUGACAUAAGUUUUUUGUUAAUUUUUUUUUAAAAAGAGUUGAAUUUAUUGUCAAAUAUGGUGCAAACCAACCCGAAUAAUAAUAAUAAUAAAGUCAUAGUAUAUUUCAACUUAAUUAAUUUUCAUAAUUAUAGUUUUUAUUGAUCUUUUUUUUAGUGAAAUACAACUUAUCGGGAGCUUUUUCUUUGCUUUAUUCUUCUUCUAUUUGGGAAAUGAGUUGGGAGUCAUUUCAAAAGAGAUAGGGAUCCGAUGCUUUAAGAUAAUAUGGUGGGAUGGAUGGGAAUAAAUAUCCCAAUUUCUAGGAUGGGAAUAAAUAUCCCAAUUUCUAACCCUAAUAUUAAUAAAAGUUACUUUGCCUACGGUUAAAACAAGAACAACCCUAUUUUUGCUUCUAUUUUUGUCCUUUCCUUUUUCCUCCUUUUGUUUUUUUCCAAUGCAAAAUAAAAUGAUAUUAAAAUUUUACUCAUACAUAUUUAAUAUAUCAAUUAUCAUAAUCGAAACAUUAAGAACUUUAAAAUAUCAUGUUCGAGUCUCACUAUGCGUAAAUACUAUAUGAAGAUUUCAGUUCAAAUUUUAUUUUGAUUUAAGUUUUAUUAUGUGUAAAAUUCAUCCAAAUUUAUUUUACUCAAAAUCCGAAUAUAAUUACGAUCAAAUGUAUAUUAUUUGUACUUAAAAUUGUACAAUUAUCAAUUAUGAUAUUUCUAAAUAUAAGACUGAAUCCGGUUGACAAUUCAAAACACUUACGAGCUAAUUUUCCAUUUAGAUAUAUUUCAUAUGAUUUUUUUAACAUUAAUCUCAUUAUAGUUUCUUAUCAUAUAUACUCUUUUUGAUACAAUGUCUAGAACUACUUAUAUAGCUCCUCCCCAACCCUUAAAUAGAAGAAUAACGCGUUUCAGCGCAUUCGAACCCACAUCCUCUUACACUGACAAAAAUACCGAUAAGAGCUGGAUGAAAAAUAUAAGUAUACUUGAUUGAAAUGGUAUAAUUUAGGGGUCUUUUAAUAUUUUAGGCAUGCUUAAUUCAAAUCAUGUAUAAUCUUUGUUAUAUGGAAUAAUUUGGACCAUCCAUAUUAAAAAUUUAAUAAAAUAAAUUUGAUAAUUAUCUUCAUACCUAUUUAUUUAGCAAAAUAGCCAAUAAAAUUAUUAAUUUAGUCAAGUGUAUAUAUUGUUUUAAGGUUUAAUCUUUGUGAAACUUAUUUCCCAUAAAAAUCAAUUGAAGCUUUAUUUGUAUGAAAAAGAAUUGCAAGACCUUAUGCUAAAAAGGAUGUUGUUUAAAUUUGAUUCCUUGAUUUUAUAAAAAAAUAUAAAAUUAUUUUAAUCAUUGAAUUUGUAUUGUUUAUCAAAUCACCCUAAAAUGGAUGAAAAAAUUAAUGUUUGUUAGCUUUGCUGAUGUAGCAUACAUAUGGAUUGCCACGUGUAUGUCAAAUUAGUAAUUAAAAAUUUUAAAUUAUUUUUUAAUUUUAAAAAUUAAAUUAUUUUUUACGUGACAUUCACGUUUAUACCAUAUCAGCAAAGUUACAAGCGUUAACUUUUUUAUCCAUUUUAGAGUAAUUUGACAAAAAUUGCAAGUGUAAGACCUAAAAAAAUUAAACAAGGAAUUAAAAUAGGUUUUUUUGAUAAAAUUAAAGGACUAAAUAAGUUAUUAUUCCAUUUUAUUUUAAUGUAAAUCAUGAACUAAGCUUAUCAUCUAAAUCUCAAACCAUUUCUAUGCUUGCUUUUUAGAUUAAAUCCUAAUUUCUUUUUUUUAAUAAUAUAAUAUAAUAUAUAAAAAUAUUGAAUCAACCUUUGAAUUUUGCUUUAAAAUUGUAACAUGAUUUACAUGAAAUUUCGGUGUAAAACAUACUGAAAUUUAGAACAUGUGCACUUUUUUCUCUCUUUUUAAGGUGGUCCUUGCGAAUCUUAUUCCACCCAACAUCCUUUAAUAAUCUUGAAUAUCUUUUAAACCAAGCAAAAAUAAAGCUGCCACAAUUCUAGCAUGCAACCAAAAAGAAAAAUAAUAUCAUCUCAUCUCUUAAAAUUCAAUUAAAUAAAUUUAUUCAAUCGUUUUAAUUUUUUUUAAAUCAAAACAAUUAAACUAUUUAAAUAUAUUUUUAAUAAUUUUAUUAUAAGUUGUAAUAAUAUCUAUUUUUUUGAUACAAUACUUAGAACUACUCAUAAUCAUUCCCUAAUCCAUAAAUAGGAAGAUAAUGCACUUCAGUACAAUCAAAUCCACAUUCUCCUGCAUUGACAACAAUGUCCAUACCAGUCGAGUAAAAACUCAAUUAACAGAUAUUUUAUUAAAUUUAGAUAAAUUAAUAAACUUGAAUAUCUUGGGGUAAAAAACUCCCUUACCCAUAUUGUAAACUCUUAAAAGUAAAUAAAAAACAACAUUUUUUAUGUGUUACUUUCAACUAUAUAGAAAUAAAAUAAACAAAAAUAGUGUUAAGAAGUUAUUUUCUAUAUAUCUAUCAAUACAAUGUUAAAUAGCAUCCAAAGUAUAUGUAUAUAUGUGUGAAUGUAAUUAAUAUUGAUAGUGUAGUGAUUAAUGGUCCCCAAGAAAAGCAUCACAAAAUAAUAAAUUUUUUUCUUCACUUAAAUCCAAAAAGUCAACUUCAUAUCCAACAUCCAAAUGGCUAAUGCCUUUGGGUGCCCCCAUUGGAGUGGGAAAGAAAAAACCAUAAUUCGCUUAAUUUAUUUAUUUCUAGUCAUUUUUUAAAUUUUUUCGAUAAAAAAUAAGCAUAACACAAAUUAAACUCGUAUCAAAUAAAUAUCUAAUAAGAAUUUUAUUAGAUAAAAUCAACACUUUAAAUUCUUAUAACUUAUUUUACCAUUAAAAAAAUUACUCUAACCCCAACCUAAAUCUAUUUGCCUUAAGAGAGGACUAUAUCUUUGCAUGGAUUUAUUUAUUUUACAACUAAUUAUAUAUAUGGGUGAAUUAUAAAAAUAGUCAUUUUUAUUUGCUUCAGAUUAUAUUUUAGUUAUUUAUGUUUGAAAUGUUACGUUUUAGUCACUUACGUUAUCGUUUUGUUACAAAGUGGCCACUCUACCAUUAAACUCCGUUACCUCCCUAACGACAGUUCUAUGUGGCAGUCCAAAUGGGUUUUAAAUGUCAACUUAGAUGUCUAGUUAUUGGGAUGAAAAUAAGUUUUUAAUUAAAUAAAUUUAAUUUGAAUUACCACGUAGGACAUCUAAGUUGGCAUUUAAAACCUAUUUGGAUUGCCAAAUAGGGCUUCCAUUAGGGAGGUAAAAGAACUUAUCGGUAGAGUGACCACUUCAUAAUAAAACAAUAACGUAAGUGACGAAAACGUAACAUUUCAAACAUGAGUGACUAAAAUGUAAUCCAAAGCUAACAAAAUUGACUAUUUUUAUAGUUUGCCCAUUACAUAUAUAAUUAUUUGUGUAUGUAAUAUAUAAACACAAAAUGAUAUUAUAUUAAUACUAGUGUUAAUAUUUUAUGAAAAUCGGAUUAAAUUAAAAUAUGAUGUAUAAUAUUAUGAAAAUAUUUUAUGAAAUCCACGUAUAAAAUUAUAUAUUAAACUAAACUUAAUAAUAACAAUGGGUAAAUAAGAGGUUUCAGUGUCUGAGCUAAGCAAACCCACAAUGUUUGUUACAGUACUGUCUCGUGAAUCUACCGUAUUAUAUUUUAUAAAUAUAAAAUAUUUUAAAGGCAAUUAUAAUAUAAUAAAAUAUAAAAAUAUAUAAUUUAAAAACAAAUUAUAAAAAAUAGAAAGGUGAGGUGAGAGAACCUGCCGGGGGGCAGCUUCUUGUCUGAUAAUAUAUUGCCGUGAGGCAAGUCAUGGGUGAAGUUGGUGAACGGUGGACCAAUCUUUCCUUUGUUUUUUUUUUAGAUACAGCAAUGUGUGUUUGUUAUCUAAAAUAAGUAUUAAUGCUUAAUACUUACUAAUAAAAUUUAGUUUACUUUUGUGGAUAUUGAAUUUAGAUUUCAUGUAUUAAUUUAUUGUUUUUUUACUUUUUUUUAACUUGUAAAAUUGGAUAAAAUAUAAAAAUAUUCAUUUAAUUAUUUAGUUCGUUUUAUUUUGACCACUUAUGUUUUUUGAUUUAGUCAUUCAAUUAUUGGAAAUUAAGUAUUUUAGUCGCUUUUGUUGUUAACUUAGUAAUGGAAGUCUAAUGUGGACUUUUUUUAUUGACCUAAUAAUAAAUUUAGCCUGUGAUAUUUACACAUUCUAUCAAUUUAAUCUUAAAUCUAAAAAAUUUAACAAAUUUAGACCUCAAUAUUUUCAAAAUGUGUCAUUUUAGUUCUAAUUCUAAAAUCUAUAAAAUAUAAUUAAAACUUUUCAAAAAUAAUUUUAUAUUUACUUUUUAAAAUUUGAUAAUUUAUAUUUACAUUUUCUCAUUAACCAUGCUUAUUUUCUCAUCAACCAAACAUGUGAAAAAAUAAAAAAUUAAAGCUAUUUUUUUAUUCAACCUCUUUUGAUUUAGUCCUUUUUUCUUUUGUUGCAUUGUUUGUCUCAAAUGCUUAAUUAAAACCCCAAAAGAAACUUAAAAUUAACAAAUUUGUAAACCUAGAGAAAUGGUUGGGUUGACGACAUCAACUCCGACAACUUUACUCUUUACUACAAAGAUAGUACUAGUUCCAGGCUCUAGUGUUCCCGUAUCUCUAUCAUUUUUAACUUAAGCAUUAAAGAGAGAUUGCAAGUUAAGACUGUUGCAUUUGAUAUUUUCUAACUUUGUCAAUUAAAUGAAAGAAAGAAUAAAGUGGAAGAUACUCUUGAAAGUUAUUUGGGGUAUAGAAUUUUUAUUUUUACUUUUUAAAGUUUAUAUAUUUUAUAUUUACCUUUUCUUAAAUCAAUACUUUAACCAAUUCUCUAAAUAACCAAUUUUGAAAGCAUUGGUAUAAAAGCCCUUUGAAUUAACUUAAACAUAUUCUCAGAGAUGAAUCUAGGGGUCUAGCAGGGGCCUCAGGCCCCUUAAAACGAAAAAUUAUUAUUUAGGCUCUUUAAUUUUUUUUAAAUUUUAAAUUAAUAAGUGUAAAAUGAUACUUUAACCUUUCUAAAAUUAUAAAAAUUUGAUUUAAUCAUUAAAAAAUUAUAAAAAAAUUAAAAUUUUAUUCAACCCUUAAAAAAUUGUUCUAGCUUCCCCGCAUGUUCUGAAACGCAAAUUUAAAUGCUGCUCUAAUUUACCUUCUUCUUAUAGCAACUCGAGAGUCUAAUUCAUCUAUAAAAUAUUUGUUGAUAAUAUUGUAAAUAUAAUUAUUACACAAAAUAAAGACAAAAAUCAUCUGAAUAUAUAUGAACCGUAGGAUUUAGGUGAGAGUGGGGGAAAACCGAUCCCAGCUGCUCCUCGGCUACUCUUCACAUCACAUGAGCCUUCGUCAACCCUAAAAACCCCAUUGCUUUCCCAAAAUUUGCUUUUUGCAUCUGCAUGUUUUAAUUUUCCUGUUAAUAUUGUUAGAAUUAGAUAGAAUUAGUUCAUCGGAUCAGUUGAAUUAAAAUUUGAUAGAACUAUGCUCGAUUAACUUACGAACUAGUACAUAUUAAGCUAACCAAUUUUUCAAAAAAGUAGUUGAAUCACUUCUUUUUUAUUUUUCUAAAUUUUUAAUAAUUUAUUUAAUCAAAUCGAUGGAACAAAAAACCAAUCGAGUGAUUAAAUUAACUACCGGUCUAAUUUUGAAAACCUAACCCUAAUCCUUUAAUCAUAUCAUCUAAUUGAUUUGAUUAAUUUGGAUAAAAUAAUAAUUUCGUCUCAUCUAAGUUGUUAUUUAUAAAUAAUUUUAGAAACCGAUUCCAACUUAAAAUAUCUUUUUUAAUUCUAAUUACAAAUGUUCAAAUUUAGAGAAUUUUGUAAUUCCAAUAUUUAAUAAGAUGUCAUCCCUUCUCAUUAGGGGAGAGCAAAAUUUGAUUUUAUUAAAAAAAUUGAAUUUUUUUUUAAAUUUUGAAUUAACUAGUUCGAGUUAUUCAAAUUAUUCGGAUUAAAUUAAAUAAAAAAUUAAAAUUUUCGGUUUAACUCAAAUAUGAAUUACACAAUUUGAGUUAUCCGAAAAUCUGAAUAAGAAAAGACAAAACUACGUCGUUUUAAUAAAUGUAUACCCAUCAACCUUACUUAUGUAGUUAAAUAAUCUUAUACUUUGUCUACUAGUUAAAUAAUCAGCCCAUGUAAACGCAACAUUGAGUAUAAAUAAUAAGAUUCGUUAACUCGAUUUGAAAAAAAAAAAUUUAAAUUGAGUUAGGUUGCUAAAAUAGGAUUCGUCAACUCGACUAACUUAAAAUAUUUUUACUCGAAUAGGCUCGACUCGACCGAAUGCUCACUCCUACUUUUCACAAUAGGAAAAUAUAUUUUAUUUUUCGUAUUCUUUUGAAUCACAUUUUUGGACUUUAAGAUUGUUGGGCAUUCUUUCUUAAAGAUGCUAAUUGUUUCGUGGCUUUUUCUUUUUAAAUCAAUCGGAAUUGCAUUGAAUUUGAUAUCAAAUGAACACCAGUUUGAAAUUCAAAAUUGAUCAUUCUACUCCCAAUAUGUUAUCAUGAUAAUGAUGAUGACCAACAUGUCAUGAAAUAGGCAAGCAUAAUUUAGCAAAGCGAAACGGAAAGUGGACUGAGCAUAUGCCUCGGUUCCCUUUCCCAUUUAUGGUUAUAGGUGCAUUCAUAUUUUGUUUAAGUUGGAUAAUUGUUGUAAUAAUUCUUUUUAAAAUAUUAUAUAUUCAUAUUAUAUUUAUGUUAUUUUUUCAUAUGUUUUUUUAUUAAUAGUGUUUUAUUUCUUUUUUUUUCGCAUGACAUGAACAUUUUAUCAGAUAUAACACUUAAAGCAAGUAAAAGAAGAUUAAGGAUUUCGUUCAAAUUGUCAAUUAAGUCUUAACUUGAUUGAUAUGAGCAUUGUUGUCAACGUAGGAAUAUAUAGGUUUGAGGGUGCUGAAGCACAUUAUCCUCUUAUUUAUACGUUCGGAGAAACUAUUAAUAAUUUUAAAUAUUAUGUAAAGAAAAUCUAAUUAGAAAAAAUCUCAUUCAAACUUUAAAAGGUAAAGUCAUAAUUAAAGCAAUUUCAGCCGUCGAAACCUACCUAAUACAUUGUCAGUUACAUAAUAGAGUUAUAAAUAUAUUUUAUUUCUCAUUAGAUCCUUCUUAAGUAAAAUUACUAUGAAAAUCUUUAUAUUAAUAGUUAGAUUACAUUUUACUUUUUUACUCAAAAAAGACAAAUCAAUCUCAGUACGUUAGAUCAAUUAAUUAGCAAUUGAUAGAAUAACCAACAGUAACACAUGAUAUGCUACAUAUACAUUAUGUUGACAUAUAUGGACUAAUUUUUAAUUGUGAAAAUGGAUAAAAUUUUUAACAGAAUGAUCAGUUUACUCUUUUAUCUAACGUAUAAAGAUUAAUUUAUUCAUUUUUAAUAAAAAAUUAAAAUAAAAUUUAACUCUUAAUACAUAUUCCUCUAUAAUAUUUUUACCGUCUUCUUUACCAUUUCCUUUAAAUAAAGUUGGUACCCAACCCGCGGCGGCCAUAACGAAAAUUUCAAGAUUUGGCCAACAAAACCUCUUCUUUUCUCUUAAUAAUACUAAUCAAAAGUAUGAUCACCAUCAUCAUGGUUUUUGACUAAAAAACAAUUACACACAAUGGUGGGUGGCUUCCACCACCAUAAUCCCAUCAUAAAUUUUGCACUUAUAAUCUUUUUGUACUCUAUAUAACCAUUUUAUUUUAUUUUAUUCAACUAAGUAUAAUCUUUAAAAGAAAAUUAUAUAUUUAUAUAAUAUGACUAAACCCCAAGCUAAUUAUCCAUAUUUAUUUUGGUUCAAAUUUAAAUAUUAUUCUCAUUAUCAGCUUCAUUAUAUUUUAUAAUAAUUAAUAUAAAGUGCCUAUAAAUUACAAAUCUUUGCUCACACGGCAUCUAUCCUUUCACAAAUGUGUGGAAGUCACUCAAAAAUAUAUUCUCAUAUCCACUUUUUUUUUUAAUUUUUUAAUUUAUUUUUAGUUGUACUCCCACGCGUUUUGUAUUUUUUUAAAAUUAUUUUUUAUUACUUGUUACUAAAGUAGGCAUGUUAUCCGUGACUAAGCAAAAAUAAAAAUUCUAAAAUAUUUCUAAUUAUAUUAUAUUAUUAUAUGUAUUUUGAAAGUUUAUAUUAUAAUAUUCAAUGAAAGCGGAAUGGUUGCCUUUUAUUGUACGUUUUAGGUGAAACAUUUUGAUUAAUAAUAAAAUAUACAAAAAAUAUAUUAUUUGAGUUAUUGUUAAGCUAGUUAGAAUUCUUUAUUUUAUAUUAUGUCGAUUAAGGUUUAGCUCGAUUGUAUUGAUAUUGAUAUUGUUGUCAGCGUAGGAGAACGUGAGUUCGAGUGCGUUGAACGCAUUAUCUUUCUAUUUAAAGGUUGAGGAGGGAGUAUAAGUAGUUUUAAGUAUCAUAUUAAAAGGAGUAAAUAUAAUAAAAACCUAUAAUACUACUUCCUGCUUAAUAUAUUCCAUUUUUAUAUAGUUUAUGUAUUUUUCAUAUCUUACUAUAGAAGUAAUUUUAUGAGAAAUUUCUUGAUCCAAUGGAGUAAUGUAAAUAUUUAGAUAAACAAGACAUGACAGAAUUAAAAAUAUUUUAUAUAAAAAAUUAUAUUAUAUAAAUAUCCAUGUGUAUAUAUAUAUAUAGUGACAUCUAUUUUUGUACAAUUUUCACCUUUACAUUUCCCUAUCAAUGCACUGGAAGAUAACACCAUGGCUUUACAUUUCUCAACAUCACCAGCAAGGCCCUAGCUUAUCUUUUUCCAUUCUAGAGUAAGAAAAAGUAGACACCAAUGGACCGACAUUCAUAAUUUUGAAAACAAACAAACUAUCUAUGAUAUAGAAUAAUUUUAUCAUAAAGAUUGUAUAAAAUAGAAAAAUAGUAAUUUUAUUAUAAAGAUUACUAAUGAAUAAUUUUUGUAGGAAAGAUUAUUAAUGAAUAAUUAAUAUAUAAAAAUUCACAAAUUUAAUAAAAAAGGAUUUACAGAAUAUAUGAAAAUAGUAUCAAUACAUUUGUCAUAUCUAUGACACUAUCACAUGUAAAAGUAUUAUGGAUGUCCCUGUAUUAAAAGUUGAAUUGUAUUUUGUUUUUUCUACUCGAAAACUGGUCUAAUUAGUCUAUAUACGUUUAGAUUAGAAAACAAACUGCAAGGGAGAAGCCAAAAAAAAUGUUAGGAGGCCAAAAUUAAAUUGUAAUUUUUACGAUAGUAAAAAUGUAAUUUCACAAUUUUAAUAGCAUAUAUAUUUAUAUUUUUCAAAGAAUUAAAAUAGUUUUUUAUCAUUUUUAGGGGACAAAAAUAUAAUUUUAUCUUUACUAAUUUAAAAUUUUAAAAAUUUUAAAGGGCUAAUCCAUUUUAAGGGGAUAGGCCCUACCAACCCUCUAGUUAUGCCACUGGCAAACUUAUCCUUUUAUUAAAAAUUCAUUCCAUUUUUACUGUUAAUAAUUGUUAUUUGCACAUCUGCAUGAGGUACACGUGGCACGUCAUAUGUCGCUAUUUGAUUAUUUCGUCAAUUAUGUUAGUUUUAACAGUACAAUUUGAAAAAAAAUUUAACUGAAACGAUCAAUUUACUUUUUGGUAUAACGUAUCGAGACUAAUUUACCAAUUUUUUAGUAUGGGAGCAAAAUAAAAAUUUGACUCAUAAUAUAAAAGUCUGAUGAUACUUUUUAUUAUCCACUAUCACCCCAUACCUAGAUAAUUAAUAUAAUCCAAGAAUAUAAGUUAUAAUAUGAUUAUAAUGUAAUAUUAUGAUAUAAUUAAAAUAUAUUAUAAAAUAUGAUAGGUUAUAAAAACCAAUAAACUAUAAUAUAAAUACAUGAAUAUUUGAAAAUUUAUAUAAUAAAAUUUAUUAAUAAUUUUUAAAAUUUUUAUUAGUAUAAAUAUAGUACUAUAAACUCAAAUUAAUACAAACCAUAGCAGAUAAAGAAGUGUCACUGCUUGUCGCAAACCAUCACAAGUCCGUUCAAUAGCCACCAGAUGUAGAAAAAAUGUCUACCUAGGUGAGGAUGAGGCCACUUAGGGCCUAGGGAAACUCCCUCCUCCAUUGCAGUAGGUUUAGAACGAUACACUUUUGAGAAGAAAGACUCCAAAAGGUAGUGAAAAUCUAAUGAAUAGUAUUAGAAGCUUUGAAAGAGACCGAAAGCCUGCAGAAAUGAUUAAAACCUUAUGAAACUGAGUAGUACACCAGAAGCUCUAGAAGAACUUAGCCUUGUGUAGAAUUGCAUAGGCUAGUGUAAAAUAUUCUAGAGACACAAUUUUGACCGUCCAUGGUAAUUAAUCCUAGUUGUAGGAUAAAAAACUUUAGCCUAUAUAAAGGAAACGCCCUCCUUUUGAGUAGUAACAUUGCAUUUGUAUGUAGAGAGAUUUUAACUUAGACACUCAAUAACCCAAAUCCAUUGCAUUAACUAACAAAUAAUCCUUUAUUACCGUUUAUUAAUAUUUAAAAUCUAUAUAAAUAUAAAAUAGAUUUAAUAUUAUUAUAGACACAUAAAAAUAAUUGUUGAAUAUCAAGAAAUGAUAAAAUAAAUGAUUUUGAUGAUUUUUAGGGUUAAUAGGCAUAGGUAUAAAUCACAAAAUCUAGGGAAAUUAACUAAGAAAGAAUAGAACAUUAGUAUAAAUCAAAAGCUUUUAAUUUGAUGAAAACUCUAUUAACUUUUUUAUUUCACUUCAAUUACAUUUUUUCUUCAACAAUUUCACAAAAAAAAAGCACUAAUAAUAAAAAAAUCAUGAAAAUAUUAACUUGUUAAUUUAAAAAAUACACAUUCUAUGACAUUCUUUAAUUAUUUUCAAUUCAAAAUAGUUUAUAUAUUUUUAAAAUCAACUUCAACCCCUCGAAACCACAUGACCCUACCAUGCUUGUACUCCAGUAUCAAAUAUAUCAAAAUAUUGUACAUAAAAACAACCAUAAAUUAAUCUAAAUAAUACUAAAAAAUAAUAUUCAUUAAGUUUAUUAAUUUAAUUAUGCCUUCAAUCCAUUAACUUGUUACAGUUUUAAAACUUGAGCUUUUGAAUUCAACCAAUUUAGUUAAAAAAUUUAAACUCUAAUAGAUAAUAUUAAAAAUUAAUUUCUGUUAAAUUUAAAUAUGUGUUGUGAAUUAAAUUUUAAAUUAAAAUUUUGAAUAUUAACAUAUCACAUAUUUAAAUUUAAUGAAAAUUUAUUAAUAAUGUUAUUAAUUAAAUUUUAAUUUUUAAUUCAAAUAAGUACAUUGUAAUUAAAAAAUUAAGUGUUAAAGAUUCAACACUAAAUUUAAGUUUUAAAAUAUGCUUAUUAUAUUAAUUAAAUUUAAGUAUGAAUAUAAUUAGACUAUUUUAAAUUAGAAUAAUAUUUUAUCCACCAUCUGUUAGGAGUGAGCGUUCGAUUGGAUUAAGUGAAAAUUUUUCUAGUUAGUCAAGUUGACGAAUCGUAUUUUAUAAUCCUAACUCGAUUUAAUUUUUUUUCCAAAUCGAAUCGAGUAAAAUUGUUCUAGUUAAAUUAAAAAAAAAAGUUAAACAUGUUAAGUUAAAAUCUUGUUACAAUAUAGCUAAUGUCAUGUUUGAGCACAUAAAUUUGAAUCCAUAUAUAUAUAUAUAUUUGAAAACUCUUUCAAAGCAAAAUAAGAUAAAAAAUACAAUACUUUAAUAUGAUAAAUUUGAAUUGGUAUUUUACUUCUUUAAGUAUUUUGGAAAUUUUAAAUUUUUAUUAUAUAUCCUUUAGAAUUUUUAAUUUUUAUAUUUUUAAAUAUAUGUAUGAAAAUUUGUAAAUUUUUUUUAUAAAUAUUUUCAAAAUUUGAAAAUUUUUUAAUUAUUUGAUUUUUUUUACUUUUUUUUGAAAGGGAUCAGUUUGCUCAAUUUUGAAAUUGGCAGGACCAAACAAGUAUUUACACCAAUCUAUUAUUAGAGUUAUUCGAUUUGUAAAAUUCAGCUUGACUUGAACUCGAAAAACCGAAUUAAUUGUUCAAGUUGAUUAUAAAAACUGAAUAAUUUAAUUUGAUUAACUUGAAUUUUAAUUUUUUCUAUUUUUUCGAGUCGAAUCGAGUUUUGUUCACCCCUAUCGUCUAUACAUAAGUCUCAUGCACUAUCAAUGAAUAAUAACAUGUCACCUAAUCAUUAAAUUAAACAAAAAAUACAGAGGACUUGUAAAUAAAUACUAAUAAUAAUAUUAAUUAUUAUAAAUAAAUAUUAAUAACUCUCAAAUUUAAGAUAAUGGAUUUAAGUUUUUGGGUCUUAAGAUCUCGUUAUUUAAUUAUAUUUAAAUAAAAUUAUUAGUCUUUAUUUAUACAUUCUCCGUUAUUUUUUAUUUUAUUUAAUAAUAAGAUAUCGUAUUUUUAUUUAUAAAUUGUACAUGAGGUUUAUACACUGAUACAUAUUAAAUAUUUUUUACGAAAAAUUUAUUUAUUUCUUAAAAUUAUUUCCUCUUGAAAUCAAAAUUUAAAUACAAACCUAAUAUAUAUAGUGUUACUAAAAUAAAAUAAAUUUAAUUCUAUAUUAAAUUAUUCUUAUCUACUUAUCUAUAUAUGGUAAGCAAAAUUAAACUUUUUUUUAAAUUUCUCUAAAUUUGCUUUAAAAGUGGGUCCAAUUCCAUAAAACAAAAAAACCCCAACUGUCACGUCUCCUCUUCCCAACUAUUGACGACUUCCUUUGUCUUUGGCCAACAGUAUUUGUAACUCUCUUCCUUUUUUUUUUUCUCUCCCACUUCCACUUUCUUUCUUUCUUUUUCAUUUUUUUUCAAUUUUCAUUUUUUUUAAGCCUCUUCGCUCUUUUUCUUUGUUUUCACUUUAUUUCCCCAGUCCAUAAUGCCUGCCCAUUUCAUGUUUUCUUGAUAAAAAAUCAAGGGUCGGUGCCAGAUAAAAGCAUUAUUUUCUUCAUUUUUUUUCUUUUUUCUUUUGGUUGUCAAAAUAUGCCACCACCAUCACCACCCACAAUUUCUUUCUAUUUUCUCUCUAUAUUUCAGUUUUUUCUGAGUUUUUUUCUCUGUUUUUUAAUUUAUGGGAGCUUAGUGCAAGGGGCUAGCUUUUGAGGCUGAAGUGGGAAUUUCAGAAAAAAAAAUCUGAUUUUGAUCCUUUUUUUUAUCAGAAUUUUGAAGAAAAAACUAAUUUGGGUGUUCAUAGAAAGCUUUGUGCUUGGUUGCUAUCAAUGGAAGAAAUGAAAAUUUGGUUGUUUCAAGUACUUUUGAGAUUAUGGCAUUCAAGGCAUUGAAAAUGACAAAAAAAAAGAAGCUACCCAGUUUUUCUUUUAAGUACUUCAACUAUGUCAAUUGUACAAAUAUGGUAUAAUUCUGGCUUUUUUUUUUGGGGAGGGGAAUUCAACUUUAGCCCAUGCAAAGGCACAGUCUUCAAGGAGUUUACUACGUUCAAGGCUUUGAUCACUUCCCCAAGUUGAUGAUUUUGCAUGUCUUUUUGUAGAUUUUCAAGUGUUUAGAGAUAAAGGGAUUCUCAAUCUGUAAUCUUCAGUUUCAAUUGAUCUUUCCAUUGAAGUGAAGAUCCAAGAAAAAAGGGCUAAAAAAAAGAGAGAAUUUUCACAAUUCUCUUUGAGUCCCUUAGUGAGGAAUUUGAGGCAUUGGUCAAGGCAAAAAGACAGGUAGUUUAAUGAUACCUUGGCAUCCAAAGAAAGUUUUUGCCUUUGAAGCUUGUGGCUUACACUGCUUAGGGAAACUUGAGUUGUUGAAAUUGGAAUAUUGUUAUAUAUAUUACUCUUUUAUGGUAACAUAUUAGCUACAUUUUUGUGACUGUUAUUCUCUCCUAGUUCUUUCUGGUUUUGGGUUUUAAACAACUCUUUACUUCAAGUACAUUCAUUUCUUCAUCCAACAGCUUUCUGAUUUUACAGUUUUUGUGACAUUAUUGGACUAUGAUUUAGGUGCUGCAUGAGGGAAAUUAGAGCCAUAUUUGUGUAAAAGAAGAGGUUAGAAGGAAGGGUUAGCAAUGUUUAAGGAAAGUUCAGAACUGAUGUCUUUAAAACCUGAUCUGUUUAUGUCUGGUUUUGCAUAUCAAUGUCACGAGUCUCUCAUGAGUUCAUAUGCUAUUUGGGCUGAUCUUAUUGCAGUGAUAGUCAUAUGGUUAUUUAAUACAUUUAUCUUUGGUUUCUUGUCUGAAACAUUGAUUUACAGAGCUAGUUUUUUAUUUAUGUUUUGUCUGUCUUGACAGUUUUGCUUAUGUUUCUUUAUUAUGUCCUUUUAAUUGUUGAUUCCAUCUGUUUAUCAGAUUUGAAAUCGCCUGUCAGCAAAAUUUUUUUGAUUACAAAAGCAUUCUUGUCUCAAAUAAAGACUGUAUUUAUCAUGGCGAAAAGAUCGAAUAGACGCCCUGUUCGAUACGAAAGGGAUCAAAUGGGUUGUAUGUGGGGCUUGAUUACUAUGUUCGAUUUCCGCCAUGGUCGAUCAACUCAGAGACUGCUUUCGGAUAGAAGGCGCGGGAACAGAAAUGUAGUCGGUAAGUGAUUUAUAAAUGGCCUUUUGGAUUGCCCUUAUAUUGUUAAAAGAUUAUUUAGCUUGUUUGUAUCAUUAAAUAUAAAAUCGGUAGUAUGUGCCCUACACAGGAAUGUUCAUAGAAGAACAAGAUCAGCAUAGAUUCUUAGUUUUCUUUUUGAUUUUGCAGGUAUGGGAAAUUCGGGAAAUAAAAUUAACAUGUCAACUAGUUCGGGUGAAGAUAAGGCAAUGGCAAUGGAUACAUGUAAGCCAAGCGUAAAGAAACUUCUCGAAGAAGAAAUGUCAAGAGAGCAUGCUACAAAGGAAGAGGUAAACAAUACUGAACUUGAUGCAAAACAGUUUGAUUCGGGUGAAGGAGACAAUGAAAGGAAGAACCAGAAAAGAAGAAACAAAACUCGGAAGAAAAGUUCCGGUGGCAGUCUUGAUGUUGAUGCUGCUAAGACCUUGGUAUCAGAAAUAUCUUGUUAUCAUAAAUCUGAGCAACAAACUACAAGCAAUCUUGACAUAGAGAAUCUUGUAGAAGAGCUCUGUCAGGAAAUGGGUCAAAAAAGAAUCGAUUGUGUGAAUCGUGACCAGCCUGUUGAAGGUCACAUGCAGCCAAACAUGAAGAGUUCCCGUUUCGAAGAAAUGAGCGAGGCUAUCAAGUUCUUAGUGAGCCAAAAGCUUAUUAAUAGGAACCAACUUACUGAAGGUGGGGAACUCCAAGCCUCAAAAGAAGCUAUGGAUGCACUUCAAAUUUUGAGUUUAAAUGAGGAACUGUUUUUGAAACUUCUACGAGAUCCAAACUCAUCAUUGGUCAAAAAUUCUAAGAACUCACCAAAUGCUCGAGAUGAGGAGUCUAAGCCCUUUUCCAGAUCCAACUUUUCAGAGCAAGAGCCUGUUGGUUUAAGACAACUGAAUGAGACUGUUAAUAGAAAACAGCGUAAUUUCUUUAGAAGAAAGUCCAAGUCUCUGGAAAGAGACUUAUCAGAUGAACAGAAGGUUUCCGAAGCUUCAACUAAAAUUGUAGUUUUGAAGCCUGGACCGACAUGCUCACAAACUGCUGAAACUGGAAGUAGCAUUGGUUCGUCACCCGAAUCUAAGAACAUCAUCAGACGUCGUGAGCCAAAUGAGAAAGUUGGUUCCCACUUUUUCCUGUCUGAAAUUAAAAGAAAGUUUAGACACGCUAUGGGAAGAGAGCAUCAUAGAAUCCCUGCAAAAGAAAUACCGAAAAGACUUUCCGGUGAGCGGCAAAGUUCGAGUGACAAUGGAGGAUUAAAGGAAUAUAUUGGGAUGAAUUCUCCUACUAAAGACCAUUUCUUUAUUGAAAGAAUUGCGAAACCUUCCAGUAGUGUCAAGAAAGGAGAAAAGACAAGCAAGCUAAAGGGCCCUGAAUCGAGUACAGAAUAUGAGACUACUCAUUUUUCCAGGCAUUCAAACAUCUAUAUCGAGGCAAAGAAACAUCUCUCUGAGAUGCUAACCAAUGGGGAUGACAUUAUGGAUCUUUCAGGCAGACAGGUUCCGAAAACCUUAGGGAGGAUUCUCUCUCUCCCAGAUUAUAACUCAUCACCCAUCGGCAGCCCUGCGAGGAACCCAGAGCCUAGUUCUAUAGCUGCACAGUCAAGAUUCGCCAGCCCGGACAAGCUCCAGAAGUUACAAAACAAUGUGAGUAAACUAAGUCAAUCCGCGGAGGAACCAGAAAGCCGGCCUGGCGUUUCUGAUAAUAAAAACGGUGAUGAAGUCCGAGGUGAUAAUGCAAUUUUAAACAAACUCGACGCUUGUGUGAAUGAUGAUAAAGAGGAUCAAAGUCAUUCUUCUUCUACUAAAGAUGAAAUGGGUUGCGAAGGUAUUAUUUUAUAGUUAUUUAAUUUUUGAUGGCAAUCAUGAAUAUCGAGGUUUAUUAAUAUUUAACCUUGAUAAAAGUUUAUGCAGGUGAAGUCAUUGUUGUUGAGGAAACUGAAAUUACGGUUGAAGAAGAAACCGAGCUCUUGGAUGCUUCCUCUGAGACAAAUGACUAUUCAAUUACUAGAGAUGACAAAAAUGUCGAUAUGUCAGAAGUUUAUGAUGAAAAGCAAUAUCCGGAAUGCUUGAAACAGGUAAGUGUAAUGCCAUUUGCUAAGUAUUGUAAUUAUGAAGUAGAUUGUAAUGAUGAACACAUGCUGCUUACGCCCUUCGAUUAAUAUCCGAUCUUCCAUCGGGAAUAUGGAAAAUAUAUCGCCCAUUUGAUAUCAUCAUGGUUUUCUAUUAUUAUGUUGAAGGCAGAGUUAAAACUCCAUAAGGAAAAUAUUUGCUCUUCCGAUUACCUUGCUGGUGUUCAAUUUGUUGUACGCAUCGCAUGUGUUAUGUCUCAUCACUCUCAUCCUACCGAUUUUCUUUUCUUCUAUCUCCAGGAUUUAACCGAAGAGGACCAACAACUGUUUUCUCCAUUAGCUUCUCCAUCAAACUCAUCAUUAACCAAAAAGGUUGAAGGUCUAGAGGAGCGACCGAGUCCCGUUUCUGUUCUCGAGCAAAUAUUUGCCGAGGAUGUUAUCAGCCCUGCUAGCAUCAGAUGUAUUUCUGGUAAGACAUAUGAGUAAAGCCUUCUGUUUUAUUUCAUAUUCUACAUUUGUUUUUAACCUUCUUGUGCCACAUUUUGGAUGAUGCGGAUUUUUUCACCAAUCUUCAGGUGAAACAUCCAUGCAACCACUAAGAAUUCGAUUCGAAGAACAUGGUGGCUCUUUAGCCACAAAUUGCAGUAAUCGUUUUAAAACUUGUAUGGAUGAUAAGGAAUCAAUAUAUGAGUACGUAAAGGCAGUGGUAGAAGCCUCAAGUUUCGAAUGGGAUGAAUUCUACAUCAGGUCACUUUCUUCGGACAUGCUUCUUGACCCUUUGUUGCUUGAUGAGGUAGAAUACUUGCCCAACCAACUUUGUCAUGACAAAAACCUCCUCUUUGAUUGCAUUAAUGAAGUUCUGGUGGAGGUUUGUGGGUACUAUUUGGGUUCCCCUGGCGUAUCGUUUGUUAAAACCAACAUCCGUCCUAUCCCAAACUUGAAAAAUACCAUUGAAGAGGUCUGGCAAGGGGUUUAUUGGCACAUGCUCCCAAUGCCAUUGCCUCGUUCUCUGGACCAGAUAGUUAGAAAAGACAUGGCUAAGGCUGGAACAUGGAUGGAUCUUCGACUUGACACUGAUUGUAUUGGCGGUGAAAUUAGCGAAGCCAUAUUCGAAGACUUUGUUGAAGACACUAUAACAAGCUACUUAAAUGUAAGUCUGGAAUGUGAAUAUCAUGCUGAAGGACUACAAGAGUGAUAUCAACUUGUAAGAGGUGACUGACUCGAUUUUGUUCAUACUUCAUACCAAUAAUGCACCUCUCAAUGAGUCAGAAUUGGAAAAAGCAAGCUAAUCGAGGUCUCAACCUAGCAAGAAUGGCUUAAUUUAACUCUCCUUGAAGUGUUUUAUGCUUCUUUGUAACCUUUUCCAUUCAAAUCAUGUCAAUAUGGUAGAAAUCUUACUCGCAUCAAAUAACCAAUCAACAUGGAGUUCUUACAAGUGAGUUUGAAGCUUCCUAUUUCAUGUGCAGAGAUCCAUUGCAAUGCAAGCACUUGAUUUCAGAGGCCUUGGUUUAGUUUAAUCAAUAACUACACUAUACCAUGGUGUCAUUUCUCCUAGUGCAAGUGAUGAUAAACUUUUCUUUAUUACCGGGUAGAGUUUGUAGAUUUUGGUGUGUAUUUGUUUGUGUGUGGAUGGUGUGUUCUUAACUCUGAUUUCAUUUAUUCUUGGGUUUGGUUAACUAGUGUUCUUCCUUAUAUCUGUGUGCAUGGGGCAUUUAGACCUGUGAGUGCUUUGAAGUGGAGUGAUUGACUACUAUGAUAGAUUUCAUACACCUGAUAUGUAUGUAUGCAUGUAGAAGCUACGAUUGUUGAAAAUAAUAAUAACACUGAACAUCUUGAAAGAAUACAUACAUGAGUUAAUUUCACCAUACAUCCCCAAACUAUAACCUUCAUUCUAAAUUGGUCCUCAAACUUUAAAACAUUUUAAUUACAUUCCUCAAUCAUUGAUGUUAUAUCAGUAAGGUCUUUACAUUAUGUACUAUUUUUCUUUAAAACUUUCAUUUUAAAUUAUAAGAGAUUUGAUGUAUCAUUUAAUAAUUUAAUUAACAAUUUUAAUAACAUAAGGACUUAAUGAUAUGAAGAUGUGAUUAGAAUGUUUUGAAAUUUAAGGAAUGCAAUUAACUCUAUCUAUAUAUAUAUCAAGAAAACCCUAAGCUAUUUGUAAACUUUUUUAUCCUUUUAUUACCUAAAUAAGUCUAUAUUUUGGUACGUACCUAAAUCAUCAUCAUGCCAUCAUGUCUACGUUGACAACUAAAAAGCUUGCAAAUGUCAACCAAACUUAACUUUAAGUGGGCAAACACGGUCACCUAUCAGAGAAGUGCAGGCCAAUCAUUUACUAGAAACUAUCCCAACCACCAUAGUCGGUCGUUGUGUCAUUAUCUACACAUUGUCAGCAACUAGAACAAAGAAAUUCAAGUCAUUAAUGGAAAGAAAGUGACAUCUGAAACGUUUUUUAAACAGAACCAUUCAUCUGAAACCGACAAAGGACGCCACUGAAUUACUUAAAGAGGAUCCAAGUCAAAUUUCACCAAAUACCCUUCUCUAAUGGAGAGGCCCUCAAGAGAUGCAGCAUUUUCCACCAUGCCCAAAGACAUAUCCAUUAUUCAUAGUUUUAUUGUCUUAAUGAAAUGAUAUCAAUCCAAUUCUUAUUCCAUAAGGGAUGACAUGUAAAUGAUAAAUGCAACUUCUCAACAUAUAAGAACUUUUUAUAUAUUUUUUUUUUCUAAUACAGUGAUCUAUAGAACAAAAACUUCAAAUUUUCUUGCAUAUUUCCAUUAUGGAAAGUGUUUACAAGUCAUUAAAUCCAACUAGGAAGUACAUGGAAUUUUGCUACAUUCAAGGAUUUCAAAGCUACAAGUUAUUUCGGUUUUUUCUUUACCUGUAAUUGGGAAGUCAGAGGAACUGCUCUCUUCUUAGAAAAUGCACUACUUCUACUAUCUAAAUCCUCAUCACCAUCAUCUUCAUCGACCCUGUCUUUACUAGAAGGGAUGGUAGAAUCCUGGUUUUUUAAAACUUUUCUUUUUCCAACACCCAACUUAGCAGAUAGUUUUCUCUCAACUGGGUCGUUAGAGAGUCCAACUUUUGAUUGACGUGGAACUUUUGCUCCGAGUCCAAGCCUGUUAAAAACCCAUCAGAACGGUGCAUGAAUACAUGACACGACUAUGAUACAAUACAGUCCCACUGACCUUUCUGGCCGAGCUUCUGGUUCUGCUUCCACUACUUCAUAUUCUGCAGAUCCAUUCAUUUUAUUUAUCCAUUGUUCGGCCUGCAUAUCACUUGAGUCAAUAUUAAACUAAUAAACUGGAUGAUGGUCACAAAAAAGAACCGUAACUGGAACAGCCAAGGGCACUAGAACUCCUAUAUUCCAUGAGACACAAUAAGGUACAAAAAAGAUGCUCACUUAGUGAAGUGCGGUACAUAAAGUGUUUUUUGUAUGUGUGUCUAUGCAAAUAUAUGGAAUAAUCUUAAGAUGGAUAAUCAUGAUAAUGAACUAUAAUAGUGAUCCAAUUCAAUCCCACAAAAACAUGCUAAAUCUUCUUUUUCUUUUGUUGGCCAAUACGCAUGAUUCUAUUAUGAUCCAAAGCUUUUUCUUUUUCUUUUUCAAUCAGUUAAUGUCUACAAGUAGAAACUAUUAUCAUAAUCACAAAUUCCCCAAUAAACACAGCAAAUUAUUCCAUCUAGUGACCAAUGGAGAAACCCAAUCAACCACUAAAUAGAUUGAAGCAAUGUAAACCAGUAUAGGAUCCUAAAGACUCCAAGGUCUUCUUCAAACAUCUAAGUAUAUUACCAAAUCUCGCCAUCUUCAUAUCAUAUAUCAGUAACAAAGCAUUCUUUUUUCUUUCCGAAUACCAGACAAUCGCAACUGUUCAAACCCAGAUAAUUAAUUAAUUCAAUGAUGAAUACGACUUUAACAUAGUCAAAACAAGAAACCCAGAUCAUCAUGUUUAUCGAAAACCAUGAAAAAUUCAUCAAUACCAUUAGAAUUAAAAGCGAAAGAGAUAUUUACCAGUUUCAAUGCGUUAUUCAGAGUAACUAUUUUAGGAGGCCCAGAUUUCUUUGGCGUUCCCGUGGCCAUUGGUCUAUUUUACAUGGACUCGGCGGCACUUCAAUAUGACGGCGGGGGAGUUCAGUCGGCAAUGACAGUCAGCAGCUAGAAGCCUAGAAGAUGAGGAAGAGCAAAGUGAACAAACUAAAGAUUAGGGCUUUUCUUUGAAUUACGAUUAGUUUAGAAGAUUUUAGCCCAAAAAAUCUUGGGCUUUUGUUUUAGAAUAAUAUUUGAUUAGGGUUUAGUCUUUUUAAAUUCCAAUUCGAUUAGGGUUCGUGGUGUUUGUUUUACACCAAUACUAGAUUAGGGUUUAGGUUUUUGAAUUCCAAUUUGAUUAGGGUUUGUGGAGUUAAAAAUAGUAUGCAUCAAAUAAUAACAACAUUUUGCUUUAUAUUAUUUAUAGUGUAGGUUGAAGUCCUAUCCUCCCCUCAAUUUGUAAUGUAAUAAUAAAAAGUGGUUAUUAAUAUUAGAAUAAUAGAAUAUGAUAUUAAAAUAAAUUACUUAUUUUCCACUAUCUCUUGAACAACAUCUUAGAUUUUUGUGUUUGAAAAAGCUUUUCUUUAUGGUCCAAUUUAAAUUGAUUUUAAAUUUAAUUAAAGUUAAUAUAAUUGCUUGAAAUCAAAAAUCAUGCACCAAAAAAAAUAAACCUGAUAAAAAUUCAAUUGUGGAAUUUAAAAAUGGAAUGAAAAAUAUUUCUUUAUGGUGAUGACAAAUUAGAACGGGAGCAAAAUGUGACUUUUCACAUGGCAGAAGACGUGCCAAAUUCUUAUAGUGAAGAAGACACAAGUGUUCCUCAAUACUAUGGACGAGUAUUUGUAAGAGAAUGAUCCUCUCUUAACCUUAGAUAUUAAUACAUGUACAAUACAGGUUUCAUCUUAGUUGACCACUUCGGAUACACAAUAUCCUUCUAAAUAGGGACGGCUAUUGGAUGGAGAUUAUCAAACAAAGUCCUACACGUGAGCAUGAAAAGAAGGAUCCAUCACCUGUUUUUGGCAAGAUAGAUCAUAAAAAUUCCACAUAUUAUGCAUAUGUGCGCUCAUGAAGAGCGGUCUUGACGAAGUGAUGGCCUUUGACUUGGUAAUCACCAGCUAGGCAAGGGUGGCGAGGUACUUAAAACACUGUCCCCGUUUCUAUCACAAAAACAUUGAACUAAUUUAUGUAAAUGAGUGUGUCCAAAAAUCCAUGACAUUCCCAUGAAAGCCAUUCAUUGAUUUGAAGAGAUGGAGGAGAUGAAAGCUUGAUAAAGAAGUUAAGGUGUUAAAAUGUGGGACCAAACGACUUCUCAUUCCCCAUUGCUAAGCAAAAAGACUAGUGUUACAGUAAAAAAAAAAAAAGGAAAGCCCCACCAACAAUAUCAACAUUAAAUUAUCAUUUACAUCAAAUAUAUAUAAUUUUUCCCUUUUUAAAGACACAAAACAGAAAAAGAAUUGUGAAUCCUAUGCCUGUGACCUUCCAAAAACAACAGCUAGUUCCAAAAUCAGACUUUGAGGGAGUUUAACAUUGUCGAAGAGAGAAUUCCUCACCUGAAUAUGCACCAAAUGCUUUCACUGGCUCUUUGGUUUUUGAAUCUUGACAUAAGGGAAAACACCCAAGAAGUAGACAACUUUAGGAUUCCAUUCUCGUUGCUGCGCACGACAGAACAUCAGGAACGUGUUGGCGAAAUACGAGUUGAAGCCCAUGAGGAUGUGCCAUAGAGCAUGACCCUGAGGGUUGAAGUGCCAAUGAGAUAUCUCUUUGCAGAAGAUUCUGUCAGAUAGCCAACAAAUGCUCCCCAGAAGCAAGGUUGCUACAUAUAGCUUUGCAAGUCGCUUUGCAGAGACAUCUUUAGUGUAGAUGUAGUAUUUGUACAUACGAGGGAUGCAGAGAAGGCAGAGAAUGAUGUAAUGCACCUUGAAGCCAAAUCCAAAGCGGAAGAGAGCAUGGACCACUGCAUACAAAGCUCCGUAAAAGAACAAGAAAGUAGGCAUUGUACUGCGAUAAUGCCAAUCGGGUGAAUAGAGGAUGUAAAAGUACAGAAGCAUUUCCCACACCAUUGGUGUUUCAUCACCUUGCUGUUGCCUGAAAUAAGUUGGGAUUUUCACAUUUCAAAUCAACUUGGCAAAUAGAUAACUAUUCUUUUGUAAAGUUCUUAAUUCUUAGAGCUACAUAACAAGAGCAAUGUUUUCUCAAGUUCACUUUCCAUAGGUGCAUAAUUUCCAUCAAGAGUAAAAGCUUUAAGUAACAAAAAUAAACAAAACCGUGAGUAAAAGAAAUUAUUUAUUUGCUGACAUGAAGUCAUGCCAACAGAAUAUUUACUGGUCUAGCUGCCCAGCAACAAUCAGCCCUGAGUGCAAUGAACUCACAAACGUAUAUAUAAAUGCGUCUACAGGAUCUGCAUAUUCAGUGCCCCUUUAAGAUAGAUCCUCUAAUUUGCAACUUAAUAUGUAAUUCAUAUCAAACAAAAAGGCUUAACAUUAUUAAAGAACAUCUUGAUUAGAUUAUAUAUUUUCUACAUAACCCAUUCAUCCUAUCAAAACCUUCAGCUACAUAUCAAGCUAAAACAACAUCCAAGCAUUAGAAACUGUGGGAAUGGUAAAAGAUUAGGCAUUAUUCCAGUCCAAUACAUAUCCUUGGAUAUAUGUGCUAAAGAAACCAUAAAACAAAAUUAACUAUACACAACAUUUCUUUGCCGAAUUCCCAGACUACUUGAGGCAAUAAAAGGAGGAAUAUUUAUUUUCAAAAAUGGGAGUAGGAACAGAAAAACUUGCUUACUGUUGUAUUUGUUAACUUUGGUGUCAGCAUACUGCAGCAAGUAAAAUAACUAACUCCAAAAACAAAACCAUUAUAACAAGAAAAAUAAAAUGAUCUUCGAUCAGACACACAGUAACAAUUUUCUAAAACUGAAUCUCUAUUGGAGAGACCUACAUCUAAUAUCAGAAGCUUUUGGGGGAAUAUAAUGGAAGUGUAUGAAGUGAAAAAAAAUACUUACACAUGCUGUAAUGUGGAGUGGUAUAUCAUGCUCCCAAUGGCAAGUAUCAUGUUAGAUAUAUGAAGGACACUAAAUCUCUUCUCAAACCGUUGUCUCAAGGCAUUUACAAGGCCGAUGAGUGCCAAAAGAAUGCCUGGGACAUUGGAUAUUGUGUUGAAAAACUCGGCAAUGUAAGAUGAGUAAACAUAGUUUUUCUCACACCAGUCAGUGGAUGUGACAGGACCCCAAAAGCUUGACAAUCCAUCUUCCAUUUUACACUGAAUAUACCAAAAAUGUAUGAUUGUUCAACUGAGUCACCUUUUGCAAAAAUGUUGAGUAACUGUCACAAACCCUGCAAUUAGAGUCCACAAAGAACUAAGAUUACAGAAACAUAAAAAUGACAACCACAUAAACAAGAAGAACAAUGUUUAGCUGAAGGAUGCUUUUUUUUAUCAAUAUGAGAUAUAUACAGAAGCUAACUACACCAAUUGAGAUGAGCACGUAAAGCAACCCUUUUAAUAGUUGGCCAAAUGACCAAGGGCCCUCAGGCAUACCCGCACAGGAAGAAAAAAGGGAAAAGAAGAAUAGAAAGAAUCAAAGCAGUUGAUAUUCAAGCCUUUAGUUUCCUAAGAGAAAAGUGUUCUCAACAACUCUCAGUAUAAGGUAAAAUCUUAUAUAUCAGCUUCCGCAGAACCCCACAUUAAGGAACUUGUAAAUUCUUUUAUGCCAGCUAUAUUCUAGAUUCCCUGCAUUUAUCUGAUGCAAUUUUAAAGUUACUACUAAAUUUCAACCCCUUCUCAACUUAUUCAAUGGCAGUCUCUUCUAUUUUACAGAAAUCACCAAAAAAGUUGCACCCAAAGCCAGGUAUAUAUCUAGAGUAUAAGUAAAAAAUAGCAACACCGGAAAUACUACCUAUAAUCCAUGUAAAACCAGCAUUGCCCAUCAUGAUUUUCAAUUUUCAAUACAAUAACUAUUUUAACUUUGUUUCUAGCUGUCCAUCUCUAUUUAGGUCCACUGAUUUCUCUGUGAGAAAAGACGACUUCAUAAUCCACAGCAGUUCAGAACUAAAGGUAAAACUACUUAUCCUCCUAUAGAUAUUAUUCUAAAGAUGGAAUGAACCAUAAAUUUGACGUCCAUGUCCUGUCUAACAUCGCUAUCUAAUAUGGAAACAGUGACAUCACUACGUAGCACAUCCAAGAUAAUCUAGACAAUUCGGCCCAUAAACAGACUCCUAUAAGCCUGCAAGAACACCGAUCUUAUCAAAUUCCAAUAAACUUUAGAUACUAGAGCAGAUAUUGCAACUGCAUCUUACUUUAGUUCAAGGGGCCCAACAUGAGCUCUGAGAUCAAUGUACUAGUUAGUAUUACUACCUAUUCGAACCUGUCUAUUCUAAAAAUUUAACUCAGAGAAUAGAUGCAUUAAGCCUCUAGCAAAUAAAGAAACAUAAGUAAUUAACUAAUAAAUAUCCCAAUUACCGACUGAUAUCCCAUUCCUUAAAACCUCCCCUAAACCCUUUUUGACCUACAGAAUCUGGCCAAUGCUAUCUUCUUAAAGAUCCAGCAGUUCAAAGUUCUAUCCAAUCUUCAAGCAAUGCCUUGAGCAUAAGUUCAAAACUGGCCUCAGCAUACUGCAUAUCUCAGAAGAACACACCCCCCAACAAAAAAAAUAUAUCCAACCUAAUCCUCAGGAAAGAUACCCUAAAUUUAUAGCACUUAAAUUCCCCUCUUUAAGCAACCUAGCAUUGCCUAUCAAUCAGAUUUCUAUUUUAUUUUUUCUAUCAUAAAAAAAAAUCCAACUUUGGCAGCAAAAUAGUAUAAAAAAUUAUAAAUUUAAGAAAAUAAAACAUCUCUCAACUAUCCAUAACAUCGUAAUGUACUACCCUUGAAAAUCCUAAACAAAAAAACAAACAUCCCAUUGAAAUUUGACCUUACCCUUUAAUACCCAUUCCUCAAAAAGUAAAUCAAAAAGGAUUUUCAACAGCAAAAUUCCUCAUAUUGUACCAUAAAAUAUGAAACAAAAAAAUACAGAAAAAAAAUGAAAAUGGACAUGAAAGUGAAAUAGAAACUAACCUUUUAUAAGAAAUCAGAUCUGGGGUUUCAAAGAUAUCAAUUAAACUACAGUCUUUUGGAGUAUUUUUUGGGUGUUUCCCUUGGGGUAUUUUUAUUUUAUUUUUAUACAAUGUUAAUAAAGGGGAAAUAAAAUAAAGAAUAAAAAGAUUCGCGACAGGAGGCUAAAAGAUGCAGUUGGGAAGAUGGAAUAUUGAUGGGGAAGGCAAUUUGUGGACGUUGGAUCAGAAUGAUGAAGGGUUGAGAUUUUUACCCUGAAAGUUGGUAUCGUACGGUCCAUGAGGAUUUUGAUUGAUUAAUGAUUUACUAAAAGGAAUUUCUACUUACAUGAGUUGGCUUCUUCUUAGUUUCCAUCUAACUAAUCUCCCUUUUUUGGUUAACUAUUCUAAGUUUGGAUUAUGAUUUCUUUUUUUUUUAUUUUUUUUACUUUUAUUAGUAGUUAUAAUUUGACUCUCUGAAUAAUUUUUUCUUUUCUUCUUGAAGAAGAAGUUAUAUAGUUUUUUUAAACAAAAAAUUAUAUAUAUAUUUAAGAAGUUAAUUAUAACCCAAUUAUUUAAAUAACAAUAAUUAAAAUUAAUGUUAAUAAAUUGUGAUCGGGUUAAUAAUCAAAAUAUAUUUUAAUCUAGAAUAAAUUUAGUUAGGGUUGAUAUUCCAUACGUCGUGGGAUUUAUAAAUUAGAACAAAAACUAGCCAGAACUCGUUUAGGAUUAGAGUUGUCCAUGAGUCAGAUCGGGCUGAGUUUGAGCUGAGUCAAGUAAAAAUUUUAGGCUCGUUAUUUUAGGCCCAAGAUCGAUCUGAAUAAAAUGCUAAAACUCUAGUUUGGCUUGUUCGUAUUAAAUUUUUUUGUAUUAUUAUUUUUAUAUAAAAAUAAAUUUAAAAAUACAAUACAUCAAAUAUUCUAAAAACAUCAAAAUAAAUAUUUCUUAACAAAUAGAUUUUUUUUAAAAGUAUACUUGAAUAACACAAUGCAUAUUAGUAAACAAAUACAUCUAAAAUAGUAACAAAAUUAAUAAUAAAACAAAAGUUAUACAAUAUCCAAAUAAUAACAAUAAAAUAAUAGUAAUAUAAUAGCAAAAUAAUGAAAAAAAUAAUAGUAAUUUUUUUUAAAUCGGGUCGAAUCGAGUUGGGCCCAAUACAAAAAAAGAGCUUACUCAAGGCCUAAUCCAAUUAGAAAACGGGUCUUGCUUUUUUAUCCAAACGUAUUUGUCGCACCUAUAUUUUGUCCAAACCUUCCCAUUUUUUAAGCGAAUUUCAGUCCAAUCCAUGAACAAGUCUACCUAGAAUAUACACAACGAGGAAUUAGAAUUCAAUAUCUCAAAGUUUCCAAGCCUCAGCUUUUCUUUUUUUUUUCUUUUAUUAAAAUAACUAUUUGUGUAGGAAUAGGUGAUUUUAAGACUACAAAACGAUUAAAAGAGACUUGAUCAUAGACGGUCGAAAGAGAAAAUGCCACAACUGACCUAAUGAAAAAGGCUGCAAGCAAAGGUCAUACUUAGCCAUAUCUAAUACGUAUUAUGACCACAUCAAUCAUCCAUUAAAUAUUUAAAGGAAAUAUUUUGGAUAUUUCAACGAUUAUUUUAUAAUAAUUUAAAUUAAAUAAAUAAAGUGUAAAUUUACUAAUAAUUUAAUGACAUUGACAUUUUCCCUAAAUAAAAUUAACCUUAACCAGUAAAAACUAGAGGUGAUCAUGGGUUGAACGGCCCGGCCCGGCCGACGGUUCGCCCGAAAUAUGAGAGGGUUCGGGUAAAAAUAUAGUCUCGAAAUAUGAGUUUGGGCAAAACUUUUUUAGCCCGGGCCCGACCGAAUAUAUAAUAAAUAUAUAUUUUUUAUUUUUAAAAUACAUUUCUCGUUUCCCAUUAGAAAUUUAAUAUUUAUAUAAUAAAUAUUUAUUUUUUAUUUUAAAAUAUUUUUAAAAUACUUUUUUAUUUUUUAUUUUUAAAAUACAUUUUUGAAUAUAAUAAAUUAGUUGCAAAAAGGACGAUUAAGAUGAUGUUUCUUCGGUUGCUUUUUAGGAUACUUCCUUUCUAAUUGUUUAAAAUUUAUUUUAACUUACCAUUUAUAUUUUGUUAUAAAAUUAAACAUGUCAUUGAUUAAUGUAUGGAUAUUCUAGUUGGUUGAUUAUAUUUUCUAGGUUUUUUUAUACAAUUUUGGUGUUUACUAAAAAAAAGGGUCGGGCCGGGCUUGGCUCGGGCUUAGGAAUUUUUUCGGGCCGAGUCUAGACAAAAUUUUAGUCCCAUAUUUCGGGUCGAGCCUAGGACGCGGGCCAAAAAUUUUUUCUGGGCCCAGCCCAAACUUGACCUGGCUCGGCCCAUGAUCACGUCUAGUAAAAACCAAAAGGUAGAAAUAAAAAAAAACUCCAAAAAUUAGAUUUAUACUAUAUUUUGAUUUUUAAACUUCAAAAGAAUUUAAAAUUUGAUUUUUAUUGUUUUUAGAAUUGAAUCCAACAAGUCAUUUGGAUUAGGACCAGUCAAAAGAAAGGGAAAGAUUGUUUAACCAGUGAAUUGAUCAAACUAACCCGUUAGAGUGGUUGAAUCGGUUAUCGAACUAAUUAAAUUAAUUUAUUUUAUUUUUUAAAUUUUUAAUAAUUUAUUCAAUCAAUUGAAGUAAUCAAAUUAAAAAUUAAUGAUUUAAUUGAUUUGGCUAUUGAUAUGAAAACAUUAGAAUUUUGAUAGUUUUAAUUUUAAGGUUUUUUCUAAAAGAGGAUUAUUUUUUCUUUUUUAUCUUUAGUUAUUAUUUUAAUCUUAAUUUUUUCUCAAAUUAAAAUAUCGACCCAUUUGAAAAGGAAGGGAAAAAUGAAGAAACUAUAAACUUCAGAAACAAAAACCCUUGUAAAUUAAACCCUAAGCAAAACGUUGAAGGACAAAAAUGGGGAAGAAGAAAAACCAAAAGCAGCAACCAUCAGCCUCAAAAGACGAUCUUCUCAAUACGCUCGGAGACUUCACCAGCAAAGAAAACUGGGAUAGCUUCUUUACCAUCCGUGGCAGUGAUGACUCGUUCGAGUGGUACGCUGAGUGGCCUCAGCUUCGUGACUCACUUCUCCCUCUUAUUCAACAACACCCAUCACCCUCUUCCCCUUCUCCUUCUUCUUCGUUGCAAAUAUUGGUGCCUGGUUGUGGCAACUCCCGAUUAUCGGAGCAUUUAUACGACGCCGGAUUUGGUGAUAUAACCAAUAUCGAUUUUUCCAAAGUUGUCAUCUCCGGCAUGCUUCGACGUAAUGUAAGGGACCGACCCAACAUGCGUUGGCGGGUUAUGGACAUGACCCAAAUGCAGGUUUUUUCUUAUUUUCUUAACUUGGGUUGUUUUACUUGUUCAAAUUGUUUGAAUUUGUUUGCUAGUAAGUUCUAAUGUUAUGGAAGUUUCUCCCUUUGGGGUGCUCAAACAGGGAGUAGCAUUCUUAGCUGAAACUUAACUUAUAAAGGUGCAUUGGGCACGUUCAAUGGUAUAUACUAAAUAUCCAUCAAAUUAAGAAUUUAUAUGCCGUUUUAAACUCUUGAGUCAUAUUGUGCGUCUAGAACAGGGAUGAUUAGAGAUUAUUUAGAAGUUUAUGAUUUUCAUCUUACAUGAUAUCAGCUGGAAUACUACUGCAUAACUGUUAUUUAUAACAUUUAUUGAAGUCUGAAUUCCUAUAACAAUAUUGUCUCUUGUGAUGGAAAGUUUUGAGUCAGAUGGACUGAUGUCUGUCAACCUAUUGCCUUAGUGCUUAUGAUGCUUCUUAAUGAAGGAGUUCUUUUUUUUUUAAAUGUCCUAGUUCCAUCUUUAAUGGUUUCCUUUAACUUCUCAUUUACCUGAUAUAACUAUGUUUACCAGUUCCCAGAUGACACUUUCAAUGUUGUUCUCGACAAAGGUGGAUUGGAUGCUUUGAUGGAGCCAGAACUUGGCCCUCAGCUAGGGACUAAAUAUUUGUCAGAGGUGUUGUGGAGUUCUGAUUCAGCUUAUUUCAUAUAACAUACUAUAAUUGUCAUGGUGGGUUCAAAUUUUUUGUUGGAUUCAUAAGAGUUGCAUUUAUCCAGGUCAAAAGAGUUUUGAAGUCCAGGGGAAAGUUCAUUUGUCUUACCUUGGCAGAAUCCCAUGUUCUAGGUACUUUGACCUUAAUGCAAAAAGAAAUUUUUUGCUUAUAUUGAAGAGAUAGAAAUAAAGGUUGUCUUGGUUUAGAGAUGGAUAUUAACCAUUCAUUUACCUGCUUAAUUAUUAUUAUUAUUAUUUAGUUAUAUUUGUCCUACAUUUUUUUAAUCAAUUACUGGCUUUGCUAAGGUACAUGUUGCUUUUUAUAAUUUUAGGUUUGCUUUUUCCGAAGUUCAGAUUUGGCUGGAAUGUUUGCCUUUAUGCUAUACCUCAGAAACCAUCUACUAAGCCGGAUCUCCAAACUUUUAUGGUGGUUGCUGAGAAGGAAAGUUCCAAUGAACUUCACCAGAUCAUUUCAUCUUUCGAUCAUUCUUCCCUUGCUUGCAAUCCAAAUCAGGUACUCAGGGUCUAGUUAUUAUUAUUAUUAUUUAAAAAAAAAGCAUUUUGUAACGUAAAUUGAGUAAAAUUGCAGUAGUCAACCAUUGAAAUGUAAUAAUGAUCGUGCUUCCUGUAAUGGUUUCUUUCGUGUUUAACUAAAAUGGAAAUAGGCAAAUAAAUUUCCUCAUUAUAAUAUUUCAUUACCAAUGUAAUCUCCAUUGUAAAAUCUUGGAGCCCGAGUCCCUUUAAAGGUUUUGAUAUUAAUCUAUGAAUCUGUUUUUAGACUUCUGGUCUUCUUGAAGCCCUUGAAAGUGAGAAUCAAAUACGUGGAGAAUACUUGAAUGGCUCUGAUGUACUGUAUUCUCUUGAAGAUCUGCAACUUGGAGCUAAGGGGGAUCUGAAAAAACUUAGCCCUGGUCGUAGAGUUCAGCUUACUCUGGGUGACCAAGGGGUCUCACACUUUUGUUACAAAGCUGUAUUGCUUGAUGCUAAACAACAGUCUGGGGCAUUCUCUUUUCACUGUGGUGUCUUUAUUGUUCCUAAGGUAUGGUUUUAACUUGUAAAUACUUACUAACAUGAGAAAUUAGAGUAUAGGGAACUUGUGGAUAGAAUCCAUAAUAAUAAAUACAACAAAAAUUCACAUAUUAAGAGCCUUCCAGUUUUCUUUCUUCUUCUAUGUUUGCCUGGAAAAUGGAAAAUAUUGUUGUAUUAUUGAAUAUAAAAGGCAGUUAGGAUAUCUUUUCUUCCAGGCACCCAUAAACAUGUAUGCAGAAAAAAGCUAAAGGAGUUGGACCUUUUCAAUAUUGCACUUGUGUUUCUUGGAAUAUGUUUUACCAUAUUAACAUGUGUACCCAAUUUGGGGCAAGUAUAUUAUUCUGUUCGAAAUAUGUAACUCAAUCUUAGAUUUCAGACUCGGUCUCAUGAAUGGCUCUUCUCUUCAGAAGAAGGACAAUGGCAGGUGGUUGAAAGCUCAAAGGCUGCUCGUCUAAUAAUGGUAGUUUUCUUAGAACAAUUUAAUACAUGGUUCAAGGUCAGCUUUUAGGAGGCUCAUUGUCCAAUGGAAGUAUCUAAGCUAAAUUUUGUAUAAUGAAUGAAGGUUUUAUUAGAGGCCAGCCAUGCUAAUGCUGGUAUGGAAGAUAUUCAGGUAUGCUACAGAGAUAUAGCUUCUGUUGUCAACUUCUAUUAUUGGUUACUAAUAUCUUUAGAUGAUAUUACUAUCCCUUUCAGAAGGAUUUGUCUCCUCUGGUGAAACCAUUGGCACCUGCUGAUAAUGAUAAAGGAAAUCAAAUUCCGUAUGUUCAUGUUCACUUCAUAACAUUUCCCAUUAGCUAUUACCCUGUUUAUGUUUUAUUGCAAUGGAUGCUAAAUUUUGUUUGCCUAUUAAUUUACCUUGUGGCAAUUUUUUAUGCUUCACUGCUCUUAUUCAUUCUGUGAGGGAUUUUUGUUGUCUUCCUGAACCAGGUUUAUGACAGCAAGUGAUGGAAUCAAGCAGCGAAGCGUUGUUUACCAGGUUUAAUGAUUUUACAGUGUUAUUUCUAUUACAAUGUGUUUGUGGCAUUUUCAGCACCAUCUAUGAGAGUUUUUGUUAUUAUCUACUUUCUUCAUUGUUAUAUAAAAGGGCAAAGUCUUGGUGAUUAUCUGAAUUCUGGUAUAAGUGUUGUCCAAUGUUCUUGCUGGAUUAGAUAGAUUGCAUAAUAGUCCUUUCUUCAACAUCUUUGGUGUAUUUCCUUGUUGCCCUUGUUGUUAUUUGAAGUGCAAAGUAGCAUAUGAAUAAACUAUAUUUGGAGCUGUAGAUUAAAGUAUGGAAUUGAGUUAUUUCCAAUGUUAUAGCUUCCAUAGGUGCUAAUCCUCUUCCUUGACCACUUAAAAGCUUUGAAACUUGGAUUUGAGGGCUUGGUAUAGCAUAAAUCCCUCUAAAAAAUUUCACUUGUUAAGAUGGUUUUAUAUUCAUAUAGAGUUUGCAUAGGGAUAUCAAAGUGCAUCAAUGGGCUCUAUGGUCAUAAUUCACGAAUGUUGCAUUGUAUCUGGUCAUUUAGUGUCACUUGCUCUGAGUCUGUAGUGAUUAAUCAUUUCCCUUGCUUAAUCAUUGUGUUGUAGUUUUACAAAAUAUUAACUGGAACCAUCAUGUCAAGUAUGUGAUAAAAUAAUUAGUAGUGUUUUAGUGGGUGGUUCUCUUGUCUCUAUUUAUAAUUCUAAAUUUUCUACCUUGGCUGCUAAGCCAUUUGCAAUGUUGUGCAUAGCAUGUAUUCUUUUUCAGAAUGUGGUUGCUUGGUUGAUGCCUUCUUAUUAAUUGAAUUGUUUACUUUUAUUUUGUACAGGGAUCAUCUUCUUUAACUGGUCCCGUUGUUAUUGAAGAUGUUGUUUAUGAAAAUACUGAUGAUGAUGUCAGUCACUCUUUACCCUUCCGCCGCCUUGUCUUCGAAAGAACUGAGGGCCUGGUACAGUCUGAAGCUUUGCUAACUAGGGAUGGAUUGUUUGACAAAAGUGUUUAUGGAACAGAGAAGAAGAAAGCCAGUUCAUCUUCCAAAUCCAAACGAAGAGGAGCCCUCAAAAGAAAUAAUGGUAAUAUGUUUUCUUUGAAAUUUUUGGGUAGAAUAACUCUUAUAUAAUGUUGGGUGAGUUUGUUUGAGUUGUAAAACUUCUUUCACAUUGACAUGUGGAAUCCCAUGAAACUAUUCUUUUAGACCAUGCUGUUUUUUUUAAUUACUUUUUUUAAGAGAUAAGAGCAAGGUGCAGAACUAGGAAUUAGUUUCUGGGAAUGCCUUUCUGCUACUGUUUCUGUAAUCUGAAAUUGUGCAUUGGAAUGCGAAGUCAUGUUGGACUGUUAGAUAUUUGUUCCAACAAGUUUUUAAUGUGAUUUCUGUGUAUGAAGUUUUCAGUAGUGGAGGUAAAACUGUUCCUUGGACCAUAGUGUCCUGACGGUGAAAAAACAAGUAGUGAAUUUGUGCUUAUAUGCUAGGCUGACAAACAGUUGACCGUUUGCUAUUUCACUGUUCAUUUGGUCAUGUCUAGCUCAUUGUUUUUUUGUUCGUUGGUGGUUUUUGGGUGAUUCCUAAACUUUGGUUGACUUUGUUACCAAGUUGGAUGGAUGUGUUUUUGGAGAAAUAAUCUACUGUCUUGGAAGACAAUGGUCUUGCAGACUCAUUUCUCAUGAAUUUCUACGUUUCUAUUGAUGUCUUAGAUCUAUGGUGUUGGGCAGUUGUCCUUUCUUAUGCUUCAUUUUAUAUAAUUCCUGUGCAUUGAAUGAACUGUUGUUUCUUUUGGUGUAUUAUUAUUGGUAAAGGGGGGAAAUAUGGUGCUAUUUUCAAGAAAAUUGGACAGAAAUCAUUGAAUGAGCAAAAUUCUGAGUUCUGUCUGUGUUUUUUAUUAGUCACUGUUUAUAAAAGCAGAGCCACUUCUAUCAUGUCAUUGAGCAACAUUUUGUAUUCAAAGUACAGAAAUUACCUUCCAUCUACAAGACUCUUCUUAACUUUUAAAUUGUUAGAAUGCUGACUCCAUCACCUUUCAACUACUUGUGUGUCAUUCUGAUGUUGUUUUACAUGAUAUGUAGAAUCAAGCGGCAAAAUGAAGGUGUAUCAUGGUUAUUUGGCCAGUUCUUAUCAUACAGCAAUCAUUUCUGGGUUUUCUCUGAUUUCAUCCUAUUUGGAAAGUGUGGCAUCAUCAGGGAAUAGGGUAACACUCAUUCUCUUUUCUUUGUGGAAUAUUUGGUAGAUUUUUGCCCUCCACCUAUUUAGAUAUCUGUAAUUGCUGUUUUGCUCGUCUUCAUCGGAUGUUGAAAAUUUAUGGUUGCCAGUUUUAAGUAUAUUUGGUGGUCAUUUGAUGUGAUUGUUGUGUAUUGGGAAUAGACCUACUUUAGCCAACUUUCAGAUUUGGAGGUCUAAUCUUUGUAGCAUAAUGUUUGUCUUGUUUCAAAUCGUUGAUGCUUAUUUUCUUUGAUGCACUGCACUACUGCUCAUGUCAGAAGUCAUCUUUCUCAGGUUAAAGCAGUUGUGAUAGGUCUUGGUGCGGGCUUACUUCCUAUGUUUCUUCAUGGAUGUAUGCAAUCUAUGCAAAUUGAGGUAAUUCUUACGUUACCCUGUCAAAGACAUGUUAAACUGUCUUUCAAAAGGAAUUGCUUUGUUAAAAAUUUUAUUGAAUCUUCUGAUUGAUUUUGAAGUUGACUUCACUUGAUGGAAAUAGUGCAAUGGAAUUUUUAUGCACAGGGAGUGGAGCUAGAUCCUGUUAUGCUUAACCUUGCAAGAGACUAUUUUGGUUUUACUGAAGAUAAACGAAUGAAGGUAACUGACUGUAUCUCAGUGCAUUUUUAGUUUGAAGUGAUUAAUCCUUUCCUGAAAAAUUAGUACCAUUGUCACUGAAUAGCUUGUUUCCAAUAAUUAUCAAAUUGUUUUUGUUUCAUCCUUAAACCUGGCUUCAAUAUAACUCAACUUGGGAAAUAUUCUUGAUUCAUAAUUUGACCUUCAUAGGCGUUUAUGGUCAAUGAUGCCAAACCUUCCAAUUAUUGUCAUUAGAGGCUGGAUUGUUUGGUCUAAUUAGGAAACCUGUGAGGCCCUGAAUAUUAUCAAGCCUUAACUGAAAGUUUCUUAUGAACUUUCUUAAACCCUCUUAGGUCAAUUGUCUAACUACACACAAAUAUUUAUGUUAUUAUCAAGACGUCAGCCGUAUAGGAAGUAUCUUCAAUGUCUUAGGUAUAAUAAUAAAAGUUGGAAAAGAUAGAAUGAAUAUGGUAGGAAAUUUAUCUGUUUCACCUUUUCAAGAAUGCAUUUGUAAAAGAAUUGUAAGAUGACAGAUAUAAUAUAUAUUUUAAAUAGAGCUUCAAAUAUUUUCGCCUUCCAAUUUUUUAGGUACAUAUUGCUGAUGGCAUCCAGUUUGUCCGGGACUACAGAAACUUAUUUUCAGCUGGCAAUGAAGUGCUCCUUUCUUCCAACGGAAGUUGCAAACUUUCAGAUGCUGAAAGCAGAAGUACCGCUAUUGACAUAAUUAUUGUUGAUGUGGACUCUUCUGACUCAAGGUGAAUUGCUCUAUUAACGGCUACAACAAUUGUUGUUGCAAAGCGGAAAGCUUUUAAAUACAUCUUUUAAUCACCUCUGUUGUAUUGUCUUUAUAGCUCUGGACUGAGAUGUCCUGCUGCUGAUUUUGUGGAAGAUUCUUUUCUUCAAAACGUAAAAGAUACUCUUUCCGAGCAAGGUCUCUUUGUUAUUAAUUUGGUCUCAAGGUCUCCUGCCAUCAAGGAUGCAGUUGUCUCAAGGAUGAAAGAGGUGAGAUUAAGAACAUAAAUACUCGCUAAUCAAAGUUCAUCUCUUGUUUCAUGGUUCUAUACUCUCUCUAUAAAUCUAAUGUAAAUAUAUUUAAAAGCUUCUUAUUACUAUUUAUUUCUAUGUUGGUCCGACUCUUUUUUCCUUAAGUACCCAUGUCCGACCUUUAUCUUUACAUGGAUUCAAGGAUAUGACCCUCCUAGGAAUGUUUACUGCAUCCCAUGUAGUCUAAUGCUACUAUUUAUUUUUAUAAAUUUAACUUCGUUGAUUGUUUUAACCAUCGGGAACUUAUUAUGUGGAUUUAAGAAUUUAGAAAGCUAACAGUAGUUCUUGGAUUAACUAAUUUUUCGUUCUCCAUGCUUACAACAUUUAUGUAGCAUCGAACCAUGCAAAUCUCAUUGCAAUUUGGUUAUGUUAUGCUCAUCAUUCAGGUUUUUAGCCACUUAUUUUGCAUUCAGCUGGAGGGAGAGGUCAACCUAGUACUUUUCGGUCUUUGUUCGGAGUCUCACAUUGAGGAGGAUUGCAUACCUGAUGCUGCCCUUAAACUUGAUAAAUUGCUCAAGUCCGAACAUCCCGAGAUAAGCCAGAGCAUCACAGAUGCAGCAAAGAAGCUCAAACGUUUAAAGUGAAGACCGUUUGAUAACAAAGUUUCCCCUUUAAUGUAUUCUCAAGUAACUCAGAGAGCAAGCUUUUGCAGAUUUUGAAGCAAAUGGCAUUGAAACUGGGUGACUGAAGAUUGCGCCACAGAAUGAGAAAAGUCCGAGGUGGGUUUUUAUUUCUUUUCUUUGAAUGGUAUGCAUUCUGCAUCAUCUCCAGUUUGGUUGUUCGAUGUCUUAAUACUUCUGUCUUGCAUCGUUUUUGCAUACAUUUUAAGCAUUACAGUCGGGGGCCCGAAUUUGAAAUAUACCCUCUUCAAUAUGUAAUAGUAUUAACCUGUAAAUCACACCACUGGGUGUACAAAAUUCGACAGGAUUUUUAUUUGACUGACUUAUUCGGUUCAUUGAGAUUUGAGACCAUUGCCAUGUUUUGUAUUCCUUGAAUAACUAGAGUGCUAGUAUUGAAAAACAUCCUAGAGGCUACAAUGAGUAUUUCAUUCAAUGGUGCGAAUAUUUAUACGCUUGGGAGAAUUCUAGUACAUAACCGAUACCGGAUUCAUGUUUCUUCUCUGACUAUUGACAUUUUUUUCCCACUUCAACGAGGGUCCAUUUUCUUCAGUGGUAGAAUGUUAGUUCCCUGUCUUGUGACUGCCUUAGAACUGGAAGGACAUGAAAAUGUUAAUAUUUUAAAUUGCAAGGAAGUUCCCAUGAUGGCAACAAACAACUGCUGUGGGUGUAAUCUAUAUGAUUUGAGAUAUAAUCUGUAUAUGUUUAUAAACUUGAUAAAUGUACACUAACAUAUAUAUAUUAAAUGAACUAACAUGAGUUCGAUUUUAUUUGAUAGUGAGGAUGGAAAUGAAGGAAGAAGGAAACUAACAUGCCUAAGAUCAAGCUUGUAAUAUGAUUCAUAUAAUACUAAAUUAAUAAAAAUAAAAAUUUAUUUAAAUUUGAAAGUCUUAUCAUGCACAAUUUAUGAUGUAUGGAUGUUCAGUAUGGGUUAUGUUUGAACCAAUGGUUUGUACUUGUGAAUGUACUUUGUAAUGGUAAACUUUCAAAUUGAGGUUUUCUGUUUUUGGAUCGGGUUUUAAGAAUGAUAUUAUUAUAUUAUAUAUAUUUUAAUUUCUAUUUUUUUUGUAUAAAAAAGUAUGGAUAUUUAUCCAAUUCAUGAGUCAAUUUCACUUCAUUUACUCUAGUUUUGAAAAAAAAUACAAACUUGGGGCUUUAUCGAGACUAAGCCUAGCGAUUUUAUACUAGUAAAAUAUAUAAAUACUAUACUUAGUCAAAAGAAAAAAAACAAAAAUUAUGGUCUUACAAAAUGACAAUUACUUAAAUGCAUUCAUAUUAAGAAGAAAAUCAAAGGGUCAGCAAGUCAACUGUAUUUUAAUUUCAAUUUCUUGUUCAUACGAUUGUACUUGUUAAAUAAUGAAGUACGUUCAUGGGUGGACUUACGCAGUUAGGCUGAAUUUAAGUAAACCAAUAGCGUAGACUAUUGACUUAUAUUAACAAUGGGUAAAUUCCAAGAGUAGUCACUCAACUAUGCACUUCGUUUUAUUUUGAUCACCGAGCUAUUAAUUUUUUAAUGUAAUCACUCGAAUUUUCAAGAUUAAAUAUUUUUGUUACUCUCCAUUAGUUUCUGUUAGCUAAGGGGCGGAAAGCUGAUGUAGGUUUUAUUAUUAUUAUUGGUAUAAUAGCGAACUUAGUUCUUCAAUGUUUAAACAUUCUAUCAAUUUGAUCAUAAAUCUAAUUUUUUCAUAUGGAGAUGAGAUGGCUUGGGGGGGUGUAUUGUCAAGAGUAAGAGAGGGUCUAAUUGUUUCUUGAUGUAAUUUGUUUAAUUUUUUAAAUUUAGGAUCAAAUUGAAAAAAUGUAUAAAUAUUGGAGGGCUGAAUUUAUUAUUAAGCCAAUUAAAAAAAAGCUCAAAUAAACUUUUCGUCUCACACAAGAGCGACUAAAAUAUUUGAUUUUGAAAAGUUAAAGUAACUAAAUCAAAAGAAUAAAAUUUUAGAUGAUUAAAAUAGAACGAACUGCAUAGUCCAGUGAUUAUUCUUAUACUUGACCCAUUAAAAGUCGAUAAUGACAUUGUAAAUCCCUUUCAAAGUAUAAAUUAGAUAAAGUUCUAGACAGAUUUUAAAUAAAUUAUAAUUGACUUCAUCAGAUUUGACCAUAAAUUAAAUACUCAAUUAAAAUUCGUUGGAGAUUUUUUCUCCCUUUCACACAACAAAUUAAUUACUGGAUUAAAUUUCGUUUAAGAUUUCUUGCCAUUUACAAUAACAUAUUUAAUAACAAGAAUAUGGAAGUGAAAGAAUAAUCAAUCAAUGAAGGAAAAAAAAUUAAGAAAAUGUAAGAAAAUAAUAUAAUGAAAAUAUGAUAAAUGUACAAUUUUUAAGAUAAUUAGAAAUGAAAUAUUUUUAAAAAAAAAUCAUUAACAACAUAAAAAAAUUUAAGCCCGUUUGAGCCAUGAAAUUGGGCAGGUAGGGUCUUGGAAGAUUGUCAAAAUAAAUUUCCAAAACAUUUCCUUAAAAUAAUAAAAAAUUGUGUUAAUUAAUAUAACAGGAGCGUUGAUUUUUGGGCAAGCUUUCACUUGAGGAAAUUCUUCCCUCAGUUUCCAUCCUUUCGUGAAAGCAACUUCCAAAUAUAAUUAUUAAAUUAGGAAAUAAACAGAAGUACUUACCAUUUACACACUUUUCCCAAAGAAAAUUACAAAGAAAAUCAUCAGUCUUUCACUAUAAAUACCAACAUCACUCGAGCACAAAAUUACUCAUCUCUCUCAAAUUCCACUCGUUAACACACACACAAUGAAAACCCUUUCAUUUUCUGCCAUUUUGCUUGUUCUUCUCUUCAUUUCUGCUGGUAAUCUUUUCUUUUAUUAUUCAUUAUGUGUUCUUUUUUUUUUCUUCUGUUGCAACUCUAAAUCUAAUUAGAUUCGAAGCCGGAAAUGUUAUUAAGCCGAGUCUAAAUUUUAGAUUUUUACGAGAGUUAAAAUACAAUUUUACUUCUGUACUGACUUGUAUAUUCAUGGUUUUCAAAAGGUUUAAAUUGAAAUUCCAAUAUUUUUGGGAUCAAACUAUAAUUUUACCAUAUAGUAACUUUAAGAUUAUAUGAAUAUAUUUAUGUUUUUUUUAAGCAACCCUUAUAUUUUGUAUUAACUUAUACCUUUAAAUUUUAACAUUUUUGAAGUCCCUCCGUUCAUCCUUAAUUAGACAUUUAUGUUUUUUUACGAAGCAACCCUUAUUUUCUUUUAAAGUAUAUUUUAAGUUACUAAUUUAUGUAAAUUUUUUUGGGCACAGGCACUGAGUUAAAGAUGGCAAAUGCAAUAGCGAGUUGUGAUGUUUUUGGGCAUAGCGGAGGGUGUGAAAUAAAUGAAUGCUUCAAUGCAUGCAGGGCCAAGUUGGGACAAGAUGCUCAUGGAUUUUGCUACACCAUCAAAACUCCUAGUGAUACUUGCAUGUGUCGUCAUCCUUGUUAAUUUAUUUAAGAAAAUUAAUAAUUAAUUUCCCUUUAGGAUUAUUUUUGGGUUUUUAUUUCUGUAGUUGUGUUUAUGUUUUUGGUAUCUAGUUUUUAUCAAAUAAAUUUAUGUUUUUAGGGUUUUAAUUCUACUAAUGGUUCAUUUUUAUCAAAUAAAUUUAUGUUUUUAGGGUUUUAAUUCUACUAAUGGUUCAUACUUUCCAUUUUAUUUAGUCCAUAAUUGAAUGGUUAAGAGUAAAAUUUAUAAUGAAGGUCUCAUAGAGAAUACAAAAGUUUAUAUAAAAAUUAUGGUUAAUGUUUAAAUAAAAUUAUUAGUAUUUAAUUAUAAUUUUAUUUUUUAUUUAAUUUAAUGAUGAUGGAUUAUGUUAUUAUUCAUUAAUGGUGUAUCAAAAUUAUAUGCCAUGAGUAGUACGAAGUGUAAAGCUGCUUGGACAACUUUAUCGCAAUUUAUUUUCAUGAUUAAAAUUGAAUUUUCAUACCACCUAGAUGCCUUAAAAAUAAGUCAAGCUUCCUUGAUGGUCGGUUGUAGGGUAAAUUUUGUUAUUAGUUUUUAUACAUAAUGGAAGUUGUGAAUUUAGUUCUUUUAAUUUUUAAUCAUCGUAUUAUUUUGAUUUUAUACUUUUUAAAUUUUAAAAUUUUAGUUAUGACCCAAGUAAUACUAGUUAAAUUCGUUUUAACUUUAAUUACUAGUCUUGUACUAUACGUAUAAUUGUAGAUUUGGUUCAUANNNNNNNNNNNNNNNNNNNNNNNNNNNNNNNNNNNNNNNNNNNNNNNNNNNNNNNNNNNNNNNNNNNNNNNNNNNNNNNNNNNNNNNNNNNNNNNNNNNNNNNNNNNNNNNNNNNNNNNNNNNNNNNNNNNNNNNNNNNNNNNNNNNNNNNNNNNNNNNNNNNNNNNNNNNNNNNNNNNNNNNNNNNNNNNNNNNNNNNNNNNNNNNNNNNNNNNNNNNNNNNNNNNNNNNNNNNNNNNNNNNNNNNNNNNNNNNNNNNNNNNNNNNNNNNNNNNNNNNNNNNNNNNNNNNNNNNNNNNNNNNNNNNNNNNNNNNNNNNNNNNNNNNNNNNNNNNNNNNNNNNNNNNNNNNNNNNNNNNNNNNNNNNNNNNNNNNNNNNNNNNNNNNNNNNNNNNNNNNNNNNNNNNNNNNNNNNNNNNNNNNNNNNNNNNNNNNNNNNNNNNNNNNNNNNNNNNNNNNNNNNNNNNNNNNNNNNNNNNNNNNNNNNNNNNNNNNNNNNNCUAAUUUUCAGGCCAACAAUCUGAGAAGAAAGCACAGAUUGGCAGCAUAAAGUUGAGAAAAGGAGAAGCAUAUGGUGAAAAGGUUAAUCCCAAAACUGAUAUGUUGCACUCGAAGUUCUCUUACAUGUAGUUUAUAUCAUACGCGGAUGGUUGGAUCUUAUCAUCUUAAGAUUUAGUUUACUCAACUGUGAACUUCUGCUUUAAAUACAAUAAUCCUAUUCUAAAUUGGUAUUGGGAUUAGUCAAUUUAUUCUUUCAAUGAUAGUUUUAUUACUUUAAAAAAAUACCCUACAAUUAAACUUUGUAUGUAAUAUGAUAAUAAUAAUUAAAAUAUAAUGAAAGAAAUUAUGUCUUACAGUCUAGUAAAGGCCAACAACGUGUCACAUUAUCAUUACAAUGUACACAUACUUUGUAGGGAAAUUUAUCCAAUGAAACAGAGGAUUAAACUAGUUUCCCAGAUGCAGGGAAGAAUUGGUAUGCUACAAUACUAAGAAAAAUACUAAUAACAAAAAAAUGGUAAUGGAAUCACCCUUGUUAUUGGGCUUAUGAAUUUCAUUGAUGAAUUCUCUUAACAUAUGGGCAAAUCUGGCGGCGGCGGUGCUAACCUCCUUUUGUAUUUUUAUUGGAUCCAGGAGCUUGGAGAGGAGUAUGUGCUCCUCAUAGAGCUGCGGUGCCUUGGCUGUGCGGAAUGGUGCUGAGGAAUGUACUGCUGCAGGCGGUUAUUUGCCAGUGUCCUUGUGCAGGUAGCUGGCCAUUUGUGGAGACCACAAAAAUUUAAAAUUAGCCGUGUUUUGUACGAAUAAAAAAAUCAUAUUUUAGAUUUAAAUAAUUAUAUAUUCUUUAAUCUCAUUGGGUUUCAAUUGGUUUGGUAAAUUUUGAAAUAAAAAAAAUAAAAAAACCUUUUGGAAUUGGAAUUAAUUUUUUCAAAGAAUUGGAAUUGGUUUGGUAAACAUUGUUUUCAUGCAAAAAGAUUUAGGCAUUUGCAUGCAAUGCCACAGGCUAAGACUAAGUCUAUGAAUAUAUUGAAAUUAAUAUGAUUAACAAGACCAAUAAAACUCAUAAUUCAAAACUAUGGGGCAUUCUGGAUGGUCUUGGACCAGGUUUGACCAACAUGAAGACUCUUCAUUCCCUUGUUUCACUUUUUCUUCCUUUCUUCUUUCUCUUCUCAUCCUCUCUUUCUCAAUCUCAUCUCCCAAGCCAACGCUUUGAUGAUCACAUAUCUCCUCUCUUGCAAUUGCAACCUCAUUUUUACUAUAAAUAUAGUAGUUUAUUCAAAUGAUUCACGAAACAUUUAAACGAAUUUAUAGAAAUUAAUACUUAUUUAAAAUAUUUACAAGAAAUAAAAAUUAGCACAUGAAGAAAAAAGAAAGGGAAAAAAAUCCAUAUUUUAGAUUUAAUAGACUAUAUGUCCUAUGAUUGCGUUUUAAUUGGUAUGAUCAUAAACUAUUUUCGACCAAAGGCCAUCAAUUGAGCUGAAUUUUAUAUAUGCUGGCCUUCUCAUUGUGGCUAGAAAGGUAGUAAUGGUUGAAGCAUGCAAAGCCUGUUAUAAUCCAUGGAGCACUGAUUGUGGGCGGUAGCGGUCGAAGCAUGCAAAAUUAUUGACAUUAUCCUAAACUUUUGUAAAACCAAAACUUAGAAGUGAAAUUCAAUACAAAAUUUCAAUUUUCAAAAUUCAGCAGCCUAUGGUCCAUGUUGUCUGGGAAAUUUCGAGACGGUGUAACAGAAACCAAUCUGGUUUUGACUCUAACACCAAUGUUGAGGAAACAUGGUCAUGGUGGUGUUGGCGAAUUUAUUGAGUAUUAUGGUUAGGUCUAUGGUCAUAAAUCUUGACAACGGAAUGCUUUACAAUCAAUAAUAUUGGUUUUAAUGUGCGUAUAGGAGAAGGUGUGACUGAUUAGGUAGAUGACAUGUUUUUGGUGCUGAUUAGGGUAGGCAACAACUUCAACCAUUAUUUCAAGUGAAGUUAGAACAAAAAUAUCUUUGUUCAUUCUACGUGUAAUCAUGGCUCUAAUAAGGUUUAAAGGACAUUAUUAUUGCUAUAAUUUUAUUUUUUUAAUGAUUAAAAUUUAAGAAAAUUAAAAUUAGAAAAUCAUUUAUAUAGAAUAAAGAGCCGACAAGAAGAUUGAAACCUGGCAUUAAUAAGAAGAAUAUUAAGAGUUCAACAAAGUGGUUCAACAUAGGUUUUCAUGCAUUAAUGAUAUGGCAAAAAGACUUUUAACAUUUGCAUCUGCAUGCAAUGCCAACGACUAAGAUUAAAGGCAAUAAUAUCUCAUGUUAUCAUUUUUUUAUAAGUAUAAAGUAUUAAAAUUUUUUUUAUCAACGAUAAUGUUUAUAUAUGUUCAAUGAAUAAUUUUAUACCAUUUUUGGGUCUUAUACCAAAUUUUACUUAAAAAAUUCAAUAAUAAAUUAUUUUAUUAAAAAAUUACCAUUAUUUCUUUUUUUUAAUGACCUUCCUUAAUCAAAUUGGUACAUCAUCAUCAUCAUUAUUAUUGGCAUGCAGUUAUAAAGACUUAGAAUUUUGCAUUCAUAUCAAAGACUUAGAAAUUUCCACUACUUGAUAUUUUAAUGACUUGAAUUAAACAAAGUGGUUGAACAUUACUUUCAUGCAGUUAGGGGUGAGUGUUCGAUCGAAUGAAAUCGAAUCGAAUGGAAUGGAAAAAUUUCGAGUUAAUCAAGUUGAUGAAUCAUAUUUUAUCAUCUUAAUUUAAUUUGAAAUUUUCUGGAAUCAAGUCAAAUGUGAUGGAAUUCAUUCAAGUCAAAUUUUUAAAAAUAAUUUUGAGUAGUUGUAACCACUGUCACCCACCGUAAUAAAAUUUGUCUACCAUAAUCAAAUUUGUUAUUAACUUUCAUCACCUCAUAAUUUAUAUUUUAAUCUUUUAUAUAUGUGUUAGCUUCUUUGCUUGCUUAGUUGUUUCAAUUAUCUUCAGAUUCUUGUCACUAUGUAUUUUGGAAUUAAAAAAAUAUUAAAUGUAAAAAUGUGCUUUUUUUUAAUAAAAGUUAUUUUAAAGAUAAAAUGUGAAAUUGAUACCAAUAUAAAAUUUUAACAUGAAUAUUUUAUGGCAUCAUUAAUAAUUCAAAUUUAAUAUAAAUAUUCAAUAUGACUAAACAAUUCAAUAAUAUAAAUAAUAUAAAAUGUGAAAUUUAAUUUAAUAAUAUAAAUAGUAGAUAUAAAUAAAAGUAUUACUAUUUAUGUUUAAGGGGUUUUUUGGAUAAUUUUGAUUUUUUUAUUUGGGAGUAAAGGAUGAGAAGUAAAAGUUUAGGGGAAAAAUAAAAAGUUUAGGGGAAUAAAAGUUUGAGGGAAAAUAAAUGAGCUGGAUAUAGAAUGCUGAAUGAGUUGGGAAACAAAUGGGUUGAUAAGUUCAAAAAGUGUGGGAAAAGAAAUAGAAGAAGAUGUAGGUGACUCCCAUCAGAAUUCUUGUUUCAAAUUUAGCCGGUAGGCAUUAUUUAUUUAUUUUGAAUAUAUAUAUAUAUAUAUAAGAAACAAAAAAAAAAGAAAAAAAAUCAAAACUUUCUUACUUUUUUGGACGGUGAUCGGUAGAUCUAAGCUCGGGAGGCCAAUAGAGAGAGGAAAGAAAAAAGGAAAAUUUUUAAUUUUUCCGGGCCAACGUGAACGACGGCGCCGUUGCCAGUCAGCAAACUCUUUAAUCUUAUUUAGUUUGAAAAAAUAGAUAUAUUUUUGAAGUAGUUUUUUUGAAAGAAAUUAGAAAGCGUCCAAGGCAUCUCCACUAAUUCAUUUUUCAUUUAGUUUAGUGAUUUCAAUUAAACCAAGAAAGUUUAAAAGUUCAAUCUUUUUCAAAUUGUGUUGAAAUUGCACUGCGUCUCUAUCACUUGAUUAAUAUAUUUCUGUGGUUUUUAAGGAAACUAGCAACCCCGGCAAUCGGGUUAUUUGAGAGUAUAAUCGUGGAAGGGGCUUAAAAAUUUAUUUUUUUCAGUUUUUAAUAUAAGAAAAAAAAUUUCAGACUAAAAUAAAUUAAUUAGAUGCAUAAGAUUUUUAAUUUUUCACCAUAAAUAUUUCAUCACCUAAGCCGCAAAAUAUGUUCAGCUGUUAUUGCAUUACAUUUUAUAUAAUUUUUUUUAAAAAAAGUCUAAUUUAUUGUUUGCCUGAAGCCCAAAAAUAUUAAGAACCGGCCUGGAAAUUAGUAGAACAUAAUUAAGUAAUGACUGGGCAAUAGGAGUCAUUUGCAAGUAUGCAUGCCAAGACUAAGUCAAAGACUCCAUUUGAUAAAAACCCAUGCAUACUAUCGUUUCUUUAUUAGUCCUACACUAAAAACAUAUAAUUUCCUAAUUAGAAAAUAAAUCUAUGAGCUUUGUCUCUAAAUACAUUAUGUUGUUAUACACUCAAUGUCGAGCUUUGCGGAGCUUUGGAGGGAUUUCAAAUGACUUAGAGAUUAGGUUUUCAAUGGAUUGUCCUUGAGAUGAAUAAUAUGACUACAAUCUAAUUGAUUCAAGAUGAUCAGUUGAGUUCCACCAUUUAGCUGUGUUACGAAUUAUUAAAGAAAUUAUUCAAUGUCUUUGGAUGAUUAGGGUGACACAUGUAUUCAAAUAGGGUAACUGAGUAGUCGAUGGACCGGAAGCAAUGAUAUUUUCAAGGCAUCUAGGCGUGUAUAGCUAUAUGCAACCAUUGGAUAAAAUUCUUCAAAAAUUAUAUGAUUAUUGCUCUAGAAUGACCUGACCCGACUUAAUCCAAUUAUGAUUUUAUCUUUGUUCAUGAAAAAAUAAAAGAAAGAUAAUAGAUUUAAAUAAUUGAAGAGAAAAUGAAAAUUAAUUAUGUAAACCAAUAAAAAGAAUCUAAUUUUGGACUUAAAAAACUAUAUGCUUGUUGCAUUUCAAUUGGUUGGACAAACUUUGAAAGUGUAAAGGAUUGAAAAGUGGCUAAUAUUGUAAGACAUUUCAACUAAUCUGUGAUCAUCAAUUUCAAUCAACCCAAAGUAAAUUUCAGAAGAACCCCACACUUUUUAUCAUCAAAAUUUCCACCCAUAAGUCAUAAGUGGUGCCCAUCAAUCCAUCUCAUGCAGUAUUGAUCGGGCAAACACAUGUUGGGUUUUAGUACAACCUCGCAUUUAUUUUGUACUAAUCUGUUUCGCAGAAAUUGUGUCGUCAUCAUAAUUUCCACUCCAUAUUCCCGUCAAUCCAUCUCAACCAGCUAAAACAAAUGCUUUAUUUUGUGCUUAUAAUGACUUGACUUAAACAAAGGGGUAAACCAUUGUUUUCAUAUAGCAAGGAUCGGGCAAAGACUUAGACAUUUGCAUGCAAUGUCAAAUCUUGAAUUUAGAGUUGAGCCCAUAAUUUGGGGUGUUGGAUUUAAUUAAACCCGUUGAUAGAUCAUAACAUAUUUAUAAGUUGGAUACUACUUAAUAAAUUAGGAUUUAUUAAUGGGUAAAAAGACUUGAACAUUAGCUUGCAUGCCAAAGAAAAAAAAUGUUAAUUCUAAAACACAUUUCAUCUUAUACUUUAACAAAUUAUCUCUGUCUCAUUUAUUUUUGAUGAUUUUUAUGAGUGUUUGAUCAAAUCAAGUGAAAAUUUUUUGAGUUAAUUGAACUGAUGAGUCAUAUUUAUCAUCCUAACUCGAUUUGACAUUUUUUCGAAUUGAGUUGAGUGAAGUGAAAUUUGAAAUUUGAAAUUUUUAUAAAUAUUUUGAAUUUUAAAAAUUAUUUUGUAAUUUUUGUUGAGAGAUCAAUUUGCUUAUUAUUAAAUUGCUUAUAGAAUAAAAAAGCAUAAACGUGUUUUUUUUUAAAUAAUUUCUUUCAACCUUGUAUUCUUGAUUUAAUAUGAUGAUUGACUCUAAAUUUAAGUUAUUGUUAUUAUUCUUGAUGCUACUAAAAGCUUACAAUUUUGCAUGCUUUAGACACUUUUAAUACUACUGUUGUAUGUCCUGUUUACUAUGUCAUGUUCACAACGUUCACCAUUAUUGCCAGCAUUAUCAUGUUUAAGGUAAGGUUUUUAUCUAUAUACAUCCUUACUCCACUUAUAUAGGUAGGGAGUGUAAAUCAACAAAUUUUAUUUUUAUUUUUGAGUUUGACUAACUUUCUUAUGGAAAUGUUUGACUAUUUUCAUGAACAUCGUAGACAUAUUUAUUUAGUUUAUAUGCAUAAACGUGAACACUAAUAGGCCAAAAAAAAUAAACUGACGGAUUAAACUUGAUUUAUAUACAAUCCUAUUCAUAAGGCGGGACAGAGAUUACAACAGAAUUAUGUGGAUUUAUUAUAAUUUUAUCAGGCACAAUAUUCCUCCUUCACAAAACCAAAGAUAUGGGAAAAAGUUCUCAGUGGCAGACUCCCUGAUUAUACAUCUCCUGAACUAAAUAUAGUCUCGAAUCUAGAUACUCAGCCCUACAGGUUUGAAAUUCGUAUUUGGAUUCUAAUCUUUACUUUUCUUGCAUUUAGUUUCAUACAAGAAAGGUAAAAAAAGAAGAAGAGAGACAAACAAAAGUAAAAUUAAGAGUGUUUCUUUAUUUGAUGUCUAUGUAAAAAGUUGCUACUGAAAUGUUCCUUAUGUUUUUUCAUUUGUUAAUUUUAUUUUUCAUAACAUCCUUUAUGUAUAUAUAUUUGAAGUUGUUUGAGUUUGAUAUUUAAUCAUUAGAAUUAAAAAUCCAAUUCUCUACUAAUAAAUCCAACAAUUGUUUGUUUUUAGUGUUAUUUUUGAGCUCUUAUGUAUUUGUAUUAAUUUGACCUGUGUUUAUACUCAAAAUUAUAGACUAUAUAAAAAACAUUAUCGUGUGAAAUUGUUUGAUUUAAAUUUAAAAAAUUAAACAUGUCAAAUUAAAAUCUAGUUAUAAUAUAAUUAAUUUCAUGUUAGAGCACAAAAAUUUCAAACUAUAUAUAUUUGAUUUUCUUUAAAGAAAAAUAAUAAAAAAAUAUUAUAGUUUUUUUUAAAUAUAAAUUUUGGAAUUUUUAUUAAUAUUUUGAAUUUUUGUUGAGAGAUAAAGUUUCUAAGUUUCAAAAUUAAUAGGGAUCAAAUGAGUAUGCGUACCAAUCUGUUGUAUGAAUUGUUCAAAUUAUUCGAGUUAUUCAAAUAGUAAAAUUUAAUUCGAAACUUGACUUAUAAAUAAUUUUAUGUUUUAUAUUUAAUAAUAUAAAACAUAAAAAUAUUUAAAUUAAAUAAAAAUUAAAUAAUAAUGUAAAAAUGAAAGUCUUUCUCCAAACUUCCCCAAAAACACUUUAAGAAAAUUUCCACUCCUUGUAUCCAUCAAUCCAUCUCAACUAACAAAUUUACUAUAAUUUUGCCUAUAUAAUGGUUGAACGUUGUUUUUGUGCAAUCGACAUUUGGACACUUGCAUGCAACGCCAAAGACUUAAGUUAUUUCAUACUAUCAUUUUUCCCGAUCCAAAGUUAAAGAUAUUAAGAAUUUCAAAUUAGAGUAUUAUUUAUAAUUUAAGAACUUAAUUAGAACAUUAUGAAAUCUAGAAACUUAAUUUAAAAUUUGAUGUAUAAUUUUGAGAUGUAAGGCGAAUUAAGCCUUUGAUAAAUCAUAACAUAUUUAUAAGUUUGAUACUCAUUAAUAAAUUGAUUUUAUAUUACAAUUUCAAUUUUAAUUUUUUUGGUGCUAUAACAAAAUUUCCUUAAAAAUACAUAAUAUAAAUUUUAGAAUUUUUAAGAAUAUUUUGAUUUUAAAAAUUAUUUUAAUUUUUUUGUAAUUUUUGUUGAGAGAGAUUAAUUUAUUAAUUUUUAAAAUUGACAAGAAUCAAAGGAGUAUAUAUAUCAAUCUGUUAUUUGAAUUAUUUGAGUUAUUUAAAUUAUAAAAUUUAACUCGAAUCUUGAAUUAUAAAUAUUUUUAAUAAUAUAAAACAUAAAAAAUAUUAAAAUUAAAUAAUAAUAUAGAAAUGAAAAUAUUUCUCACGCUCUAAGAAAGUUUGAAAGAAUUUAAAUAUGAUUCUUUUAAAAAUGAAAAAUUCUAUAUAUUCUAUCAUCAAAAUUUCCACUCAUUGAGUCCAUCAAUCUAUAAGGUGACUUGACUUGUACACAUUGGUUGAACGUUGUCUUUGUGCAAUAAAAACUUGGACAUUUGCAUGCAAUGCCAAAGACUUAAGACUUAAAAGGCCUAUAAUAUUUCAUAUUAUCAAUUGUUCUGGUCCAAAAUUAAAGAUUUUAAAAAUUUUAAAUUAAAACGUUACUCAUAAUUUGAGAACUUAAUUAAAACAUUAUAAAAUUAGGGGUCAAUUUAAAAUUCGAUGUAUACAUUUAAGAUGUAAGGUGAAUUAACCAUUUGAUAAAUCAUUACAUAUUUACAAGUUGGAUAUUCAUUAACAAAUUGAUUUUAUAUUAUAAGUUAAAUUUUAUAUUUUCGGUGCUAUAACAAAAUUUAGUUAAAAAUUUAUAUUGUAAUUUUUUUAUUUAAAAAAAUUAAAUGAUGUAGAAAUAAUUAUAUAUAACAUAAAAAUGAUAAAAUUCAAGUAAUUUAAUGAUAAAAUAUUUGUAACAUGGAUAUUUUUUUCUAAAAGGUCAAUACUUAAAAUAUAUAAAUUGUUUGAUUUAAAUUAAAAAAUUAAACAUGUCAAACUAAAAUCUUGUAAUAGUAUAAUUAAUAUUUGAAAUCAUAAAUAUUUGAAAACUGUUUUAAAGUGAAAUAAUAAUAAAAAUUAUUAUAGUUUUUAUAUAAUAUAAAUUUUAGAAUUUUUAUGAAUAUUUUAACUUUAAAAAUUAUUUUAAUUUUUUUGUAAUUUUUGUUGAGAAAGAUUAAUUUGUUAAUUUUUAAAAUUGACAAGAAUCAAAGGAGUAUAUAUAUCAAUCUGUGUUUGAAUUAGUCGAGUUAUUUAAAUUAUAAAAUUUAACUUGAAUCUCAAAUUAUAAAUAUUUUUAAUAAUUUAAAACAUAAAAAUAUUAAAAUUAAAUAAAAUUAUAUUUCGCACGCCUGUAAGAAAGUUUGAAAGAUGAAAUUUAAAUAUGUUUCUUUCAAAAGUGAAAAAUUCUAUAUAUUCUAUAAUCAAAAUUUCCACUCAUUGUGUCCAUCAAUUUAUAAGGUGACUUGACUUGUACACAUUGAUUGAACGUUGUUUUUGUGCAAUAAAAACUUGGACAUUUGCAUGCAAUGCCAAAGACUUAAGACUUAAAAGGUCUAUAAUGUUUCAUGCUACAAUUUUUUCUGGUCCUAAAUUAAAGAUUUUAAAAAUUUCAAAUUAAAACAAUUAUGAUUUAAAAUUAUUAUAGUUUUUACAUAGUAUAAAGUUUGAAAUUUUAUGAAUAUUUUGAUUUUAAAAAUUAUUAUUAUUGUUUUUCGAAAACUUUUGUUGAGAGAGAUCAAUUUGUUAAUUUUUAAAAUUAACAGGGACCAAAGGAGCAUGUACAUCAAUUUAUUGUUUGAAGUAUUCGAGUUAUUUAAAUUGUAAAAUUCAAUUUGAAACUCGAAUUAUAAAAAUAUUUAAUAAUAUAAAACAUAAAAAAUAUUAAAAUAAAAUAAUAAUGUAGAAAUGAAAAAUUUUCUUCAAAUUUCUCACCCAUAUACAAUCUAGAAAAGUUUUAAAGAUGAAAUUUAAAUAUGUCUAUUUCAAAAGUGGAAAAUUCUAUACACUUAAUUUGCCUUGGGUUUUUUUUUGUUAAUUUUAAUUUUGAAGAAUGAGAUUUUAAUAUUUUAUUCAUCUUAUUUUUCUUAUUAAUGCCAAGGUUUUAGUUUUCUUAUUAAAAUUUCAUUCUUCAAAAUUAAAAUUAACAAAAAAAGAAAAAGAAAAAAAAAAGACGCAAGGCAAAUUAAGUGAAUUUAACAACUUAUUUCUAAUACUAAUAAUAAAUGCAUAGCAUGCAAUUUCCAUGUCUUUUUGCCCAAUCAAUACUGCAUCAAAAUAAUGUUCCACCACUUUAGUUAUGUCUUUUUGGUCAACCUUUUCCAGCAUGGGAUAAUAAUAAUAAUACUAAUAAUAAAUUAUUUAUAUGCCAAACAUGAAAACUACACAUUUGUGUAUAAAUAAGUUGCAUGCCAAGCACAAUCCUUCUUCACACCCAACAAACAUGAACACUCUUCAUUUUCUUAUUUCACUCUUUCUCUUCUCAUGCUUCCUUUCUCUUGUCUUGUCUUUUUCACCUCCUCAAACUCAUCUCCCUAAGCAAUGCCUUGAUGACCAGAGAGCUCCUCUCCUGCAACUGCAGCAUCAUCUUUACUAUGCCCCUAAUUUUACUUUCUCUUCCAAAUUCGACCUCUGGGAUGUCAACACUGAUUGUUGUUCUUGGGAAGGAGUCACUUGUGAUGCUUAUGGUCAUGUUGUUGGCAUUGAUCUUAGUUACAAAAACCUUUCAGGCGGCUUCAACUCCAUAUUAGAUCUCCAUCAUCUUCAACACCUUAAUCUUGCUGGAAACAACUUUAAUACCACUCUGUUUUCCUAUGGGUUUGAUAAACUCCAAAAUCUAACUCAUCUCAACCUUUCAAGCUCAUGUUUCCAUGGCCAAAUUCCAAUGAAGAUCUCAUUCUUAACAAGGUUAGUCUCUCUGAACCUAUCUUAUCAAGAUGAUUGCUAUUGGAGAAAUGGUUACGAUUAUAAUUCAGCUACUUUAAAAUUGGAGAAACCAAACUUCAAGACAUUUAUCAAGAAUUUGAAGUUUCUCACGGAGCUUUAUUUGGAUGGUGUCGACAUUUCAACUCAAAGUACUAAAUGGUGUGAAACCACAUCUCUUGUACUUCCAAACCUGCAUGUGUUGAGUCUGUCAAGCUGUGGUUUGAAAGGUCCAUUAUGUUCUUCACUCUCAAGACUCUCUUUUCUUUCCAAACUUAUCCUUGAUGGGAACCCAAUCUCUUAUUUACCUCCCAAUUUCUUGGAAAUUUCCUCUCGUUUGGUUUCUCUCAGUUUGAGGUACUGUAAUUUGCGUGGGCAUUUUCCAACCGGAAUUCUCUUAUUGCCAAAAAUUCAAAGCAUUGACAUUUCACGCAAUGACCAACUUAUGGGUCAGUUGCCAGAAUUUCCAGCAAACAAUGCAUUACUGAGUCUGUCACUUUAUCAUACAAAUUUCAGUGGAAAACUACCUGAAUCGAUUGGUAAUCUUAAGUUCCUGACAAAUUUAGAGCUUUCUUAUUGCAAUUUUUUUGGACCUAUUCCAUCGUCAAUUACAAAUCUUAGUCACCUGGUCAACCUAUAUCUGGGAGGGAACAUGCUUUCUGGAUCAAUACAUUCUUCUUUAUUCACUCUUCCAUCAUUAAAGACCCUGUAUCUUGGAGAAAAUCACUUGGUUGGGAAAAUUGAUGAGUUCCCCAAUGCAUCUUCUUCUUUGAUUCAAGAAUUAUAUAUAGGCAAUAAUUAUUUAACAGGACCAAUCCCAAAGUCAAUCCUUCAACUUCCAAGGCUUGAAUGGCUUGAUAUCGAAAGCAAUAGCUUCAGUUCCAUGAAGCUUGACAUGUUUGUCCAACUUGAGAACUUAAAGGGUCUCGAAUUAUCCAACGUAAGCUUGUUAAUUGAAAGGGACAACAGAAGUCUUACUUUUCCCCAAUUAGAGAGACUAAGCCUAUGGUCAUGCAACCUUACUGAAUUUCCAGAAUUCAUUAAAAGGCAAGACAAGUUGGUUGACUUAGAUCUUUCGAACAACCAUAUCCAUGGUUUUGUGCCCAAUUGGUUGUGGAAGAGCAGUCUUUCAUGGGUAGACCUUUCUUUCAAUAUGAUUGAUUUUCCAAAACAGCUUCCCUUAAAUGAUGCAAACUUUUCAUUUCCAAUGUUGAAAGACUUGCGUUUGACAUCCUGUAACAUAAGUGCGUUUCCAGAGUUCAUCAAAACACAAGACAAGUUGGUUGACUUAGAUCUUUCUAGCAACCAUAUCCAUGGUGUUGUGCCUAAUUGGUUGUGGAAGAGCAGUCUUUUAUCCUUAGACCUUUCUUUCAAUGUGAUUGAUUUUCCAAAACAACUUCCUUUAAGUGAUGCAAACUUCUCUUUCCCAAUGUUGAGGCGAUUGCGUCUGGAAUCUUGUAACAUAAGUGCAUUUCCGGAGUUCUUAAAGAGUCAAGAAAAUUUAGAAGAAUUCGACGCAUCUUCUAACAAUUUGAGUGGCCCAAUUCCAAAUUGGUUAUGCAAUAUGAGUCAGCUUAGCGGUUUAGAUGCAUCUUAUAACAAUUUGAGUGGCCCAAUUCCAAAUUGGUUAUGCAAUAUGAGUCAACUUUACAGUUUCGAUGUAUCUUAUAACAAUUUGAGUGGCCCAAUUCCAAAUUGCUUGGGCAAUAUGAGUGCUCUGAGUUGGUUGGGUUUGCAAGGAAAUAACUUCAGUGGAAUGAUACCAAAAUUUUCAAAAGCAACCCAACUGCAAUUUCUGAAAGUUAGUGAGAAUAGAUUGGAAGGGAAGUUGCCCAGAUCAUUAGCAAAAUGCACUCAACUUAUGGUUUUGGAUGUAGGAAGCAACAUGAUCAAUGAUACAUUCCCUUUUUGGUUGGAGAAAUUGCCUGCGCUAAAGGUUCUCAUUUUGCGGGAAAACAGGUUUUAUGGUCAAAUUAAACAUUUCAAACAUAAAUCUGUUUUCCCAACUUUGGAUGUAUUGGACAUUGCUUCAAACCAGUUUUCUGGUGAACUAUCCAUUGAUUUCCUUCAACCCACUAGAGUAAGGUCACUCAAAAUAGGUGGGAAUAAAUUGGAAGGGAAGCUGUCGAGAUCAUUAGCCAAUUGCACAGCACUUGAGGUUCUGGACCUCGGAAAUAAUAUGGUUCAUGAUACAUUCCCAUUUUGGCUAGAGAAGCUACCUUCCUUGAAGGUUCUCGUUUUGCGAGCAAACAGAUUCUACGGCACAAUUUCAAAAAUCGAUACAGAACGUGGGUUUCCAAAGCUACGCAUAUUGGACAUUGGUUCCAACAAUUUUUCAGGCGACUUGUCCAUUGAAUUUUUGCAGAGUUUGAAGGCAAUGGCGACGAUGACUAAUGACGAAAAGGCUAAGCUGGAUUAUAUCGGAGAGAGUUAUUAUCAAGACUCUGUGACAAUUGUUAACAAAGGGAUUGAAAUGUUCUACCAAAAAGUCUUGGCAAUUCUUACUUGUCUUGACCUUUCCAACAAUAGUUUCCAUGGGAGAAUACCAGAAGAAAUACAAAUGCUGAGGUCACUCAGAGUGAUGAACUUAUCCAACAAUGGCUUCUCUAGUGAAAUCCCAUUAGCACUUCAAAAUCUAAAAGACCUCGAAUCUUUGGAUCUCUCAAGAAACAAGCUGUCAGGGAAGAUUCCUCCACAACUUACGAGUCUAACUUUCCUGGAAGCAUUGAACUUGUCAUACAACCAACUUGAAGGGAGCAUACCACAAAGCAACCAAUUCUUUACAUUUACCAGUGAUUCCUACCGUGGGAACCCAAAAUUGUGUGGGCUGCCAUUGUCAAGGAAAUGCAAUGAAGUUGGUCUUCCAAUGCCACCACCUCCAGGGGAAGAUGAAGAUUCAUGGUUAUAUGCUCUGUCUACUUUGAAAAUUGCGUUGAUAGGUUAUGCUAGUGGAUUAGUCGUUGGGCUAUGUAUUGGAUAUACAGUGCUGAAUGAGUUGGGAAACAAAUGGGUGGACAAGUUCAAAAAGUGUGGGAAAAGAAAUAGCAGAAGAUGUAGGUGACUCCAUCAGAAUUCUUUCUUCAAAAUUAGCUGGUAAGCAUUUAUCUUUCUAAUUUGAACAGAUAGUUGUUGACAUAUAUAUAUAUAUAACCUCAUUUUUUGCUGUCAUUACCAAGUUCACUAUCAUAUCGUUCUUGUAAUUUGAUGUUACCAUUGAGCAAUGCAGGAGGUACUUGAAGCAGGACAUGGAAUGUACAGUUGUGAGGUUCAUGAAGAAUGUAGGCAAUGAUCCUAACAAGAUCAAUCCACUGGUUUGUAAUUUUGCUUUAUAUGCACUUUUUUCCUUUUGUAGUUUUCCAUGAGUGUAUAUAAGUGUUUAUUCAUUUUGCAUCCAGGUCCCUGUGGAUUUGAGGGAUGCAAUGUUUCACUGCUACUGAAUUUCCAUGCUAAUAAUGAUAUUAUAAACAAGGAAAUGGCUGCCCAAGCUUUCUUUUAUAUGCAAUUUACUUUUACUUCAAUUAUUUUAUCUUCAGAAUAUUUGUACAGCUGAGGAGAUUUGAUGGCAUGAUGUUGAUGAAAGCCAUAUCUGAUGGACAUUGGACUGAUUGUCUAAAGAGACGCAGAUGUUGCUACCCCCAUCCUUAGCUCUUCCAAACGGACAUUAGCUUUAUAUUUUAUCAAUCACAUGUUGGGCUUUAGGACAGGGUGUAAAGGGUGGACCUGUUGGUCUGGGUUUUAGUUCAGCCCGACACUUAUUUUUAUACUAAUUUAUUUAUCUUUUUAAUGAUAGUUUUAUUAAUUUCAAAAAAAUUUUAAAAUUGAAAUUAAUUUUUUCAAAGAAUCGAAAAAUUGUUAAUAAUAUAAGAUAUCUCGUCAGUCUCAUUUGUCUUUGAUAAUUUUAAUUAAAUCUAAAGAAAUUUUAAUGUGGAAAUUUAAAUAUGUUUCUUUCAAAGAAAUUGCUAAGAAAAGGAAAACUGUAAACGUUGUCUCAUCAAAAUUUUCAUUAAUUGUACCCAUCAAUCCAUCUCAACUACCUAAGAAACUUGCUAAACAUUGUUUUGAUGGGGUGAAAAAGAUUUAGACAUUUGCAUGCAGUGCCAAAAGGCUAAGACUAAGUCCAAUAAUAUCUCAUUCCAUAAAUUUCUAUUGAUUCCAUACACUUUAAGUUCAUUGAAAAGUCAUCAAAGUUAUGAGAAAAUUUAGUCCUUGAGCCAUCAAUCUAUCUCAAUCAGCUAAAAAAAAUCACCACACUUGAACAUUAGCUUGCAUGCCAAAGAAAAAAAAAUGUUAAUUCUAAAACACAUUUCAUCUUUUCCAUCAGCAAAUUAUCUCCGUCUCAUUUAUUUUUUAUGAUUUUUAUGAGUGUUUAAUCGAAUCAAGUGAAAAUUUUUUGAGUUAAUUGAACUGAUGAGUCCAAUUUAUCAUCCUAACUCGAUUUGACAUUUUUUCAAAUUGAGUCGAGUGAAAUGAAAUUCGAGUAAAAUUGAAUGGAGUGAAAUUAUUCAAGUUCAAUUAAAAAAUUAAAUAUGUCAAAUUAAAAUCUUGUUAUAAGAUAACUAAUUCAAUAUUCGUGCACAUAAAUUUAAAACUAUAUACAUUUAAAAUCUUUUUCAAAACAAAAUAAUAAUAAAAAAUUAUUACAAUUGAAAAAAAAAAAUAUAUAUAUAUAAUUUGAAAUUUUAAUAAAUAUUUUGAAUUUAAAAAAUUAUUUUGAAAUAUUUUGUAAUUUUUGUUGAGAGAUCAAUUUGCUCAUUAUUAAAUUGCUUAUAGGAUAAAAAAGCAUAACUGUGUUUAAAAAAAAAAUCUUUCAACCUUAUAUUCUUGAUUUAAUAUGAUGAUUGACUCUAAAUUUACGUUAUUGUUAUUAUUCUUGAUGCUACUAAAAGCUUACAAUUUUGCAUGCUUUAGACACUUUUAAUACUACUGUUGUAUGUCCUGUUCACAACGUUCACCAUUAUUGCCAGCAUUAUCAUGUUUAAGGUAAGGUGUAGGUGACUCCAUCAGAAUUCUUGUUUCAAAAUUAGCUGGUAAGCAUUAGUCUAAGCAUUAGUCUUUCUAAUUUGAAAAGAUAGUUGUUGAUAUAUAUAGUUGCUGAAAACUAAAUUUCUCUAUCAUAUUCUACUUGUAGCAUUGACAUUCAUUUUCCAGAUUCUAUUGUAAUUUUAUGUAUCAUUUAGCAAUGCAAUGGAAUAUCCAGUCAGGAGGUACGUUAUCUUUGAAGAAAAUGGUAAUUAGUUUCUUAUGACUACAAACAUUUUUCAAUCACGUCUUAUGUUUUAGGUCCGGGUGUAAAGGGUGGACUUAUUGGUCUGGGUGUAAAGGGUGGACCCCUUGGUCCGGGUUUUAGUGCAACUUGACACUUGUUUUUAUAUUAGUCUAUUUAUCCUUUCAAUGAUAGCCUUAUUACGUUAAAAAUUACCAUUCAAUUAAACUUUGUAUGUAACAAUAUGAUAAUAAUAAUUAAAAUAUAAUGAAAGAAUUUGUGUUAAAAUCUAGUAUAUGUUUUCCAAUGUUAGCCAAAGGCCAACACUAUUUCACACUAUUAUUACAAUGUACACAUACUUUUUAGGGAAAUUUAUCCAAUGAAACAGAGCAUUAAACUAGUAUCCCAUAUGCAGGGAAGAAUUGGUAUGCCACAAUACCAGGAAAAUGAUUAAGAAAAAUACUAAUAACAAGAAAAAAAUUGGUAAUGGAAUCACAGUAAUUGAAAUGAUGAAGAAGGGUGUUUACCUGGAUUAUCAGCGACAAAUCUGAUGGUUGCCCGUCCAUUCACAGGCACUCCAACAGUGUUCCUCACAGGUGGAUCAACAAGGUUGAAUUUAGAAGUAUCCUUUUUAGGAUCGAAGUUCUUUAAACGUUGUGCAAUGAUAUAGAAAUCGUAUACAUGAAGAUGAAUUGGAUGAUUCUCAGGUGUCACUGUGCUUUGUCUUGGAGCACAAUUUUGCACCCUAAAAAUGUUGGUAUGGGUUAGAGGUGAGAGAGGUGACUGAGAUGAAGAUGCUGAUGUUGAUGCUGAUGCUGAUGUGGUUGAUGAUGGCAAUGAUGAAGGUGAGUGAAGAAUGUUCAGUGAUGGAGGAUGCCUCCAGAGUGCUGGGAGCCGAAAGUGUUGAAGAAAAAUGGUGGAAAAAGAGCCCCCGGUUAGAAGCUUUGCUACAAUUAAAAUUGAGUUAAAUUGAGUUUACCACAAAAUGCUGAUUUGUAUCCCGAUCAAAUUUUGGUGUCUACGUAAAAAAUAUAUAUAUAUAUAAUGAAAGAAAUGAUGCCUUACAAUGUGGUGUGCUUUUUAGUGUUAGUAAACAAUCUAAAACACUAGAAAAUUGGAACUGACAUUAGAUUUAAAAAAGAAAAAAAAGUCCAUAUUUUAGAUUUAAAAAAUUAUAUGUUGUUUAAUCUCAUAGUGUUUGAAUUCGUUUGAUAAACUUUGAAAAAAAAAACUUUUGAAAUUGGAGCUUAACUUUCUCAAAGAAUUGAAACUUUGUUUAUAAUAAAAUGCAUCUCGGUUAAUCUCAUUUGUCUUUGAUAAUUUCAAAUAGGAAUAAAUAUCAAAAUUAUAUAUAAACUUUAAUUUAGUGUGUAAUUGUAUAUAUGAACUUUAGUUUGGUGUAAUUAUACACGUGGAACUUUAAUUGUGGUUCAAAUGUAUACUUCAAACUUUAAUUUUGAUUUAAUCAUAUGCAUUUAAUGAAAUAAAUACAUCAAUUUAUUUUUAUAUUGGAUAAAUAUAAUUAUUUAUGUAUAUAAUAUAUAAACAUAAAAUGAUAUUAAAUCAAUAAUUGUGUUGAUAAAUUACAAGAAUUGGAUCAAAUCAAAAUUUCAUGUAUAACAUUGCACAAAAUCAAAAUUAAUGUAUACAAUUGCACAUUAAUCCAUAGUUUAUAAUUUUAAGAUUUAUUCCUUUAAAUUAAAUCUAAAGAAGUUUCGGUAUGGAAAUUUAAAUAUACUUUGAAAGAAAUUGUUAAGAAGAGAAGAAUUGUAUCAUCAAAAUUUCCACUACUUAUGUCCAUCAAUCCAUCUCCCUAAGAAAUUUGCUAAACAUUGUUUUAAUGCCGUAGUAAAGAGGAAAAAGGAUUUAGACAUUUGCAUGGAAUGCCAAAGGUUAAGAUUAGGUCUAAUAAUAUAAAAAAUAUCUCAUGGUAUAAUUUUUUUUGUCAGUCAAAAAUUAAAAAUAUUAAAAUUUUUGUGUUUCAAUCGGCUUGAUAAAUUUUGAAAAAAAAAAAAGAGAGAAUGAAAUUUAUUUUUUCGAAAAAUUGAAAAGUUGUUAAAUUAAUUUCAUUAAUGUCAUUCGUAUUUUGAUAAAUUUAAUUAAAUUUAAAAGUAUUUUAGUAUGGAAAUUUAAAUAACAUCAUUUUUCUGUAAAUUAAUUUGUCUUUUUGGAAAACAUAAUUAAUUUAUCGAACAAAGCUUAUUUAUGAAUAUUUUUAUCUUUAUAUAAAAAUUAACUUGAAUCAAGUUUAAUAUAAUUAUAUUAAUAAUGUAUUUUUAAUUUUAAUAUUAUAAUUUUAUUUUAUUAAUAAAUUUUAAUAAUUUAAUUUAAUUUUAAAUAGUAUUCUUAAUAUAUUAUUAAAAAAUAUUUAUAUUGAUAUUUUUAUGAGAAAAAUAUAUAAUUUAUAAAUAUUCAAUAAUAAAUGUUUUAUAGUAUAAAAUAUGAUUAUUUUAAUUAUCAUUCUUCAAAGGUAUUUUCAAUGCAAUCACGGUCCAUUCUCCACAAUCAACAAGGAAAGAUGUUUAAAAUAGGUAGGAGUCGAGCUUGCAUAUAUUUAGAAUAAUAACAUUGUAAUAGGCCAAUUUUGGCCUGGCUAAAAAUCAAAUAAAAUUAACAACCCAAUUGACCCAAUGCAAUACCCAAUAACCAAAUCAACCCAAAACUAAAAACAAAAAGCCCUAGAACCUUCAACCGCUGCUCUCCCACAUACGCGCCUCCAGCCCCCUCCAUGUCACCCCACGAACGGCUUCUUCGGUAUCACGGUUUUACCUGCAAAAUAGGGCCAUAAACAGCAAGAAAGAAGCACACUAUAGAGGAGAGAAUAACAGAAAAGAAAUUGAAUAACGGGGGGGGGGGGCAGAGAAAAAAGAGAGGGUUUUUAUUUGUUUUAUUUGUUUUUUCUUUUGGGUGGAUUCGGCGAUAUAUAAGGCCGAUUCUGAAUCUGUAUGGGGUUUUUUUUUUUGGAGGCAGAUUGAAACAAAAAAGAGAGAAAGAAGUCAGUGUAAAACGAAGUAUAAAAAGGGAAAAUAAAAAUACAGCAGUUUGAUUUGGAAGGUGAUUUUCUUCAUUUUUUUUAUUGCUUUCUCUGUUAUUUUUUCGUUUUUUUUUUUGGGUGUGCAAAACAGAAAUAAGGAGGAGAAGAGAAGGUACUUACCAGUGGUGGCGCGCCGUCGAUGCCCUUGCUGCGCUGCGUCCGAAUCGGAGUUGAAAAGGGGAGGAUUUUGGUGAGGAGCAGAAGAGAAGAAAGCAGUCCUUGCGGCUGCUGUUGCUGAAAAUGGAAUAGGGAUUUUAAUUAGGAUUUGAAAUGGGUUUUAAGCAUUGAUGGGUUAUUUGCGUUUUAAUCCUUUCAUGUUUUCCAUCAUUUCAAAACUAUUUUUUCUUUUGUUUUCAAAUUUUUCCAUGACAUAUUAAAUCUGCUUUAUUUUAACCCAAUGUUGUACAGUGUUUAAAAAGGGUGGGAUUAGUUUCCCUUUUAGCCCUUCAUGUUACGUGCAUUUUGCAAAUUUGUCCUUUGUUUUAUUUUGUUUUCGUUUUUUUUUUCAAUUUUGUUUUGAUUUUAACUUUAUCCUUUGUAUUUGUCUUACUAAUUAAGUUUAAUAUUUGUUUGUUAUUAUAAUAAUAAUUAUUAUUAUUACUGUUAUUAUUACUAGUAGUAUUAGUAUUAUUAUUAUGGUAUUUGUAUAUAUAUUUACCCUUUUUUUUUGUAUACAAUAUUUUAUUCUAUACGUUAUUUGUUUCAAGUUUAUUUUAAAAUAUAAUAUAAUACUAUUUUAUAUAUGUAUAUAUAUAUAAUUUACAUUAAAUUAUGUUCGCUUUAUAAGUAUUAUUGAUUUCAUAUUAUAAUAAUUAUUAACUGUAAGUUUACUUAUAUAUAUACAUAUUAUAAAAAAUUAUUUUCAUUUAUAUAGUUUAUAUUAAGUUAUUUUCAUUAUAUAUACAUACAUCUUUUGUUUGUUUUGUGUUUUAUAAUUUUAAAAUGUAUAUAUAUUUUAUAAUACAUAUACACAUGCGCAUAUAUUUUCAUAUUUUAUAAUUCUAAAUACAUGCAUACAUUCUUAUAAUAUGUAUAGGCGUACACUUUUUUUUUGUUUUAAAUUAUUAUAAAUAUUAUUAUAUAUAUAUUUCAUUUUUUUAUAUACAUAUUAUACAAAUAUAUAUGUAUUUUAAUAUAUGCAUAUACAUAUUUUUAAAAUUUACUUAUAUAUAUCAUACUUAUAUAUACAUAUUUUGUAAACAUAUAUACAUAUAAUUUAAAUUAAAGUACUUAUUUCAUAUUGUACAUUAACUAUUUUUUAACCUACCUUUUAGAAAAUAUAUAUAUUGAUUUCGUCAAAACAUUAAAAUCAUUUUUCUUUUGAUUCAAAGGCUUUUAAAAUAAAAGUGAUAUUCAAAGUUUGAGAUUUUCGAGGAAAUUGAGCCCUAACGUAUUGGGUUCCGAUUUACUUUGUUAAUCCUAAAUAACCGAGAAUAUUCUUUAUUCAAAAUGCAUAAGUAUAAAAAAUCAUUUUCGGAAACUUAAUUUGUGGUGUCUUAAUGUAUUGGGCAUGAUAGAUUGCUAUCUCGAAAUGAAGAUUUUCUUUAAAAACUAAAAAUCGAUAUUCAAAGUUCGGGGAUUUUGAGAAAUUGUACCCUAAUGUAUUGGGUCUCGAUUUCUUUAUUUAACUUGAACAAUUGAUUAUCCUUUUCAAGUUUCAUCAUUUGAGUUUUAAAAAAAAAUCUUUUUAACCCUCGACGUUAAGACAUUAAAUAAUCAAUUUGGUACCAAUUUUUGGGCGUUACGAGGGUGCUAAUCCUUCCUCGUGCGUAACUGACUCCCGAACCCAUUUUCUCAAAUUUCGUAGACCAAGAUAAUUUUUAAGGUGAGCCGAUUAUACCUCAAUAAAUAAAGGAUCGGUGGCGACUCCAGUUUUUGGUUUUUUAAAGUCGAUAACUUAAUUUUUGUUUUUCAAAAAAAUGGUUUCGACAAACAUCAUUUAAUGUCUAAAAUUUUUAUAUCAAUAAAUCGCGAACAUCAAAUAUGAUUAAUAGUAUGAAAAUAUCAUAAUAGAAUAAAGAUGAAGCAAAAUGACAGAAAAUAUCAUAAUUAAUAUGACUAAUAGGAUUCAAAUAUUUUAAUCACCAGAGUACAAAUUCUGAUAAUAUUUAGAUUUGAAUAUUUUAAGUAUUAUGUAUAAUGAAUUUGGAAUAGAUGUAAAUACUAAUGUUUGAAUUUAUGGUAUUCAAAUUAAUUUUAGUUUUAAUCACUAGAGUUAGACGAGAUGGUAAGGGUCUUCCUUACCUUAAUCCGUGGUCGAGGAUCCUCGGCUUAAGUAUGAAGCAACUUUUAAAACUCAUGGCAUCUACUCCGUAAAUGGGUUUACAAAAUGCAAAUAUUUACUUACCGACUAGAUACCUUGAGAAAUAAUUUUUAUUUUAUUUUAUAAAUUUAAGAUAAUUUAUUUAUUUUAAAUUUGAAUAACAAGACUAUGAUUUAAUCCACAUAAUAAAUGGUUUUAAAUUGAAAGCAAACAUAUGGAGUGAAGUUCAAAUAUUAUAAGAAAAGUGCCAAACAUUGUGCAAAUGAAAGCAAUUCCUCAAAGCAAACCAUUAUUGACUCUUUUUAGUCUUUAGUUUCAUUGUGUUUCUAUUGAUUUAAUACACUUGGACAAGUUCAUUGAAAAGUCAACAACAAAAUUUAGUCUUUGACCCAUCAAUCUCUCUCAACCAGUUAAGAAAAUGACCACAAUUCCUUUACUUUUUUAUGAAUUGACUAAAAUGAAGUGGUAGAAACAUUAUUUUCAUGCAGUACUGAUCGGGAUAAGACUAAGAUUAAUAAUAUUUUAUUCUUAUACUAAGACCUAGAAAUUUGCUUGCAAUGCCAAAUAUUAAAACUAAGACUAAGGCCAACAAUAUAUUUUACUAUUAUUUAGUUUAAAGUUUUUGAAGUUUAGAGAGAAAUUUAGAAUUCAACUUAUAAUUUGGGGCGUUAAAUUUAACUAAACCCUUUAAUAGAUCAUAACAUAUUUAUAAGUUUGGUACUGCUUCAUAAAUUAGGACAUAAAAGUACUCAUUAAUAAAUUAAUUUCGUAUAUAAAUUAAUUCUUUUGGGUGUUAUACCAAAAUUUAAUUAAAAAAUUUUAAUAGUAAUUUUUAUUAAAAAUUAAAUUAUGUAAGAAUAAUUGUAUAUAAUCUAUAUACCUAUAUAUAAAAAUUGGUUUCCACCUUCUUUCUUUUUAAUUUACAUUUUACAAAAAAAAAUUAAAAUUAAAAUUUAGUUUCUUUAAUAUGCCUAAAUUUGAGAUUUAAUUUAUACUUUAUUCUUUAACAUAAUUUAGGCACUAUAUUUUUAUAAUGUAAUAGAUUAGUCCUUACACGUCGCACAUCCAACCAUUUUUGCUUUCCUUUCCUUUAUCCUUUUUUUUUAAUUUUACAAUAAAAUGUUAAAUUUCAGUUUCAAUCCCUCUAAUAUGUCUAAAUUUGAGAUUUAAUCUAUAUACUUUAAUCUUUAACAUAAUUUGGGCCCUACAUCUUUAUAAUGUUAUUAAUUAGUCCAAAUUAUUAAUAUGAUUAACUUUUCGGUGAAACAUUACGUGGUUAUUGAUAGUUUGCAUACAUAAGAGUCUUAGAGACUGACACAUUACUUUCCAUUUCUUUUAGGUUUGCAUCGCUUUUUUGUAAGCUAUACUGAAACUUAAUAUUUAAUCUAUAUAUUUAAUUUUUGAUAUCAUUUAGUUCAUCUACUUUUAUAAUGUAAUUAGCUAGUCAAAAUAGUUAAUGUUGUUGGUUAUUUCUAUCAAAAUGCUAAUGUCAAUUUUUCUUAAAAACAAUAUGUUUCUCAUAGGAAUUUUUUUUAUCGUGGCGAUGUGAAUGAGUGUUUUUAAGAAAAAGUCUUUAUAAAAUAUUUUUAAAGUUAUUUUUAUUGUUACAUGACUACCAAUUGAUUUUUUUUUUAAAUUUCAAAAUAUCACCUUAGAGAAUUUAAUAGAAGAAUUUUAAUGAUAGUAUAAUUGAAUCAAAAAUUUUAAAUUUUAAAAGUAAAAAAUCAUAUUUCUAAAAAUAAAAAUAGAGAAGCGAAAUUCUAAAUGUACAAAAUAGAGAGAAUUAAAAUAUAUUUUAACCUUCAAAUAUUUUACUCUAUAAUUAUAUAUUUUUACUUUAUAAUUCUCACUUCCACUUUAUCUUUGUUAAUUUCCUACUUAUUUCUAUUUUUUCUUUUGCUUAUGAAUCUAAACAGAGAAAAAAAAAGGACAAAAAAAGAAAGAAAUGAAUAGUAUGAAUUAAAAUUUGAGAUUUGAUCCCUAUUAAAAAUUAAAAAUUUAUUGUUUCUAUUUUUUUAAUUUAAAAAUCAUAGCUAAAUCCUUCUACACGUAAUUUAAAAUUUUUGUGCAUUCAAUCAUCAGAAUUUCCACUCCUUGUGCCAAUCGGUUCAUCUCAAAUCACCUAAGAAACUUGCUAUAAUUUGUCUUUAUAAUGACUUAAACAAAUCGGUUGAACAUUGAUUUCAUGCAGUAGUGGUCCACCAAGAAGACUUAGGGUAGUUUUGGAUAGGUGGUGUAUUUAUUUGCUGUUAGUCUAAAAACAGCGGUGAUGGUAAUAUUAGAUAUUGUAACGAUACUGUAACAUGAGAUAAAAAAUAAACUAAACGCACCGCACCGCACCGCACCGCCCAUCCAAAUCCACCCUUAGACAUUAACAUGCAUGCCAAAACAAUUAAGACUAAGGCUAAUAAAAUCUCAUAUUAUCAUUUCCUUUGUUAGUCCAAAAUAAAAAAAAUAAAAAAAAUUUAAGUUAGACAAUUAUUGAUAAUUUAAGGAAUUAAUUGAAAUAUUUUAAAAUUUAGAUAUUAAUUUAUAAUUUAAUCCAUUAUUUAGGGGGAAAAGAUCAGAACCUUGGAAUAUUAUUCAUAUAGAAUAAAGAUGCAGAAAAAAGAAUGGUCUUCAUUUCUUUCGUUCUUUAUCAUUUUAAUUAACUUUAAGGAAGCUUCAAAGUAAAAAUUUAAAUAUAUUUCUUCCCAAGAAAUUAUAUUAACAACUUAAUGUAAAUAAUGAUUUGAAUAUUGGAAUUAAUUAUUAAGUAAAAUAAUAAUGUUGUAUGGAAACUACAAAUUUAUGUAUAAAUGUUGUAUAAAUAUAUAAAUUUAUGUACAAAUUUAUGACAGUGAUUGGGCUGGCUCUCUCGAUGACAUGAAGAGCACCUCUGAUUACUUCUUUACAAUUGGAUCGAGUGUCUUUUGCUGGAGUUAAAAGAAGCAACAAACUGUUGCUCAGUCCAUAGCUAAAGCAAACAUAUGGAGUGAAGUUCAAAUAUUAUUAAGAAAAGUGCCAAACAUUGUGCAAAUGAAAGCAAUUCCUCAAAGCAAACCAUUAUUGACUCUUUUUAGUCUUUAGUUUCAUUGUGUUUCUAUUGAUUUGAUACACUUGGACAAGUUCAUUGAGAAGUCACCAACAAAAUUUAGUCUUUGACCCAUCAAUGUCUCUCAAUCAGUUAAGAAAAGUGGUAGAAACAUUAUUUUCAUGACUAAGGUUAAUAAUAUUCUAUUCUUAUACUAAGACUUAGAAAUUCGCUUGCAAUCCCAAAUAUUAAAACUAAGACUAAGACCAACAAUAUAUUUUACUAUUAUUUAGUUAAAAGUUUUUGAAGUUUAGAGAUAAAUUUAGAAUGAUGCAACUUAUAAUUUGGGGUGUUAAAUUUAAUUAAACCCUUCAAUAGGUCAUAGCAUAUUUAUAAGUUUGGUACUGUUUCAUAAAUUAGGACUUAAAAGUACUCAUUUAUAAAUUAGUUUGGUAUAUAAAUUAAUUCUUUUGGGUGUUAUACCAAAAUUUAAUUAAAAGAUUUUAAUAGUAAUUUUUAUUAAAAAAAUUAAAUUAUGUAAGAAUAAUUAUAUAUAAUCUAUAUACUUAUAUAUAAAAAUUGGUUUCGACCUUCUUUCUUUUUACAUGUCGCAUACCCAAUCAUUUUUCCUUUUCUUUUUUAAUUUUACAUUUUACAAAAAAAUUUAAAAUUUAGUUUCUUUAAUAUGCCUAAAUUUGAGAUUUAAUCUAUAAUUUAUUUCCUUUCCUUUCCUUUAUCUUUUUUUUUUUUAAAAAAAUUUACAAUAAAAUGUUAAAUUUCAGUUUCAAUCCCUCUAAUAUGUCUAAUAUUUAUACACAAAUGUGUAGUUUUCAUGUUUGGCAUAGCAUGCAAUUUCGAAGUCUUUUUGCCCAAUCAAUACUGCAUCAAAAUAAUGUUCCAUCACUUUAGUUAAGUCUUUUUGGUCAACCUUUGCAAGCAUGGGAUAAUAAUAAUAAUACUAAUAAUAAAUAAGUUAUAUGCCAAACAUGAAAACUACACAUUUGUGUAUAAAUAAGUUGUAUGCCAAGCACAAUCCUUCUUCACACCCAACCAACAUGAACACUCUUCAUUUCCUUAUUUCACCCUUCCUCUUCUCAUGCUUCCUUUCUCUUGUCUCGUCUUUUUCACCUCCUCAAACUCAUCUCCCUCAGCAAUGCCUUGAUGACCAGAGAGCUCCUCUGCUGCAAUUGCAGCGUCAUCUUUACUGUGCCCCUAAUUUUACUUUCUCUUCCAAUUUUGACCUCUGGGAUGUCAACACUGAUUGUUGUUCUUGGGAAGGAGUCACAUGUGAUGCUUAUGGUCAUGUCGUUGGCAUUGAUCUUAGUUACAAAAACCUUUCAGGCAGCUUCCACUCCAUAUUCGAUCUCCAUCAUCUUCAACACCUGAAUCUUGCUGGAAACAACUUUAAUACCACUCUGUUUUCCUAUGGGUUUGAUAAACUCCAAAAUCUAACUCAUCUCAACCUUUCAAGCUCAUGUUUCCAUGGCCAAAUUCCAGUGGAGAUCUCAUUCUUAAAAAGGUUAGUCUCUCUUGAUCUAUCCAAUCAAGAUUCUUGUUAUUUGAGAUAUUACAAAGUUCUGUACCCUGCCUUCUACAACUAUUACAAACCUCAACAGCCUCUUAAAUUAGAGAAUCCAAACUUCAAGACAUUAAUCAAGAAUUUGAGGUUUCUCACAGCGCUUUAUUUGGAUAGUGUGGACAUUUCAACUCAAAGUGCUAAAUGGUGUGAAACCACAUCUCUUGUACUUCCAAACCUGCAUGUGUUGAGUCUGUCAAGCUGUGGUUUGAAAGGUCCAUUAUGUUCUUCUCUCUCAAGACUCUCUUUUCUUUCCAAACUUAUCCUUGAUGGGAACCCAAUCUCUUAUUUACCUCCCAAUUUCUUGGAAACUUCCUCUCGUUUGGUUUCUCUCAGUUUGAGUGGUUGCAAUUUGAAUGGCCAUUUUCCAACCGGAAUUCUCUUAUCGCCAAAAAUUCAAAGCAUUGACAUUUCAUUUAAUCCCCAACUUAUGGGUCAGUUGCCAGAAUUUCCAGCAAACAAUGCAUUACUGAGUCUGUCACUUUAUCAUACAAAUUUCAGUGGAAAACUACCUGAAUCGAUUGGUAAUCUUAAGUUCCUGAAAAAUUUAGAGCUUUCUUAUUGCAAUUUUUUUGGACCUAUUCCAUCAUCAAUUGCAAAUCUUAGUCACCUGGUCAACCUACUUCUAGCAGGGAACAAGCUUUCUGGAUCAAUACAUUCUUCUUUAUUUACUCUUCCAUCGUUGAAGAACCUGUAUCUUGGAGCCAAUCAAUUGGUUGGGAAAAUUGAUGAGUUCCCCAAUGCAUCUUCUUCUUCGAUUGAGAGAUUAUAUAUUAGCUAUAAUUAUUUAACAGGACCAAUCCCAAAGUCAAUCCUCCAACUUCCAAGGCUUGAAGUGCUUGAGAUCGGAGAAAAUAGCUUCAGUUCCCUGAAGCUUGACAUGUUUGUCCAACUCAAGAACUUAAAGGGUCUCGACUUAUCCAACGUAAGCUUGUUAAUUGAAAGCGACAACAGAAGUCUUACUUUUCCCCAAUUAGAGAGCCUAAGCCUAAGGUUAUGCAAUCUUACUGAAUUUCCAGAAUUCAUUAAAAGGCAAGGCAAGUUGGUUGACUUAGAUCUUUCUAACAAUCAUAUCCAUGGUGUUGUGCCUAAUUGGUUGUGGAAGAGCAGUCUUUCAUCCUUAGACCUUUCUUUCAAUGUGAUUGAUUUUCCAAAACAACUUCCUUUAAGUGAUGCAAACUUCUUUUUCCCAAUGUUGAGGCGAUUGUGUUUGAGGUCCUGUAACAUAAGUGCGUUUCCAGAGUUCUUAAAGAGUCAAGAAAAUUUAGAAUAUCUCGAACUUUCAAAUAAUAAAAUAAGUGGUGCAAUACCAAACUGGGUGUGGAAGAAAAGUUUGCGGUAUCUGUUUCUUGCUAAUAACCAUCUCUCAUCUUUGGACCAACUUUUACCCAAUCAGAGUUCAACUUCUUCACAGGGCUCUUUCAUUUUCGACACAUCUUCUAACAAUUUGAGUGGCCCAAUUCCAAAUUGGUUAUGCAAUAUGAGUCAACUUUACAGAUUCAAUGCAUCUUAUAACAAUUUUAGUGGCUCAAUUCCAAAUUGCUUGGACAAUAUGAGCCAACUUGACACUGUCGAUGUAUCUUAUAACAAUUUGAGUGGCCCAAUUCCAAAUUGCUUGGGCAAUAUGAGUGCUCUGAUGUGGUUGGGUUUGCAAGGAAAUAACUUCAGUGGAAUGAUACCAAAAUUUUCAAAAGCAACCCAACUGCGGUUUCUCAAAGUUAGUGAGAAUAGAUUGGAAGGGAAGUUGCCCAGAUCAUUAGCUGAAUGCACUCAGCUUGAAGUUUUGGACGUGGGAAACAACAAGAUGAAUGAUACAUUCCCUUUUUGGUUGGAGAAAUUGCCUUACUUGACGGUUCUAAUAUUGCGGGAAAACAGAUUUUAUGGUCAAAUUAAACAUUUCAAACAUAAAUCUGUUUUCCCAACUUUGGAUGUAUUGGACAUUGCUUCAAACCAGUUUUCUGGUGAACUAUCCAUUGAUUUCCUUCAACCCACUAGACUAAGGUCACUCAAAAUAGGUGGGAAUAAAUUGGAAGGGAAGCUGUCGAGAUCAUUAGCCAAUUGCACAGCACUUGAGGUUCUGGACCUUGGAAAUAAUAUGGUUCAUGAUACAUUCCCAUUUUGGUUAGAGAAGCUACCUUCCUUGAAGGUUCUCAUUUUGCGAGCAAACAGAUUCUACGGCACAAUUACAGAAUUCAACACAGAACGUGGGUUUCCAAAGCUACGCAUUUUGGACAUUGGUUCCAACAAAUUUUCAGGCGACUUGUCCGUUGAAUUUUUGCAAAGCUUGAAGGCAAUGAUGCAGAUAACAAAUGAGGAUAAAGCUAAGCGGGUUUACAUUGGGGACGACUAUUAUCAAGACUCUGUGACAAUUGUUAACAGAGGGAUUGAAAUGUUCUACCAAAGAGUCUUGACAAUUCUUACUUGUCUUGACCUUUCCAACAAUAGUUUCCAUGGGAGAAUACCAGAAGAAAUACAAAUGCUGAGGUCACUCAGAGUGAUGAACUUAUCCAACAAUGGCUUCUCUAGUGAAAUCCCAUUAGCACUUCAAAAUCUAAAAGACCUCGAAUCUUUGGAUCUCUCAAGAAACAAGCUGUCAGGGAAGAUUCCUCCACAACUUACAAGUCUAACUUUCCUGGCAGCAUUGAACUUGUCAUACAACCAACUUGAAGGGAGCAUACCACAAAGCAACCAAUUCAUUACAUUUACAAAUGAUUCCUACCGUGGGAACCCAAAAUUGUGUGGGCUGCCAUUGUCAAGGAAAUGCAAUGAAGUUGGUCUUCCAAUGCCACCACCUCCAGUGGAAGAUGAAGAUUCAUGGUUAAAUGCUCUGUCUACUUGGAAAAUUGCAUUGAUAGGUUAUGCUAGCGGAUUAGUCGUUGGGCUAUGUAUUGGAUAUACAGUGCUGAAUGAGUUGGGAAACAAAUGGGUUUACAAGUUCAAGUGUGGGAAAAGAAAUAGAAGAAGAUGUAGGUGACUCCAUCAGAAUUCUUGCUUCAAAAUUAGCUGGUAAGCAUUUGUCUUUCUACUUUGAACUGAUAGUUGUUGAUAUAUAUAUAUAUAGGUUUUCAUAACCUCAUUUUUUGCUGUCAUUACCAAGUUCACUAUCAUAUCGUACUUGUAAUUUUAUGUUACCAUUGAGCAAUGCAGGAGGUACUUGAAGCAGGACAUGGAAUGUACAGUUGUGAGGUUCAUGAAGAAUGUAGGCAAUGAUCCUAACAAGAUCAAUCCACUGGUUUGUAAUUUUGCUUUAUAUGCACUUUUUUCCUGUUGUAGUUUUCUAUGAGUAUAAAUAAGUGUUUAUUCAUUUUGCAUCCAGGUCCCUGUGGAUUUGGGGGAUGCAAUGUUUCACUGCUACUGAAUUUCCAAGCUAAUAAUGAUAUUAUAAACAGGGAAAUGGCUGCCCAAGCUUUCUUUUAUAUGCAAUUUACUUCAAUUUUUUUAUCUUUAGAAUAUUUGUACAGCUGAGGAGAUUUGAUGGCAUGAUGUUGAUGAAAGCCAUAUCUGAUGGACAUUGGACUGAUUGUGUAAAGAGACGCAGAUGCUGCUACUCCCAUCCUUUGCUCUUCCAAACAGACGUGAGUUUUAUAUUUUAUGAAUCACGUGUUGGGCUUUAGGACCGGGUGUAAAGGGUGGACCUGUUGGUCCGGGUUUUAGUUCAGCCCGUCACUUAUUUUUAUACUAGUUUAUUUAUACUUUCAAUGAUAGUUUUAUUAAUUUAAAAAAUAUGGUUGAAUUAAGUAAUAAUAUGAUAAAAUAAUAAUAAUUAAAAUUUAAUGAAAUAAAUUAUGUCUUAACUUUCCAAUGUUAGCGAAAGGCCAACAAUAUCUCACCUUAUUAUUUUCUUUGUUAAUCCAAAAUUAAAAAGUUCAAAUUAGAAUGUGAUUUAGAGUUUGAAGACUUAAUUAAAUUUUUUUGAAGUUUAGAGUUCAAUUUAACAUAUAAUCCAUAGUUUAGGGACAUCAAGUGAAUUAACCCUUUGAUAAAUCCUAACAUAUUCAUAAGUUGCAUACUCAUUAAUAAAUUAGGACUAAAAUGCUUAUUGGUAAAUUGAUUUCACAUAUAAGUUAAUAUAUUUUUGGGUGCUAUACCAAAGUUUAAUUAAAAGAUUUUAAUGGUACACUUUUACAUUUUAAAAAUUUAAAUUAUAUAUAAACAAUUAUGAUAUAAAAUCGAGACGGCCCACAUCUAAAAUAUUUUAAGCAUCAAAUACAUGAAAAAAAAAAUUCUAAACCCAAAUAUUUUAAGCAUUCGAAACAUUGGCAUUGGCAUCAAUUAGAACACUUGGAUUGGAUAAUGAAAAAAAAAAAAUCCAAACCCAUCUAUUUAACAACGGUAUGUUUAUUAUAUGAUUUUCAAUACAAAAUCAGAUAAUUAAUCGGACACUGUUGAGUUAACUAAUACUUACAAUGUUCAAUUAAAUGAUUUUUUCCAAAAAAAAUUAAUUGUUUAUAUUUCGAAUCCAAUUCAACCAAUAAAAAGCCAGUUAUAUUUGAAUGCGAAUGCAAAGCAGUGGAUAUAACGUAAGGGACUCAAUCCAAUUUGGCAUUCUAAAUGAUGUCUUAAUUACAAUGUGGUACGCUUUCCAGAGUUGGCAAACAACCUAAAGCACUUGUUUAAUUUAUCUUUGAAAAGUGAUAAAAAUAUUAAUAACUAAAAUUAAAAAACUGCAAGAACCAUUAUCUUUCACAAAUUAUUCAAAAUCAUAUGGUAUUUGUAGUCGUUGGCUUAUAUUUUGAAAAGAUUGAUGUUACAAACUAACUCUGAAUUUCCUAAGCUUAUUUUUUGUCCCUUGACACACUUCGCUAUCAUAUGGUAUUUGUAGUCGUAGGCUUGUAGCAUUGACAUUCAUUUUAUCAUUUCGCAAUGCAAGAGGUACUGAAACAGGCUAAGCUGAAACGGCUCAUUAGGUUUGCUACUCCAAAAGACUCUUCGAAAAGAGCAAUGAAAGAAGCGACAAAAGGGUCCUUGGCUGUUUGUGAUGAUGCACUUACAUAUACUCACUUCUAUACGAUUCAUGUAAAUCCUUUCUAUAACUUAUUUCCUAGGAAGCAUUCCUCUAUUAGAGCAACUAAUCCAUAAUUCUUAAAUCCAGAUACUGUAAUUGGUUUUUUUUUUUUUUCUCUCGAUUUUGUAGCAGGGGCCAAACUCCCCAAUGUCUUGGCUACCAAUCUUCUUUAAUUUAAUCGAACUCAUUUAUGGUAAGGAUGAGUUUUGGAAUGCUCUAUGAAUAUUGUGAGUUGAACAUGAGCAGCAUACUUGAUAUGCAAAAUCUAAUAUCAAGAAUCUCCCUUGUGAGGUUCAUUUUUGCUUCAAUUCACAGCCAUUUGGGGUACGUAAUUUGUCUCUAGCACUGAACUUUCAUGCCAAAUAAUGCUAUAUUAUAAACAAGGAUCAUGGCUUUUCCAAGCCUUCUUUAAUAUGAAUUUACUCUUUAGUUCAGAAUUUUAUUUUCAAAUUAUUUUUGUGCAGCUUGGAAGAUAAUAUGACGAGUUGAUGUUGAUGAAAGCCACAUUUAACACCGUGAUUCUGCAAAGAGACACCACUGCUAGAUGUGCCUCUUUGAAACAGGACAAGCUCAAGCAAAGAUCGUUAACUUUAUCUUUGAAAACAAUGGUAAAAGUUUCUAACUAAUUAUCUUUUCCUUGACAUCUUCUUUAAUCAUGCUUGAAUUAAGUUUAAGCAUAUGAAAGACAUGAUUGUUGGUAGAUAAAUGAGAAGCUUCAUGUUCUAAUUUUCAGGCUAAUGGUCUAAGAAGACAGUAAGGCGUGUUGAUUGCAGUUUGUUAUCUAUUCUAUGGAAAAGAAAACGUGCAUUGCCAACAUAAAGUACAGAAAGGAUAUG
rnacentral:lncRNA from 1 species